GCAGGAGGAGGAGGUGAAACAUGGGGCACAUAGUAGGGUGUAUCGGGAAGAAGGAGAAAAGAAAGAUCAUCCACAGAGAAGCUCGACGUAGAAGGACGUGGGUAGUAAGAGCGAGACUCGUCAAAGGUCACAUCACGCGAGAUGCGCAAGCGGCGACCAACAGGGUCCCAACAACGAUAGCCCUUGUGCUCAUCACUGUAGCCAAGGAAAACGCACUCAACCGACUGAGUAGUCAGUUUGGUGCGUUCUCGCGGGGCAAGAAGGACAUAACACACACAUCCAAACAUACGAAGAGCUGAGUAGUCAGGAGGUCUACCAGUGAGACACUCCAUAGGAAUACCACCCUGCAGAGCAGUCGAGGGCUAAAUGUUGAUGAGAUAGGUGGAUGCAGACACAACCUCAGCCCAAAAGUGGGGUGGAAGAGAAGCGGCAAUCAUCAGCGCACGAGCCGUCUCAAGCAGAUGAUGAUGCUUAUGUUCGGCAACGCCAUUUUGAGCAUGAGCACUAGGGCAUGAGAACUAGGCAAGAGUACCCUGUUCUGCAAGAAAACCACGCAACAGCUGGGAGAUAAACUCUCCAGCGGAGUCAGCACGAAAGGUGCAAUGGGCGUGGAAAGCUGGGUGUGAACCAUGGCAGCAAAUCGUUUGUAUAUAUAGAGGACCUCGCUACAAUAUUUCAUAAAAUAGAGCCAAAUGUAACGAGAGAAAUCAUUAAUAAACAAAUCAUAGUAGCGAUGACCACCUUUCGAAUCAAAGGGAGCAGGACCCCAAACAUCAGAAUGAACUAAGUCAAAAGGAUGCUGAGAUACGGACUCGCUAGUAGGAUAAGGUAAUUGGGUCUGUUUGCCAAGUCUAAAACCAUUACAACGUAAGGAAACAUCUCCAGAUACAGACCCUAAGAGGCCCUGAUGAACUAAAGAAGACAAGUGAGAACCACAGAUGUGACCAAGGCGAUGAUGCCGCUGCUGGAAGGACGCAGACGAAGAGGCAGCAAGAGCAUGAGAGCUGGCAUAUGAGGCAGCAGCGGAAGGAACACGAAGCCAGUCAACCUCCCAAAGGCCCUCAGACUCACGGCGCCGAGGGCCAGCGCCAACCAGAGCCUGAGUGCGACAAUCCUGAACAGAACAAGAGUCGGCAUCAAGAAUGACACGACAACCAGAAUCAGUAAGUUGGGCAGUGGAAAAAAGAUUCAUGGUAAGACGUGGGAAAUGAGACACACUAGGAACCAAAAAGGACGGAGUGGAGAGGAUGCCACGACUAGUAACAGGAAGAGGUGUGCCAUCAGCAAUGAGAACAUUAAGAGGAAAAUCAAGAGGUUGAAGAGAAGAUAACGCAGAAGAAUCAGAAGACAUAUGAAAAGAAGCUCUAGAAUACAGAACCCACGAGGAUGUACCUGACUGAGUAGGCUCCGACAGAGGCGGAGUGGUGAUGGAGGUCACAGCAGCAACAGAACCGUCGAGGAAGAACCAGACGAAGCUAACAUGCGCUUGAACCGCAUAAUAUCCUGGUCAGUGAGCGACGAAGUCGAGGAAGGCGCACGAGCCCCAUGAUACGUCCAUUUUGCAUCAUGCUUUUAUAUCAAUAUUUAUUGCAUUAUGGGCUGUUAUUAUACAUUAUCUCAAUACUUAUGGCUAUUCUCUCUUAUUUUACAAGGUUUACCAUGAAGAGGGGGAAUGCCGGCAGCUGGAAUUCUGGCUGGAAAAGGGGCAAAUGUUGGAAACCUAUUCUGCACAACUCCAAAAGUCCUGAAACUCCACGAAACAACUUUUUGGAAUUAAUAGGAAUUUAUGAGCCAAAGAAAUAGGCCAGGGGGCCCACACCCUGUCCAGGAGACAGCCCCCCCUAUAGGGCGCGCCCCCUAUCUCCUGGGCCCCCUGGUGGGCCUCCGGCGUCCAUCUUCUGCUAUAUAAUCACUUUUACCCUGGAAAAAAUCGUGGGCAAGCUUACAGGAUGAAAAUCCACUGCCACGAGGCGGAAUCAAUCUAGGGCUCUGGCAGAGCUGUUCUGCCGGGGACACUUCCCUCCGGGAGGGGGAAAUCAUCACCAACGUCAUCACCAAUGAUCCUCUCAUUGGGAAGGGGUCAAUCUUCAUCAACAUCUUCAUCAGCACCAUCUCAUCUCAAACCCUAGUUCAUCUCUUGUAUCCAAUCUUGUAUGAAAACCACAAAUUGGUACCUGUGGGUUGCUAGUAGUGUUGAUUACUCCUUGUAGUUGAUACUAAUUGGUUUACUUGGUGGAAGAUCAUAUGUUCAGAUCCUUUAUGCAUAUUAUUACCCCCCUAAUUAUGAACAUGAAUAUGCUUUGUGAGUAGUUACGUUUGUUCCUGAGGACAUGGGAGAAGUCUUGCUAUUAGUAGUCAUGUGAAUUUGGUAUUCGUUCGAUAUUUUGAUGAGAUGUAUGUUGUCUUUUCCUCUAGUGGUGUUAUGUGAAUGUUGACUACAUGGCACUUCACCAUUAUUUGGGCCUAGAGGAAGGCAUGGGGAAGUGAUAAGUAGAUGAUGGGUUGCUAGAGUGACAGAAGCUUAAACCCUAGUUUAUGCGUUGCUUCGUUAGGAGUUGAUAUGGAUCCAUAUGUCUAAUGCUAUGGUUAGGUUUACCUUAAUACUUUUUUUGUAGUUGCGGAUGCUUGCAAUAGGGGUUAAUCAUAAGUGGGAUGCUUGUCCAAGUUAGGGCAGUACCCAAGUACCGGUCCACCCACAUAUCAAAUUAUCAAAGUACCGAACGCGAAUCAUUUGAGCGUGAUGAAAACUAGCUUGACGAUAAUUCCCAAUGUGUCCUCGGGAGCUCCUUCCUCAUUAUUAGAAAUUGUCCAGGCUUAUCCUUUGCUACAUAAAGGAUUGGGCCACCUUGCUGCACUUUAUUUACUUUAUUGACUUGUUGCUCGUUACUAUUUAUCUUAUCACAAAACUAUCUAUUACCUACAAUUUCAGUGCUUGCAGAGAAAACCUUACUGAAAACCGCUUAUCAUUUCCUUCUGCUCCUCGUUGGGUUCAACACUCUUACUUAUCGAAAGGACUACGAUAGAUCCCCUACACUUGUGGGUCAUCAAGACUCUUUUCUGGCGCCGUUGCCGGGGAGUGUAGCGCUUUUGGUGAGUGGAACUUGGUAAGGAAACAUUUAUAUAGUGUGCUGAAUUUUUUGUUACUUUUUACUAUGGAAACUAACCCUUUGAGGGGCUUGUUUGGGGUAUCUUCACCCCAACCAGAAUAGCAAAGAGUUUCUCCUCAACCUACUGAACUUGAUGAAAAUAUUUCUUUUGAGAUUCCUUCGGGUAUGAUAGAGAAAGCUAAUCUAUUUGCAGGAGAUGGAACAUUGCAUCCCGAUUUACACCUUAUCUUUGUGGAUGAAGUUUGUGGAUUAUUUAAGCUUGCAGGUAUUCCCGAUGAUGUUGUCAAAAGGAAGGUCUUCCCUUUAUCUUUGAAGGGAGAUGCAAUGACAUGGUAUAGGCUAUGUGAUGAUACAAGAUCUUGGAAUUAUAAGCGAUUGAAGUUGGCAUUUCACCAGAAGUUCUAUCCUAUGCAUCUUGUUCAUUGUGAUCGUAAUUACAUAUAUAAUUUCUGGCCUCGCGAAGGAGAAAGCAUCGCCCAAGCUUGGGGGAGGCUUAAGUCAAUGUUAUAUUCAUGCCCCAAUCAUGAGCUCUCUCGGGAAAUGAUUAUUCAGAAUUUCUAUGCUCGGCUUUCUCUUGAUAAUCGCAACCUGCUCAAUACUUCCUGCGCUGGUUAUUAUAUGCUGAAGACUAUUGAUUUCAAAUGGGACUUAUUGGAAAGAAUUAAACGCAACUCCAAAGAUUGGGGUUCCGACGAUGGUAAGGAGUCAGGUAUGACACCUAAGUUCGAUUGUGUUAAAUCUUUUAUGGAUACCAAUGUUUUUCGUGGAUUUAGCGCUAAGUAUGGACUUGACUCUGAGAUAGUAGCUACUUUUUGUGAAUCUUUUGCUACUCACGUUGAUCUCCCUAAGGAGAAGUGGUUUAAAUAUAAUCCUCCUGCUGAAGUGAAAGUAGUUGCACCUAUUACAGUCGAAGAAAAGAUUAUCACCUAUAGUGAUCCUACUGUUCCUACUGCUUAUGUUAAAAAACCUCCUUUUCCUGUUAGGAUAAAGGAUCAUGCUAAAGCUUUGACUGUUGUUCGUAAGAGUAAUACUAGGACUUAUACACCUCCUGAGCAAAUUAAUGUUGAACCUAGUAUUGCUAUGGUUAAAGAUCUCUUGGACGAGGACUUAGAUGGGCAUGUUAUUUCUUUCUUGGGUGAGACUGCAAAUAUUGCUAGACCUGAUACUAAGACACAUAGACUUGUCGUAGGCACGCCUGUUAUUUAUGUUAAAAUAGGAGAUCAUUGUUAUCAUGGCUUAUGUGAUAUGGGUGCCAGUGCUAGUGCGAUACCUUAUGAUCUUUAUAAAGAAAUUAUGCACGACAUUGCACCCAUUGAAUUAGAAGACAUUGAUGCUACUAUUAAGCUUGCUAAUAGGGAUACCAUUAAACCUAUUGGGAUUGUUAGAGAUGUUGAAGUUUUGUGUGGGAAGGUUAAAUACCCUGCUAAUUUUCUUGUUCUUGCUUCCCCACAAGAUGCCUUUUGUCCCAUUAUUUUUGGUAGGCCCUUCUUGAAUAAUGCUAGUGCUAAGAUUAAUUGUGAAAGGAAUAUUGUCACUGUUGGCAUAGAUGGUAUGUCUCAUGAGUUUAAUUUUGCUAAGUUUAGUAGACAACCUCGUGAAAGGGAACCACCUAGUAAGGAUGAGAUUAUUGGUCUUGCUUCCAUUGCCGUUCCUCCAACUGAUCCGUUAGAACAAUAUUUGCUAGACCAUGAAAAUGAUAUGUUUAUGAAGGAAAGGGAAUAAAUAUAUGAAGUGUUUCUUAAAUAGGAACCUAUGCUGAAACAUAACCUUCCCGUUGAAAUUCUUGGGGAUCCCCCUCCACCCAAGGGUGAUCCCGUGUUUGAACUCAAACCAUUACCUGAUAAUCUUAAGUAUGCUUAUCUUGAUGAAAAAGAAAUAUAUCAUGUUAUUAUUAGUGCUAACCUUUUAGAGAAAGAAGAAGAAAGAUUGUUGAAAACUCUGAAGAAGCACCGUGCAGCUAUUGGAUAUACUCUGGAUGAUCUUAAGGGCAUUAGUCCCACAUUAUGCCAACACAAGAUUUCAGUGGAGAAAGAUGUCAAACCAGUUAGAGAUAAGUGAAGGAAGUGGUAAGUGAAGGAAAUAUGCCCUAGAGACAAUAAUAAAGUUAUUAUUUAUUUCCUUAUAUCAUGAUAAAAGUUUAUUAUUCAUGCUAGAAUUGUAUUAACCGGAAACAUAAUACUUGUGUGAAUACAUAAACAAACAGAGUGUCACUAGUAUGCCUCUACUUGACUAGCUUGUUGAUCAAAGAUGGUUAUGUUUCCUGACCAUAGACAUGUGUUGUCAUUUGAUUAACGGGGUCACAUCAUUAGGAGAAUGAUGUGAUUGACUUGACCCAUUCUGUUAGCUUAGCACUUGAUCGUUUAGUAUGUUUCUAUUGAUUUCUUCAUGACUUAUACAUGUUCCUAUGACUAUGAGAUUAUGCAACUCCCGUUUACCGGAGGAACACUUUGUGUGCUACCAAACAUCACAACGUAACUGGGUGAUUAUAAAGGUGCUCUACAGGUGUCUCCGAAGGUACUUGUUGGGUUGGCGUAUUUCGAGAUUAGGAUUUGUCACUCUGAUUGUCGGAGAGGUAUCUCUGGGCCCUCUCGGUAAUGCACAUCACUUAAGCCUUGCAAGCAUUGCAACUAAUGAGUUAGUUGUGAGAUGAUGUAUUACGGAACGAGUAAAGAGACUUGCCGGUAACGAGAUUGAACUAGGUAUUGAGAUACCGACGAUCGAAUCUCGGGCAAGUAACAUACCGAUGACAAAGGGAACAACGUAUGUUGUUAUGCGGUUUGACCGAUAAAGAUCUUCGUAGAAUAUGUAGGAGCCAAUAUGAGCAUCCAGGUUCCACUAUUGGUUAUUGACCGGAAACAGUUCUAGGUCAUGUCUACAUAGUUCUCGAACCCGUAGGGUCCGCACGCUUAAAGUUACGAUGACAGUUUUAUUACGAGUUUAUAAGUUUUGAUGUACCGAAGGUUGUUCGGAGUCCCGGAUGUGAUCACGGACAUGACGAGGAGUCUCGAAAUGGUCGAGACAUAAAGAUUGAUAUAUUGGAAGCCUAUAUUUGGAUAUCGGAAACGUUCCGGGUGAAAUCGGAAUUUUACCGGAGUACCGGGGGUUACCGGAACCCCCCCGGGGGUUAAUGGGCCUACAUGGGCCAUGAGGGAGAAGAGGAGGGCUGGCCAGGGCAGGCCGCGCGCCCCCUCCCCCCUAGUCCGAAUAGGACAAGGAAGGGGGGGGGCGCCCCCCUUUCCUCUUUCCCCUGCCCCCUUUCCUUCUCCACCAAGGCAAGAAGGGGGAGUCCUACUCCCGAUGGGAGUAGGACUCCUCCAGGCGCACCCCUAGGGGGCCGGCCGCACCUCCCCCUCCCUCCUUUAUAUACGGGGGCAGGGGGGCACCUCUAGACACAUAAGUUGAUCAUCGUGAUCAUUCCUUAGCCGUGUGCGGUGCCCCCUCCACCAUAUUCCACCUCGGUCAUAUCGUUGCGGUGCUUAGGCGAAGCCCUGUGUCGGUAGAACAUCAUCAUCGUCACCAUGCCGUCAUGCUGACGGAACUCAUCCCCGACACCUUGUUGGAUCGGAGUCCGGGGAUCGUCAUCGAGCUGAACGUGUGCUGAACUCGGAGGUGCCGUACGUUCGGUACAUGGAUCGGUCGGAUCGUGAAGACGUACGACUACAUCAACCGCGUUGUCAUAACGCUUCCGCUUACGAUCUACAAGGGUACAUGGACAACACUCUCCCCUCUCGUUGCUAUGCAUCACCAUGAUCUUGCAUGUGCGUAGGAAUUUUUUUGAAAUUACUAUGUUCCCCAACAGUAAGAAAGGAGGUACUAAAGCUCCUUGAGGCAGGUAUUAUUUAUCCCGUUGCUGAUAGUGAAUGGGUAAGCCCUGUCCAUUGUGUCCCUAAAAAGGGAGGUAUUACCGUAGUUCCUAAUGAUAAAGAUGAAUUGAUCCCGCAAAGAAUUAUUACAGGUUAUAUGAUGGUAAUUGAUUUUCGUAAGUUGAAUAAAGCUACUAAGAAAGAUCAUUACCCUUUACCUUUCAUUGAUCAAAUGCUAGAAAGACUGUUGUAAGGGCAUAUUUAUCCCUCAGGUGUUUUGGUGAUUGAUGACAAUGCAUUUGCGGACUAAUCGUGUGCCUUGAGUUUCUUAGGUUAUUCAUCUCUAGGCACGAGACGAUUCGGUGCCCCUCGGAGACUUUUGAAGUCGGCGUUGUUCUACGUUUCUCUUUGGUGGAUUUGAGUCAUAGGAGAGCCGUACUAUUAAGAGGGGGUCCGCAUCGGAAAGGUUUGGGUGGAAUCAACACAUACACUUGUCCCUCCUUUCCCUGCAUUUUGGAGCUUCCCCUUGUUAUCUUGGUUGUGCGGAAAUCUGACGACUACUGCUGUACUUGCAGUAGUACCGCAAGUACAUGCGGUAGUACCGCUGUGUGUCACGGUAGUACCGCGGCUCCCAGGCCUUGUGCCGCUCCUGUGCGGUAGUAGGGGCGGAUGUAAUUUUUUACAUCCGCGCCCUCCAUGGUAGUACCGCUCGUCCAGCGCGGCAGUACCGCGGGGGCCCAUGGUAGUACCGCUCCCUAGGAGUUGUAGUACCGUGGCCCUCCUACCUAGUACCGCAGUGUCGCGGUAGUAGGAGCGGAUGUAAUUUUUUACAUCCGCGCCCGCACGGUAGUACCGCGCCUCGCGAGCGGUAGUACCGCGUCGGAUUUUUGUACCACCUCUGUUUCAGUGGAAGUAGGCACGGAUGUAAUUUAUUUCAUCCGCGCCCUUCCCAGGCUGUGACUUUCCUGCCUAGCGGUAGUACCGCAAGUGGGUGCGGUAGUACCGCGCAAGCGGUAGUACUGCCCCCUUGUCAGGCUAGUUCCGGCCUGUGCUGCUGUCGCGGUAGUACUGUGGUCAGCCAUGGUAGUACCCCUCCCCUGGAGCGGUAGUACCGUGUGUCGCGGGUUGAACAUGUGGAUAACGGUUGGAUUCUUUCCACGACUAUAUAAGGGGUGUCUUCUACCUCUAGUUGACUACCUCUUCCAUCUCUAAGCUCCAUUGUUGCUCCAAGCUCCAUUUUCACUCGAUCUCUCUCCCUAGCCAAUCAAACUUGUUGAUUUGCUCGGGAUUGGGUGACAAGUGCCCGAUCUACACUUCCACCACAGGAUAUUUGAUUCCCCCCACUUAUCCCUAGCGGAUCGUGUUACUCUUGGGUGUUGAGCACCCUAGACGGUUGAGGUCACCUCGAAGCCACACUCCAUUGUGGUGAAGCUUCACGGUAUUGUUGGGAGCCUCCAAGUGUUGUGGAGAUUGCCCCAAUCUUGUUUGUAAAGGUUCGGUUGCCGCCUUCAAGGGCUCCAAUAGUGGAAUCACGGCAUCUCGCAUUGUGUGAGGGCGUGAGGAGAUUACGGUGGCCCUAGUGGCUUCUUGGGGAGCAUUGUGCCUCCACACCGCUCUAACAGAGACGUACUUCCCCUUAAAAGGAAGGAACUUCGGUAACACAUCCUCGUCUCCACCGGCUCCACUCUUGGUUUUCUUGUCCCUUUACUUUUGCAAGCUUACUUGUGCUAUAUCCAUUGCUUGCUUGUGUGCUUAUUGUCUUUGCAUCAUAUAGGUUGUCCACGUAGUUGCACAUCUAGACAACCUAUUUCACUACAAGUUUUAAAUUGUUAAAGAAAAGUCUAAAAAGUGUUAGUUGCCUAUUCACCCCCCCUCUAGUCAACCAUAUCGAUCCUUUCAAUUGGUAUCAGAGCCUCGUCUCUUUAUUAAGGACUUUGUCGUCUGAAGAGUAUGGUUGACGUCAACGAUGGUGCGGAGGAACACUCCGGUGUGAAUCCCAUCUCGUCUUUGGCUGAAGGGGGAACCUCGGUCUGACGUGAGGAAUUCAAUGUGGCUUUAGACACAUUGAAAACCUCCAUGACGGCCGAGGUUAAAAGCAUGUUUACUGAAUUUCUAGAGGGACUUAAACUAUCUACCUCACCAAUGAAAGUGGGUGAUCCCACUAACAAGGUGACGGAUGCUAACUCCGAUAAGGGGGAAGCUAACAAUGAAAAGAGUCCUUCUACUAGUGGUAGAAAUGGCACCGGCAUCUUUGCCCAUGUGGAACCCCCGGUGUAUAGAGGACCUAUCCCCUCUACUCAUUUGAAUCAUGCCGGUCCUCCUCCUAAAUAUGUGAAAAAUGAAGAUUAUGAUUCUUGGGUUUAUCGCUUCAAGCGUCAUUUAAAACAUGUGAAUACUAACCUUUGGAGAAUUAUUGAAGAAGGUUUCUAUCCUCAUGAUCCAAGCAACUUCACCCCUCGAGAAGAAGUGGACAAUCAAUUCAAUGAGAGUGCUCUCUUCAUCAUCCAAGAUGCUAUCCUUCCUGAAGAUCUCCCUCAUCUUCGACCUCAUGUCAUGGCUAAAGAAGCAUGGAAGUGUGUUGAGCGUAUGUAUAGAGGAAGUGCUAGCAUUCAACGCUCCAACUAUGAAGUGGUGCAAGAUGAAGCCGAUGAGUUUGCAAUGAAGGAGGAUGAAGAACCUCGUGAGCUCUUUCGAAGAGUGACCAAAUUUGCGGUCGCACUCCGAGAUCAUGGGAGUAAGGACACGGAUGACAACUGGAUCAAGUGCAAGUUCCUCAAGGCCAUGAUGCCCUACAACAAGGCCAUGUCCUCCGUCAUCCGCCAAAGACCGGACUUCCACUCCAUGACCUCUGGUGAAGUGUUGGAUGAGUUUGUUGCAAUGAACAUCUUGGAUAAGACCGCCGACAAUGCGGUGCUCCGUUCCCAAAGGGCAAACAAGCCCAAUCUUGCCUUGAAGGCCAAGGUUAGUGUGGAAGAAGAAGAAGAAGAGGAAGAUGAGGAGAGCAACCCCGAGGACACGAAGUAUGAUUAUCAUGAGCACAUGGCUCUUGCCUCAAGACGGUUUUGGAGUAAGAAGACUACAAGACCCAACUUCAACAAGAACAACUCAAGUGGCCUCAAGGGGAAGCAACGAGUUAGAACUUGUUUCAACUGUGGCAAUGUCAGCCAUUUCGUUGCGGAUUGUCCAUACGAGAAGCGGGAAGACAAUGGUGGCAAGUUCAUUCGAAAAGACAAAGCCAAGUCCUUCCCCAACAAGAACAACUUCACCAAGAAGACUCCUUCUUGCGGGUUGGUGGUUCAAGAAGAAUACCGUGAGGAUGACGAUGAUGAUGAAGAUGGUGAAACAAUGGCCAUGGCGUCCGUGGCCAUUGUCUCAACUCCUCGGGUGUCUCUCUUCGAUGCACCUAACGAGAACAUCACCGCCAAGUGCCUCAUGGCUAAGGCCACCAACAAGGUAACCCCCAACAUCAAAACCACCAUUAUUCCUAACCCUCCUUCAAUAGAUGACUUUGAUAAUGGUAAGGGGUCUAAUGAGGAGAUCAAUGAAUUUGAGUCCUUCAUGAGUAAGCUCAAGGGCAAAUCCAAGAAGCAUUUCGUUGCUCUCUUGGAACAACUUGGUGAAGCCAAUGACAUGAUCGGGGCUCAUGAAGAAACCAUCACUAAGAUGGAAAGUCAUAGUCAUGACUAUGCCGAUGAGAUAUCGGAUCUCUCUAAUGCUCUUGAGGAAGAGCGUGAGCAUCGUUUGGCUCUUGAGGAGUCACAAAACGAUGGUCAUGCUAAACUAAAGAAAGAUCUUGAUCAUGGUCUUGUUGUGUCUCGUGUUCUAGCUUCUGAGAAGGCUAAACUUGGGGUUGAUCAUGUUAUACUCACGGAGGAGUUUGAUGUACUUGAUAAGGCCCACAAGGUCUUGAAAGGUGCUCAUGCCACCCUCAAGGAGUCUCAUGCUCAACUCCAAGUGAAGCUAACUAAGGAAAAGGCCACAUUUCCUCACAUAGUCUUAAUUGAUAAUGCAAAUGCUACUAACCCAUGUUGUGAGCAUGUGCAUCUUGUGGAGGAAAAUGCCAAGUUGAAGGAACAACUUGAGAAAGGUCUUGUGUCAUGCAUACAAGGCGAGAAGAACCUAAAUGACCUUUUGAGCAAUCAAAAGGAAGUUGUGGGCAAGGAGGGAGUUGGGUUCGCACCCAAGUCCAAGAACAAGAAGAAGAACAAGGAGAAGAAGAGCAAGACCAAUCGACCUCCUCCGCUCACGCAAACCUUUGUGAAGGAGGGAGAAGGUGCUCCUAAGGAGAAUAAGAACAAUGGGAAGAGUGGUGAAGCCAAAGAGCGCAACGCCAUCUCUCCCAACAAAGCCGGCGACUUUAACCCCUCUUAUGUGUUGUGCCGUGCUAGUGAUGGACAUGUUUAUGCUAAAUUUGUUGGUUCUCCUUAUGAGUACAUUGAAUGGUCUAUUUGGGUUCCUAAGACCCUUGUUACUAACAUCAAAGGACCCAUUACUCAAUGGGUACCUAAAACCAAGCAUUGAUCUCUUGUAGGUGUUUGCUUCCGGUGGGGGAUCAUGGUUGCUCGAUAGUGGAGCAACAAAUCAUAUGACCGGGAGCAAGGACUUGGUGGUGGACGUGCACAAUAUCCCAUCUAUGCCCACCAAUGUCGAAUGGGGUGAUGCCUCACAUUCUAAGGUAUUGGGUCUUGGCAAGGUUGUCAUUUCUCAUGAUCUAACGAUCGAGAAAGUCAUGCUUGUUGAGUCCCUUGCGUUCAAUUUACUUUCCGUUCAUCAACUUGCACUCAUGGGUUUUGCCACCUUCUUUGAUAUUGAUACGGUGGCCCUCUUAUGGAGCAAGACUCUUAAAGUAGCCUUUGUUGGGCAUGUCGAGAAUGGUAUCUAUGUGGUUAACUUCUCGGAGCAACCCACUAAGACCGCGACAUGCCUAAUGGCUAAAGUUGAUGUGGGAUGGCUUUGGCAUCGCCGUUUAGCCCACGUCAAUAUGAGAUCUUUGCAAAGUCUUCUCAAGGGGGACCAUGUCCAUGGACUAACGAAUGUUAGUUUUGCCAAAGAUCGUGUUUGCAGUGCUUGUAUCGAAGGAAAGCUUCAUGAGAUGGCUCACCCUCCCACGACUAUCAUCUACUCGAAGAGACCCUUGGAGGUCCUCCACAUGGACCUCUUUGGGCCCCCAUCCUUUGAUAGUCUUGGGGGUAGAAAGUAUUGCUUGGUUAUAGUGGAUGAUUAUUCAAGAUACACGUGGGUAUACUUCUUCAAGAGGAAGAGUGAGACUCAACAAACCGUCAUCGACUUUGCAAAUGAAGCUCAAAGUCAACACAAUGCAAAGAUCUUGACAAUAAGAAGUGACAACGGCACCGAGUUCAAGAACUACACCUUGGAUGAGUUUCUUAGUGAUGAAGGGAUCAAGCAUCAAUAUUCUGCACCAUAUACCCCUCAACAAAAUGGUGUUGCGGAGAGGAAGAACCGGACGUUGAUGGAUGCGGCAAGGACCAUGAUGGCGGAGUUCAAGUCUCCAUACAACUUCUGGGACGAAGCCAUCAACACAGCUUGUCAUGCAUCCAAUCGGCUCUAUCUCCGCAAAGGCUUGAACAAGACUCCGUAUGAGAUACUCACCGGGAACAAGCCCAAUCUCAAGUACUUCCAGGUGUUCGGGUGUAAGUGUUUCAUUCUCAAGAAAGGUGUUCGUUUGUCUAAAUUUGAAGCUAGAGCUCAUGAGGGCAUAUUUGUUGGUUAUGCUACAAACUCUCAUGCUUACCGUGUUCUCAACAAGUCCAACGGACUCAUUGAGGAGACGUGUAACAUAGAGUUUGAUGAAAAUAACGGCUCCCAAGUGGAGCAAAGUGGUACUUGUGAUGUAGGUGAUGAAAUUCCUCCCCAAGCCAUAAGAAUAAUGGGUAUUGGUCAUAUCCUACCCAUUGAGGAACCCCUUGUGGCCGAAGGAGAAGGACAAUGCUCCACUCAAGUGGAGCCAUCACCUCCCCAAGACCCACACGCUUCCGAAGAACAAAGUGAAGGCCCUCACCUUCAUGAACAAGACCAAGGGCAAGAUCAACCUCAAGAUGGAGGUGAACCUCUAAAUGAUGCCCAAGGUCAAGUUCUCCCCCUCGAGCAAGUUCAAGAUCAUGAGCAAGCUCAAGACGGCGCUCAAGAUGAUCAAGUUAACCUUCCUCCUUCCACACCCGAGGAAGAAUUAGAGCGUCGUGCCGCGAAGAUUGCUUCCAAACUCACCACCCAAGGCCAUCUCAUGGAAAACGUGGUUGGAAGUCUAAGAAAGGGGGUAAGCACUCAUAGACAAUUAGCUAACUAUUGUGAACAUCAUGCGUUUGUCUCUUGUGUUGAACCCCAAAAGGUCUAUGAGGCGCUCGAAGACUCGGAUUGGCUCAAUGCCAUGCAUGAAGAACUAAACAACUUCGAGUACAACAAGGUGUGGAGAUUGGUGCCAAGACCUUCGGGGAACCACAACGUCAUUGGAACAAAGUGGAUCUUCAAGAACAAGCAAGAUGCUCAUGGGAACAUCAUUCGCAACAAGGCAAGAUUGGUAGCACAAGGCUACUCCCAAGUCGAGGGCAUCGACUACGGUGAAACCUUUGCUCCCGUUGCUCGUCUUGAAUCCAUUAGUUUGUUGAUUGCUUAUGCUUCCCAUCACAACUUUAAGUUGCAACAAAUGGAUGUGAAAAGUGCUUUUCUUAAUGGUCCCAUUAAUGAGUUGGUUUAUGUCAAGCAACCCCCCGGGUUCGAGGACCCCUACUUCCCGGAUCACGUGUAUCAACUCGAUAAGGCACUCUAUGGCCUUAAACAAGCCCCACGUGCGUGGUAUGACCACCUUACUGAGUUGCUACAAGAUCGUGGAUUUGAAGUAGGACAAAUCGAUCCCACUCUUUUUACUAAGAAGGUCAAAGGGGAGUUGUUUGUAUGCCAACUAUAUGUUGAUGAUAUUAUCUUUGGUUCUCCUAACAAAGCUUUCAAUGAGGAAUUUGCCGCUCUCAUGACCUCCAAGUUCAAGAUGUCUUCGAUGGGAGAGUUGAAGUUCUUCCUUGGUUUUGACAUCAAACAACGAAGAGAAGGAACCUUCAUCAACCAAGCCAAAUACACUCAAGACAUGCUUAAAAGAUUCAAGCUAAGUGAUGUCAAGCCGGCUUCUACACCAAUGCCUACCAAGUGCCAACUUGACAUCAAUCCCAAUGGUAAAGCGGUGGAUCAAAAGGUAUAUCGCUCCAUGAUUGGCUCCUUGCUUUACCUUUGUGCAUCUAGACCGGAUAUCAUGUUGAGUGUGGGGAUGUGUGCACGGUUUCAAGCCGCACCAAAGGAAAGUCACUAUGUGGCGGUCAAGAGAAUCUUUCGAUAUUUGGCUCAUACCCCAAACUUUGGCUUAUGGUACCCAAGAGGAGCAAAUUUCAAGCUUGAAGGUUUCACGGAUUCCGAUUGGGCGGGGGACAAAGUGGAUAGGAAGUCCACUUCCGGAGGGUGCCAAUUUCUUGGUUGCUCUUUGGUAAGUUGGUCUUCCAAGAAGCAAAGUUGUGUGUCCCUCUCGUCCACCGAAGCGGAGUAUGUGGCGGCCGGUAGUUGUUGUGCUCAACUCCUAUGGAUGAGGCAAACUUUAAAGGAGUACGGUGUCAUUUGUGACAAAGUGCCUCUUUGGUGUGAUAAUGAAAGUGCCAUCAAGAUUUCUCUCAACCCGGUACAACACUUCAAGACGAAGCACAUUGAGAUUCGGUAUCACUUCAUCCGGGAUCACAUUAGGCAAGGGGAGAUCGAGCUCAAGUAUGUCAACACUCAUGAUAACCUUGCAGAUAUUUUCACGAAGCCCUUGGAUGAAGCAAGAUUUCGCGAGUUAAGGCAUGAGCUAAAUAUCAUUGAUUCGAGCAAUGUGACUUGAACCCGUACACCCCCCACCACACUCAACGUGUUGUCUAGUUUAGGUGUAGGCAUGGACAUAGGGGGAGUGUUGUUCUCUCAAUGAACUCUCCCUCCCCCCAUUAUGCAUAAAUCGAUCACCUCUUUCACAUUAGCCAUUUUUAAUGGUACUUGUGCUUCAAAGACGAGUUUUGGUCAUGGGCCCAAGGAUAAUUCUUCGCGGUGCCAUACCAUCCAACUCAAACAUAGGUGGCUUCGGCCACCACCCUCUCUCCUCGAGAGGCUUUGUCGCUUGGUGGUUUCUUGUUGUCUUUUUGCCUCUGGUUUGUGCGUGUUCUUGUGGUUUCUUGUGUGUGAAAGUUUCCGUGCAAAGGCUUUUUCUUAUCGUGUUGAAACUUGCGGUGACUUGAGCUCACGGUACUACCGCGGCCAGAUACGGUACUACCGCAGCCAGCCAUGGUACUACCGCUUGCGGGAGCACGGUACUACCGUCACCACGCGGCAGUAAUUUUUUACUGCCGCCUGGUUGAGCGGUACUUCCGCCCGAGCGGUACUACCGCGAUGAUACGCGGUACUACCACGUCGGUUCGAGCGCGUGGGGAUAAGGAUGGGCAGGGGGAGUUUUAACUCCCCAUACCCAUUCGCUGUCCUCUCUCUCCAUGUCGCCUCCUUCUCUCCCUCGCUCAAGAACGGAGCCGGCGUUCAUCGCCGGAUCUCCUCCACCGGCUGCCCUCCCGUGAUUCCGACCGGUGGGAUCGUUCCCCACCACGUGCUCUUGAUAUGGACCAAGGUUUUUCCCCAACUCCCUCUCCGUGUUGAUUGUGUUUAGUGUUUCUAGGUUUUUGGGGAGGCUUGUGUGUUCUUGAGAUUCUUAGGCUUAAUCUCUGCAAGAGUAGGAUGAAGGAGCGUGGUAUUGCAUAGGAUUUAUACUUGUAUUAUUGUCUUGCGCUAGAUCGGAUCACCGUAGCACCGCCAUUGUUUCGCGGUUCUUUUCAGAUUCAAACCGCCAGUUGGAUCUGAUGCGACGCGGUACUACCGCCCGUCUGGCGCGGUACUAUCGCUUGCACGGUACUACCGCGCGUCUGGCGCGGUACUACCGCUUGCACGGUACUACCGCCCUUCGGGAGCGGUACUACCGCGCUCUGUGCGGUACUAAAAUUUUACUUCCGCUCCAACCACGGUACUACUGUGACCUCGCACGGUACUACCGCGUUUGGAGCAGUACUGAUAUUUUAGUACCGCAGGCAGUGGCAGUUCUACCGUGGCUCACAUCUAUCGCAUGCCAACUUUCUCGUAUGCCUUCUAUGUGUUUAUUGUGCUUUUUCGUGGCCUUUGCAUUGAUCCUUUCGUGUCUUUGGUGUUUUGCGUGUGUGUCUCAGGUGGCGGCUCUCGCCGGUCCAACCCCAGUCGUGACACUGGUUCCAAACGUCUGCGCAACCCGGGUGAUGUACCAGAGGGCUCGUCUGCCUCCAAGCGCAAUGUCAAGCACUCAACUAGCAAGCACAAGGAGCCCGCUAAGGGCAUGGAUGAGAUAGCCCAAGCUGAUUAUGUCCGUCUCAGGCAGCUUCACCCUUAUGUGCACCCGCGUUCCACUUUCAGAGGCUGUGAGCUGUUCUGGAACAAGCAACAGACCAACAUCUAUCUGGAUGUCAUCAAGAACAAGCAGAAUACCUAUGUGGAGGUGAAGUGGAUUGAUAUGCAUCACAUGAGGAAGAACAAGUUCCGUGACUACUUUGGAGAGGCUCUGGACUUGGUGGAGCAGUUUGGUAUUGAGCAUGUGUUAACCUUCCACCUCGACUAUGACCCUGAGCUUAUCUGUCAGUUCUUUGCCUCAGUCUACUUUCACUCCGAUGAGGAAUGGAGGAUGACCUGGAUGACCAAUGGUCGUAAGCUGUCUGCUACCUGGAAGGAGUUCAUGGAUCUUCUCCAGGUUCCUGAUGAUGGGCUCAACUCUCUAGUGGGUGUUCGCCCCCAUGCCAAUGAUGAGUCUGCCAGCAAGGACAGGCUUUCCCCAUUCAUGGUUGAGAAGGCGCUCGCCAAUGGCAAGACAACUUUGGUGCUCAACCCUUUCCUGGAUAUCAUGUAUCGCAUCUUCCGCAACUCCCUGUUCCCUCGCAUCGGUGACAAAGACAAGGUUCAUGCCUAUAUGGUGGACAUGAUGCUCAUCUGCGAGGAGGCUCGUUCUUCUCAGUCUCAGCCACUUGAUGUCUCACACAUCAUGUGGUGUGAGCUCCGGUUUGCAGUGUUCAACCGCAAGGUGCCUAUCUAUGGGCCCUAUCUGUUUCUGCUGAUUUCAAAGACUUGGGAGAAGAUGUUCCCUGAUGAGGAGUUUCUUGCUCCAGACUGGGUUCGCCAUGAGCCCCUGCCUGCGUAUCAAAUCCAACUGGGCCAACACCACUACUCGUGCCGAGGCGACUGCUGCUAGGGCUGCUGUUGAUGAGGAGGAUGAUGGCGCCGAGGAUGUUGCUGAGGGCCGUGCUGCUAGGCCUUCCCAGAGUGCCGCUAUGCCAUCAUGGGCCAAGAAGCUGAAGGACAAGAUGAAGACUCUUUUCUGCAUGCAAGCCAAGGGGCAGUACAGGACUCACGUGGCGUCCAAGGAGAGUCGUCGCCGGGACAACAAGAUCCUGCAGCUCUAUGGUGAGGCAGUGUCUGGGGGUCUGAGGAGCACAUCACUCCAGAGGCCGAGUGGAUGGAGAAGCAGGGCUACAGGUGGACUGAGUCUGAGGAGGAUGUCGAGGAGUCCAUCCCUGCUACCGAGAGACCGACGGAGAGGCUUGGGACGAGUUCUCUGCUUGAGCCACCUCUUGUGUGUAGGUGUCCUCUCUGCCUUUUUGGCGUCUCGAUGCCAAAGGGGGAGAGAGUGUAGGGAUUUGCGAGUGUGUCGUGUGUUUGCUGCUUUCUCGUUUGAACUAUUUGCUGCUUUCUCGUUUGAACCUCGGUAGCUUUACUUCGUAUGGUGUAAGACAUAUGCACUCUAUCUAUCCUAGCGAGCUUGUGUUAUAUUGUGCUAUCUUUAUGCUAUGCUAUGCUUAUUAUCAUGCCUUGGUCUCUAAAAUAUAGGGGGAGUGUUGAUCCUAGUCUGUGUGCUAUGCAGUCCAAAGCAUUCAUCUAAAGUGCACACAUCUAGGGGGAGCCCGUCUAUAUUUUAGAGAGGUGGGGUUUGCCCCUGCUCUAAAUUAUCUUAUCUAUAUGCAAAUCCCGUGUUGUCAUCAAUCCACCAAAAAGGGGGAGAUUGUAAGGGCAUAUUUAUCCCUCAGGUGUUUUGGUGAUUGAUGACAAUGCAUUUGCGGACUAAUUGUGUGCCAUGAGUUUCUCAGGUUAUUCAUCUCUAGGCACGAGACGAUUCGGUGCCCCUCGGAGACUUUUGAAGUCGGCGUUGUUCUACGUUUCUCUUUGGUGGAUUUGAGUCGUAGGAGAGCCGUACUAUUAAGAGGGGGUCCGCAUCGGAAAUGUUUGGGUGGAAUCAACACAUACACUUGUCCCUCCUUUCCCUGCAUUUUGGAGCUUCCCCUUGUUAUCUUGGUUGUGCGGAAAUCUGACGACUACUGCUGUACUUGCGGUAGUACCGCAAGUACACGCGGUAGUACCGCUAUGUGUCACGGUAGUACCGCUCAUCUGGAGCGGUAGUACCGCGGCUCCCAGGCCUUGUGCCGCUCCGGUGCGGUAGUAGGGGCGGAUGUAAUUUUUUACAUCCGCGCCCUCCACGGUAGUACCGCUCGUCCAGCGCGGUAGUACCGCGGGGGCCCACGGUAGUACCGCUCCCUAGGAGUCGUAGUACCGUGGCCCUCCUACCUAGUACCGCAGUGUCGCGGUUGUAGGCGCGGAUGUAAUUUUUUACAUCCGUGCCCGCACGGUAGUACCGCGCCUCGUGAGCGGUAGUGCCGCGUCGGAUUUUUGUACCACCUCUGUUUCAGCGGAAGUAGGCACGGAUGCAAUUUAUUUCAUCCGCGCCCUUCCCAGGCCGUGACUUUCCUGCCUAGCGGUAGUACCGCAAGUGGGUGCGGUAGUACCACACAAGCGGUAGUACUGCCCCCUUGUCAGGCUAGUUCCGGCCUGUGCUGCUGUCGCGGUAGUACUGUGGUCAGCCACGGUAGUACCGCACAGCUUCGCGGUAGUACCGCUCCCCUGGAGCGGUAGUACCGUGUGUCGCCGGCUGAACAUGUGGAUAACGGUUGGAUUCUUUCCACGACUAUAUAAGGGGUGUCUUCUACCUCUAGUUGACUACCUCUUCCAUCUCUAAGCUCCAUUGUUGCUCCAAGCUCCAUUUUCACUCGAUCUCUCUCCCUAGCCAAUCAAACUUGUUGAUUUGCUCGGGAUUGGGUGACAAGUGCCCGAUCUACACUUCCACCACAGGAUAUUUGAUUCCACCCACUUAUCCCUAGCGGAUCUUGUUACUCUUGGGUGUUGAGCACCCUAGACGGUUGAGGUCACCUCGAAGCCAUACUCCAUUGUGGUGAAGCUUCGCGGUAUUGUUGGGAGCCUCCAAGUGUUGUGGAGAUUGCCCCAAUCUUGUUUGUAAAGGUCCGGUUGCCGCCUUCAAGGGCUCCAAUAGUGGAAUCACGGCAUCUCGCAUUGUGUGAGGGCGUGAGGAGAUUACGGUGGCCCUAGUGGCUUCUUGGGGAGCAUUGUGCCUCCACACCGCUCUAACGGAGACGUACUUCCCCUUAAAAGGAAGGAACUUCGGUAACACAUCCUCGUCUCCACCGGCUCCACUGUUGGUUAUCUUGUCCCUUUACUUUUGCAAGCUUACUUGUGCUAUAUCCAUUGCUUGCUUGUGUGCUUAUUGUCUUUGCAUCAUAUAGGUUGUCCACGUAGUUGCACAUCUAGACAACCUAUUUCAUUGCAAGUUUUUUAAAUUGUUAAAGAAAAGUCUAAAAAGUGUUAGUUGCCUAUUCACCCCCCCUCUAGUCAACCAUAUCGAUCCUUUCAACUGUCCAAACAUACACAUUUUUGCUUUCUAGAUGGUUAUUUUGGUUUCUCUCAGAUACCUGUGUUAGCGAAGGAUCAAUCUAAAACUACUUUUACUUGCCCUUUUGGUACUUUUGCUUAUAGACGUAUGCCUUUUGGUUUAUGUAAUGCACCUGCUACCUUUCAAAGAUGCAUGAUGGCUAUAUUCUUUGAUUUUUGUGAAAAGAUUUGUGAGGUAUUCAUGGAUGACUUCUCCGUCUAUGGAUCCUCCUUUGAUGAUUGUUUGAGCAACCUUGAUCGAGUUUUGCAGAGAUGCGAAGACACUAGUCUCGUCCUGAAUUGGGAAAAGUGUCACUUUAUGGUUAAUGAAGGCAUUGUCUUGGGGCACAAGAUCUCCGAGCGAGGUAUUGAAGUUGAUAAAGCCAAAGUUGAUGCUAUUGAAAAGAUGCCAUGUCCCAAGGACAUAAAAGGUAUAAGAAGUUUCCUUGGUCAUGCCGGUUUUUAUAGGAGGUUCAUUAAGGACUUUUCUAAAAUCUCUAGGCCUCUGACUAAUUUAUUGCAAAAAGAUAUUCCUUUUGUCUUUGAUGAUGAUUGUGUAGAAGCUUUUGAAACACUUAAGAAAGCUUUGAUCACUGCACCUAUUGUUCAGCCACCUGAUUAGAAUUUACCUUUUGAAAUUAUGUGCGAUGCUAGUGAUUAUGAUGUAGGUGAUGUUCUUGGGCAAAGAGUUGAUAAGAAAUUGAAUGUUAUCCAGUAUGCUAGUAAGACUCUUGAUACUGCCCAGAGAAAUUAUGCUACUACUAAAAAAGAGUUCUUAGCAGUUGUGUUUGCUUGUGAUAAGUUUAGACCCUAUAUAGUUGAUUCCAAAGUUACUAUUCACACUGAUCAUGCUGCUAUUAAAUAUCUUAUGGAAAAGAAAGAUGCUAAGCCUAGACUCAUUAGAUGGGUUCUCUUGCUCCAAGAAUUUGACUUGCAUAUUAUUGAUAGAAAAGGAGCUGAGAACCCCGUUGCAGAUAACUUGUCUAGGUUAGAGAAUGUUCUUGAUGACCCACUGCCUAUUAAUGAUAGCUUUCAUGAUGAACAAUUAGCGGUCGUCAAUGCUUCUCGUACUGCUCCUUGGUAUGCUGAUUAUGCUAAUUACAUUGUUGCUAUAUUUAUACCGCCUAGUUUCACAUACCAGCAAAAGAAAAAGUUCUUUUAUGAUUUAAGACAUUACUUCUAGGAUGAUCCACACCUUUAUAAAGAAGGAGUAGAUGGUGUUAUUAGACGUUGUGUGCCUGAGCAUGAAUAGGAACAAAUUCUACGUAAGUGUCACUCUGAAUCUUAUGGAGGACACCACGCUGGAGAUAGAACUGCACACAAGGUACUACAAUCUGGUUUUUAUUGGCCUACUCUUUUCAAAGAUGCUCAUAAGUUUGUCUUAUGCUGUGAUGAAUGUCAAAGAAUAGGUAACAUUAGUAGACGACAAGAAAUGCCUAUGAAUUACUCUCUUGUUAUUGAACCAUUUGAUAUUUGGGGCUUUGAUUAUAUGGGACCUUUUCCUGCCUCUAAUGGUUAUACACAUAUUUUAGUUGCUAUUGAUUACGUUACUAAGUGGGUAGAAGCUAUUCCAACUAGUAGUGCUGAUCAUAACACUUCUAUUAAAAUGCUUAAAGAAGUUAUUUUUUCGAGGUUUGGAGUCCCUAGAUAUCUUAUGACUGAUGGCGGUUCACAUUUUAUUCAUGGUGCUUUCCGUAAGAUGCUUGCUAAGUAUGAUGUCAAUCAUAGAAUCAUAUCUCCUUAUCAUCCGCAGUAUAGUGGUCAAGUAGAGUUGAGCAAUAGAGAGCUCAAAUUAAUUUUGCAAAAGACUGUGAAUAGAUCUAGAAAGAAUUGGUCCAAAAAACUUGAUGAUGCAUUAUUGGCCUAUAGAACUGCAUACAAAAAUCCUAUGGGUAUGUCUCCUUAUAAGAUGGUUUAUGGAAAAGCGUGUCAUUUACCUCUUGAACUUGAACAUAAGGCAUAUUGGGCUAUCAAAGAGCUCAAUUAUGACUUCAAACUUGCCGGUGAGAAGAGGUUAUUCGAUAUUAGCUCACUUGAUGAAUGGAGAACCCAAGCAUAUGAGAGUGCCAAGCUUUUCAAAGAAAAAGUCAAACACUGGCAUGAUAAGAGGAUACAAAAGCGUGAGUUUAACGUAGGAGAUUAUGUGUUAUUAUUCAACUCUCGCUUAAGAUUUUUUGCAGGAAAACUUCUCUCAAAAUGGGAAGGUCCCUAUGUUAUCGAGGAGGUCUAGCAUUCUGGUGCUAUAAAAAUCAACAACUUCGAAGGCACGAAUCCGAGGGUGGUAAACGAUCAAAGAAUUAAACACUAUAUUUCAGGUAAUCCUAUCAAUGUUGAAACUAAUAUUAUUGAAACCAUAACCCCUGAGGAAUACAUAAGGGACACUUUCCAGAACGUUCCAGACUCCGAAAAGGCAUAGGUAUGUGGUACGGUAAGUAAACCGACUCCAAAACAACUCCAAUGGCAAUUUUUAUCAGUUUUGGAUUAUUUAAGAAUUUUAGGAAGAAAGAAGUAGUCCGAAAGGGACACGAGGCUCCCAUGAGAGUGGAGGGUGCCCCCCUGUAGGGCGCGCCCCCCUGUCUCGUGGGCACCUCGUGUGCCCCCGGACUCCAUUUUCUUGUAUGUUACGUAUUUUGGUCGGUAAAAAUUCAUUAUAUAUACUCCCGAAGGUUUUUACCACCGUGUCACACAAAUAUCCUCUGUUUUCGUUUUGAGCUGUUUCUGUUUCAGAUCUAGAGCAUCAUGGCGUCUCCAAGCGCUCCCGAGGACAAGUUUUUUAGAGGGUUAUCAACCCCUAUCUCGCGGAGGUGCUGCAACACCCUCAAACCAUUGAGAUGCAUGAGGGGGUGCUGCACAUCCGCGAUGUGGAGGGACCAAGGCGUACCGGAAGCAUGGAGACAAAGCUCGAAGGCAUGGAGCAGGAAGUUUUCAAGUGUCAAGGGAUGGUGGAGCGUGGACUCAACGCCAACCAGAUGAUGAUCACGGAGUUCACCAACAAUCACAAGCUAGAUGCUAAAGUCAUUGGGGAGACCAUCUUCAAGCUUCAAGAGAAAAUCGAGCACCUCCAGGCCCAAAUCUAUGACCUGCAAAACCAGAACUGUGAGUAUGAAUAUAGAUUCAAACGAAUGAGUUUGGCUGCAAAUUUAAGGAUCCCGGAGACUCGAUCGUCCUUUUAUGAUGGAGAACCUAUGCCUUGGAAGACGGACGAUAAGCCUACAUCAUCAACAACUCCUACUUCACCACCUCCGAGGAAAUAAUCACAUGGGUACGGGCACUCCCCUUGGAAACUGCCAAGCUUGAGGGAGGUGCCCCGGUAUCGUAUCACCAUCACACUCCUAUCUUUACCGCUUUAUUUAGUUCGAUCCUUUUAGUAGUAUCUUGAUUUAGUAGUUUGAAGUUUUGAUAUCAAGUAGUUUGAGUUUUGCAUUGUGAUCUCUUUAUGUAAUUGAGUCUGUGUGCUAUCUAUAAUAAAGUUUAGUGUUGAGUCAAGGGCUUUGCUAUGUGCUAUGAUCUUGAGAAAGUAGAAAGAAUAAAAGAGUUCAUAUUGAUCUUAUGGAUAGUGAUAACUUCACACAUAGAAAGUAUGAGGCAUAAAAAUUGUUGAGAGUUGAUGAACGUAGCCUUGGUCAUCGUUGCAAUUAAUAGGAAGUGAUAAGGAAAGAGGGGUUCACAUAUAGAUAUAUUAUCUUGGACAUCUUUUAUGAUUGUGAAGCACCCAUUAAGUAUGACAUGCUAAAAGAGUUGAUGUUGGACAAGGAAGACAACGUAAUGGUUUAUGUUUACUGACAUCUCAGUUAAAGUAUAUUGUCAUUGACCUUCCAAACAUGUUGAGCUUGCCUUUCCCCCUCAUGCUAGCCAAAUUCCUCGCACCAACUAGAAAUACUACUUGUUCUUCCAAAUAUCCUUAAACCCAGUUUUGCCAUGAGAGUCCACCAUACCUACCUAUGGAUUGAGUAAGAUCCUUCAAGUAAGUUGUCAUCGGUGCAAGCAAUAAAAAUUGCUCUCUAAAUAUGUAUGACUUAUUAGUGCAGAGAAAAUAAGCUUUGUACGAACUUGUUGUGGAAGUAAUAAAAGCAACGGACUGCAUAAUAAAGGUCCACACACAAGGGGCAAUAUAAAGUGACGUUCUUUUGCAUUAAGAUUUCAUGCAUCAACCCUAAACGCGCAUGACAACCUCUGCUUCCCUCUGCGAAGGGCCUAUCUUUUACUUUAUGUUUUUACUUUAUGCUUGAGUCAAGGUGAUCCUCACCUUUCCCUUUUUAUUUUUAUCCUUUGGCAAGCUCCUCGUGUUUGAAAGAACAUGAUAUAUAUAUCUAAUUGGAUGUAAGUUAGCAUGGGCUAUUAUUGUUGGCAUCACCUAAAGGUGAAUAUGUGAGGAGGCAACACAAUAAGCCCCUACUUUCUCAGUGUCCGGCUGAAACUCUAUAACCACAAGUACUGCGUGAGUGUUAGCAAUUGUAGGAGACUACGAGAUAGUUGAGUAUGUGAGCUUGUUAAAAAUCUCUAUUAUUGACCCUUUCUGAGGUUACGAUAAAUUGCAAUUGCUUCAGUGACUGAGAUUAUAGUUUGUUAGUUCCCAAUGAAGUUUCUGAACCAUACUUGAUAUUGUGAAUUGCUUGUUACUUGAGCAUAGGAAAUCAUAUGACAAAAUUUAUAUAUGUUACUGUUAUUAGAAUGAUCAUGAUGCCCUCAUGUCCGUAUUUUAUUUUUAUCGACACCUCUAUCUCUAAACAUGCAGACAUAUUUUUUGAUUUCGGCUUCCGCUUGAGGACAAGCGAGGUCUAAGCUUGGGGGAGUUGAUACGUCCAUUUUGCAUCAUGCUUUUAUAUCAAUAUGUAAUGCAUUAUGGGAUGUUAUUAUACAUUAUAUCUCAAUACUUAUGGCUAUUCUCUCUUAUUUUACAAGGUUUACCAUGAAGAGGGGGAAUGCCGGCAGCUGGAAUUCUGGCUGAAAAAGGGGUAAACGUUGGAAACCUAUUCUGCACAACUUCAAAAGUCCUGAAACUCCACGAAAUAAAAUUUUGGAAUUAAUAAGAAUUUAUGAGUGAAAGAAAUAGGCCAGGGGGCCCACACCCUGUCCAGGAGACAGCCCCCCCUAUAGGGCGCGCCCCUAUCUCCUGGGCCCCCUGGUGGGCCUCCGGCGUCCAUCUUCUGCUAUACCAUCACUUUUACCCUGGAAAAAAAUCCUGGGCAAGCUUACGGGACGAAACUCCGCCGCCACGAGGCGGAACCUUGGCGGAAUCAAUCUAGGGCUCUGGCGGAGCUGUUCUGCCGGGGACACUUCCCUCCGGGAGGGGGAAAUCAUCACCAACGUCAUCACCAAUGAUCCUCUCAUCGGGAAGGGGUCAAUCUUCAUCAACAUCUUCAUCAGCACCAUCUCAUCUCAAACCCUAGUUCAUUUCUUGUAUCCAAUCUUGUAUCAAAACCACAAAUUUGUACCUGUGGGUUGCUAGUAGUGUUGAUUACUCCUUGUAGUUGAUACUAAUUGGUUUACUUGGUGGAAGAUCAUAUGUUCAGAUCCUUUAUGAAUAUUAUUACCCCUCUGAUUAUGAACAUGAAUAUGCUUUGUGAGUAGUUACGUUUGUUCCUGAGGACAUGGGAGAAGUCUUGCUAUUAGUAGUCAUUUGAAUUUGGUAUUCGUUCGAUAUUUUGAUGAGAUGUAUGUUGUCUUUUCCUCUAGUGGUGUUAUGUGAACGUCGACUACAUGACACUUCACCAUCAUUUGGGCCUAGAGGAAGGCAUGGGGAAGUAAUAAGUAGAUGAUGGGUUGCUAGAGUGACAGAAGCUUAAACCCUAGUUUAUGCGUUGCUUCGUUAAGGGUUGAUAUGGAUCCAUAUGUCUAAUGCUAUGGUUAGGUUUACCUUAAUACUUAUUUUUGUAGUUGCGGAUGCUUGCAAUAGGGGUUAAUCAUAAGUGGGAUGCUUGUCCAAGUUAGGUCAGUACCCAAGUACCGGUCCACCCACAUAUCAAAUUAUCAAAGUACCGAACGCGAAUCAUUUGAGCGUGAUGGAAACUAGCUUGACGAUAAUUCCCAAUGUGUCCUCAAGAGCUCCUUCCUCAUUAUUAGAAAUUGUCCAGGCUUAUCCUUUGCUACAUAAAGGAUUGGACCACCUUCCUGCACUUUAUUUACUUUAUUUACUUGUUGCUAAUUACUAUUUAUCUUAUCACAAAACUAUCUAUUACCUACAAUUUCAGUGCUUGCAGAGAAAACCUUACUGAAAACCGCUUAUCAUUUCCUUCUGCUCCUCGUUGGGUUCGACACUCUUACUUAUCGAAAGGACUACGAUAGAUCCCCUACACUUGUGGGUCAUCACCCCACUGGAAGAAGAGCACUUCAGGUCUCUUCGCUUCUUGUGACAAUCUGACUCUGGGUGACUUGGCCUGUUGUAGUAGCCACAGAAGGUGUGGGAGCGCGACCGACCCUCCCCUGAAGGUGUGGGCAGAAGUGGUGGAGCAGAAGACAUAGGAGCACGGGCAGCAAGACAGUAGGAACCACAAGAAGACCAGCAGACCGGAGGCGUGUCUCCUCAGCACGAAGCUCUGCAAGCACCUCCGAAAUAGGAACACGACCACGAGCAAGCAUGUGAGCAUGGCGAGGCUCAAACUCAGACCGGAGGCGAGAUAAGAACUCAUGAACCCUCUGAAACUCUAAGUCAGACCUCGUAGUCUGGUAACAACGACAAGUGCCACAAACAAUUGUCUGCAGUGAGUCAAGCUGACGCCAGAUGGCAGAGCACUGAGAGUAGAACUCAUCAACAGACGAGUCACCCUGCUGAAGAGCAUGCUCCUGACGCACCACAGAGAGGUACAGAGCAUUGCAGAGGGCUGAUAGCGCUGACAAAGAUAGGACCACAUCGCUGCAAUAGUGCCGAGGCCCAUGAACUCCAAAGCAAACUGAGGGAGGACACUCGCAAUGAGAACAACAGCAGCACGAGCAUCAUCAUUACACCACUGAGUGUAAGUAGACAGAUCAUCCCGAUAGACAGAAAGAGCAUCGGAAUAUGCAGAUACCUAUUGAUCGUAGGUAGCAACGGCAGCAUCAUCAAAGGCCUUGGCGGCAUCCCGAUCAGCCUGUGAAGCCUCAGCAGCAAGCACCGGUGGUACUGGCAAAACAAGAGAAACUGUAGCAACAGGACAUGGCGGACAGGAUACCUCUCCAGAUAAAACGCCCCACAGCAGAAGACCGCACAUGUGAAUACGCAUGAAGCCCGCAAACUCGGCAUAGUUAGUGCCAUCGAAGAUCACCGAGCACCGAGGAACAACGACAUAGCCCGAAGAAGACAUGAGGGAGUCACUCUUCGCGUCCAUGUUUUUUUGGUCAACACAGAACACCCGAGUAGAGUCCGGAGCGAGGGGCCCAAACUGUAUUCGGCUCGAGAGGCCCGAAGUGUAUGCGGGAGGAGCCCCGUGUUGGAGAAUGUUGCAGAAAAUAAAAAAUUUCUACGCUUCACCAAGAUCAAUCUAUGGAGUCAUCUAGCAACGAGAGAGAGGAGUGCAUCUACAUACCCUUGUAGAUCACGAGCGGAAGCGUUCAAGAGAACGGGGUAGAUGGAGUCGUACUCGUCGUGAUCCAAAUCACCGAUGAUCCUAGCGCCGAACGGACGGCACCUCCGCGUUCAACACACGUACGGUUGGGAGAGACGUCUCCUCCUUCUUGAUCCAGCAAGGGGGAAGGAGAGGUUGAUGGAGAUCCAGAAGCACGGCGACGUGGUGGUGGAAGUAGCGGGGAUCUCGACAGGGCUUCACCAAGCUCAGCGAGAGGGAGAGGUGUUACGGGGGGAGAGGAAGGCGCCAGGGGCUUGGGUGUGCAGCCCUCCCUCCCCCCUCUUUAUAUAGGGGCCCUGGGGGGGCGGCCCCCUAGAGAUCCAAUCUCAAGGGGGGGGGGGAGGGGGCGGCCAAAGGGGAGAACUUGCCCCCCAAGUCAGGUGGGGCGCCCCCACCCCCAGGGUUUCCAACCCUAGGCGCAGGGGGAGGCCCAAGGGGGGCGCACCAGCUCACCAGGGGCUGGUUCCCUUCCCACUUCAGCCCAUGGGGCCCUCCGGGAUAGGUGUCCCCACCCGGUGGACCCCCGGGACCCUUCCGGUGGUCCCGGUACAAUACCGGUGACCCCCGAAACUUUCCCGAUGGCCGAAACUGGACUUCCUAUAUACAAAUCUUUACCUCCGGGCCAUUCCGGAAAUCCGUCCGGGAUCUCAUUCGGGACUCCGAACAACUUUCGGGUUACCGCAUACUAAUAUCUCUACAACGCUAGCGUCACCAAACCUUAAGUGUGUAGACCCUACGGGUUCGGGAAUCACGCAGACAUGACCGAGACAGCUCUCCGGCCAAUAACCAACAGCAGGAUUUGGAUACCCAUGUUGGCUCCCACAUGUUCCACGAUGAUCUCAUCGAAUGAACCAUGAUGUCGAGGAUUCAAGUAAUCCCGUAUACAAUUCCCUUUCUCAAUCAGUAUGUUACUUGCCCGAGAUUCGAUCAUCGGUAUCUCAGUACCUCAUUCAAUCUCGUUACCGGCAAGUCACUUUACUCGUACCAUAAUGCAUUAUCCCAUGACCAACCACUUGGUCACAUUGAGCUCAUUAUGAUGAUGCAUUACCGAGUGGGCCCACAGAUACCUCUCCGUCACACGGAGUGACAAAUCCCAGUCUCGAUUCGUGUCAACCCAACGGACACUUUCGGAGAUACCUGUAGUAUACCUUUAUAGCCACCCAGUUACGUUGUGAUGUUUGGUACACCCAAAUCACUCUUACGGUAUCCGGGAGUUACAAGAUCUCAUGGUCUAAGGAACUGAUACUUGGCAUUAGAAAAGCUCUAGCAAACGAACUACACGAUCUUGUGCUAUGCUCAGGACUGGGUCUUGUCCAUCACAUCAUUCUCCCAAUGAUGUGAUUCCGUUAUCAAUGACAUCGAAUGUCCAUGGUCAGGAAACCGUAACCAUUCAUUGAUAAACGAGCUAGUCAACUAGAGGCUCACUAGGGACAUGUUGUGGUCUAUGUAUUCACACAUGUAUUACGAUUACUGGAUAACACAAUUAUAGCAUGAACAAUAGACAAUUAUCAUGAACAAGGAAAUAUAAUAAUAACCAAUUUAUUAUUGCCUCUAGGGCAUAUUUCCAACAGUCUCCCACUUGCACUAGAGUCAAUAAUCUAGUUACGUUGUGAUGAAUCAAACACCCAUAGAGUUCUGGUGUUGAUCAUGUUUUGCUCGCGGAAGAGGUUUAGUCAACGGAUCUACGACAUUCAGAUCCGUAUGCACUUUACAAAUACCUAUGUCUCCAUCUUGAACAUUUUCAUGAAUGGAGUUGAAGAGACGCUUGAUGUGCCUGGUCUUCUUGUGAAACCUGGGCUCCUUGGCAAGGGAAAUGGCUCCAGUGUUGUCACAGGAGAGAGUCAUCGGCCCCGACGCAUUGGGAAUAACUCCUAGGUCGGUAAUGAACUCCUUCAUCCAGAUUGCUUCAUGUGCUGCCUCCGAGGCUGCCAUGUACUCCGCUUCACAUGUAGAUCCCGCCACGCCGCUUUGCUUGCAACUGCACCAGCUUACUGCCCCACCAUUCAAAAUAUACACGUAUCCGGUUUGUGACUUAGAGUCAUCCAGAUCUGUGUCGAAGCUAGUGUCGAUGUAACCCUUUACGACGAGCUCUUCGUCACCUCCAUAAAUGAGAAACAUAUCCUUAGUCCUUUUCAGGUACUUUAGGAUAUUCUUGACUGCUGUCUAGUGUUCCAUGCCGGGAUUACUUUGGUACCUUCCUACCAAACUUACGACAAGGUUUACAUCAGGUCUGGUACACAGCAUAGCAUACAUAAUAGACCCUAUAGCCGAGGCAUAGGGGAUGCCACUCAUCUUUUCUCUAUCUUCUGUCGUGGUCGGGCAUUGAGCUGAGCUCAAUUUCACACCUUGCAACACAGGCAAGAACCCCUUCUUGGAAUGAUCCAUAUUGAUCUUCUUCAAUAUCUUAUCAAGGUAUGUGCUUUGUGAAAGACCUAUGAGGCAUCUCGAUCUAUCUCUAUAGAUCUUGAUGCCUAAUAUGUAAGCAGCUUCUCCAAGUUUCUUCAUUGAAAAACACUUAUUCAAGUAGGCCUUAAUGCUGACCAAAAGUUCUAUAUCAUUUCCGAUCAAAAGUAUGUCAUCUACAUAUAAUAUGAGAAAUGCUACAGAGCUCCCACUCACUUUCUUGUAAAAGCAGGCUUCUCCAUAAGUCUACAUAAACCCAAACGCUUUGAUCAUUUCAUCAAAGCGAAUGUUCCAACUCCGAGAUGCUUGCACCAGCCCAUAGAUGGAGCGCUGGAGCUUGCAUACCUUGUUAGCAUUCUUAGGAUCGACAAAACCUUCCGGCUGCAUCAUAUACAAUUCUUCCUUAAGAUAAUUGUUAAGGAAUGCCAUUUCGACGUCCAUUUGCCAUAUCUCAUAAUCAUAGUAUGCGGCAAUUGCUAACAUGAUUCAGACGGACUUCAGCUUUGCCACGGGAGAGAAAGUCUCAUCGUAGUCAACCCCUUGAACUUGUCGAUAACCCUUAGCGACAAGUCGAGCCUUAUAGAUGGUAACAUUACCAUCCGCGUCCGUCUUCUUCUUAAAGAUCCAUUUAUUUUCUACCGCUUGCCGAUCAUCGGGCAAGUCUGUCAAAGUCCAUACUUUGUUUUCAUACAUGGAUCCUAUCUCGGACUGCAUGGCUUCAAGCCAUUUGUUGGAGUCUGGGCCCACCAUCGCUUCUUCAUAGUUCGAAGGUUCACCGUUGUCUAACAACAUGAUUUCCAGGACAGGGUUGCCAUACCAUUCUGGUGUGGAACGUGUCCUUGUGGACCUUCGAAGUUCAGUAGCAACUUGAUCCAAAGUACCUUGAUCAUCAUCAUUAACUUCCUCUCUAGUCGGUGCAGGCACCACAGGAACAUCUUCCUGAGCUGCGCUACUUUCCGGUUCAAGAGGCAGUACUUUAUCAAGUUCUACUUUCCUCCCACUUAUUUCUUUCGAGAGAAACUCUUUCUCCAGAAAGGACCCGUUCUUGGCAACAAAGAUCUUGCCUUCGGAUAUAAGGUAGAAGGUAUACCCAAUGGUUUCCUUAGGGUAUCCUAUGAAGACGCAUUUUUCUGACUUGGGUUCGAGCUUUUCAGGUUGAAGUUUCUUGACAUAAGCAUCGCAUCCCCAAACUUUUAGAAACGACAGCUUAGGUUUCUUCCCAAACCAUAAUUCAUAUGGUGUCGUCUCAACAGAUUUAGACUGUGCCCUAUUUAAAGUGAAUGUAGCUAUCUCUAGAGCGUAUCCCCAAAAUGAUAGCGGUAAAUCGGUGAGUGACAUCAUAGAUCGCACCAUAUCCAAUAGAGUGCGAUUACGACAUUCGGACACACGGUUACGCUGAGGUGUUCCAGGCGGCGUGAGUUGUGAAAUGAUUCCACAUUUCCUUAAGUGUGUACCAAAUUCGUGACUUAAAUAAUCUCCCCCAUGAUCUGAUCGUAAAAACUUUAUCUUUCGAUCACGUUGAUUCUCUACCUCACUCUGAAAUUCCUUGAACUUUUCAAAGGUCUCAGACUUGUGUUUCAUCAAGUAGACAGACCCAUAUCUACUUAAAUCGUCAGUGAGAGUGAGAACAUAACGAUAGCCUUCGCGAGCCUCAACGCUCAUUGGAUCGCGCACAUCAGUAUGUAUGAUUUCCAAUAAGUUGGUUGCUCGCUCCAUUGUUCCGAAGAACGAAGUCUUGGUCAUUUUGCCCAUGAGGCAUGGUUUGCAUGUGCCAAAUGAUUCGUAAUCAAGAGACUCCAAAAGUCCAUCAGCAUGGAGCUUCUUCAUGCGUUUGACACCAAUGUGACCAAGGCGGCAGUGCCACAAGUAUGUGGGACUAUUGUUAUCAACCUUGCAUCUUUUGGUAUUCACACUAUGAAUAUGUGUAACAUCACGUUCGAGAUUCAUUAAGAAUAAACCAUUGACCAGCGGGGCAUGACCAUAAAACAUAUCUAUCAUAUAAAUAGAACAACCAUUAUUCUCGGAUUUAAAUGAGUAGCCAUCUCGUAUUAAACGAGAUCCAGAUACAAUGUUCAUGCUCAAAGCUGGCACUAAAUAACAAUUAUUGAGGUUUAAAACUAAUCCCGUAGGUAAAUGUAGAGGUAGCGUGCCGAUGGCGAUCACAUCGACCUUGGAACCAUUCCCGACGCGCAUUGUCACCUCAUCCUUCGCCAGUCUCCGCUUAUUCCACAGCUCCUGUUUUGAGUUACAAAUAUGAGAAACCGCACCGGUAUCGAAUACCCAGGAGCUACUACGAGUACUGGUAAGGUACACAUCAAUUAAAUGUAUAUCACAUAUACCUUUGGUGUUGCCGCCUUCUUGUCCGCUAAGUACUUGGGGCAGUUCCUCUUCCAGUGUCCGCUUCCCUUGCAAUAAAAGCACUCAGUCUUAGGUUUGGGUCCAUGCUUUGGCUUCUUCCCGGCAACUGGCUUACCAGGCGCGGCAACUCCCUUGCCGUCCUUCUUGAAGUUCUUCUUACCCUUGCCUUUCUUGAAACUAGUGGUUUUAUUGACCAUCAACACUUGAUGUUCCUUUUUGAUCUCCACCUCCGCUGAUUUCAGCAUUGAAUAUACCUCAGGAAUGGUUUUCACCAUCCCCUGCAUAUUGAAGUUCAUCACAAAGCUCUUGUAGCUAGGUGGGAGCGACUGGAGGAUUCUGUCGACCACCGCGUCAUCCGGGAGAUUAACUCCCAGUUGAGAUAAGCGGUUGUGCAACCCAGACAUUUUGAGUAUGUGCUCGCUGAAAGAACCAUUCUCCUCCAUCUUACAACUGUAGAACUUGUCGGAGACUUCAUAUCUCUCGACCCGGGCGUGAGCUUGGAAAACCAUUUUCAGCUCUUGGAACAUAUCAUAUGCUACGUGCUGCUCAAAAUGCUUUUGGAGCCCUGGUUCUAAGCUGUAAAGCAUGCCGCACUGAACCAGGGAGUAAUCAUCACUACGCGACUGCCAGGCGUUCAUAACGUCUUGAGUUGCUGGGAAAACAGGUGCUUCACCUAGCGGUGCAUCUAGGACAUAUGCUUUCUUGGCAGCUAUGCGGAUGAUCCUCAAGUUCCGGACCCAGUCCGUAUAGUUGCUGCCAUCGUCUUUCAACUUGGUUUUCUCUAGGAACGCAUUGAAGUUGAGGGCAACAUUAGCGUGGGCCAUUUGAUCUACAAGACAUAUAUUGCAAAGAUUUUAGACUAAGUUCAUGAUAAUUAAGUUCAUCUAAUCAAAUUAUAUAAUGAACUCCCACUCAGAUAGACAUCCCUCUAGUCAUCUAAGUGAUCCAUGAUCCGAGUCAACUAGGCCGUGUCCGAUCAUCACGUGAGACGGACUAGUCAUCAUCGGUGAACAUCUUCAUGUUGAUCGUAUCUUGUAUACGACUCAUGUUCGACCUUUCGGUCUCUUGUGUUCCGAGGCCAUGUUUGUACAUGCUAGGCUCGUCAAGUCAACCUAAGUGUUUUGCAUGUGUAAAUCUGGCUUGCACCCAUUGUAUGUGAACGUUAGAAUCUAUCACACCCGAUCAUCACGUGGUGCUUCGAGACAACGAACUUUCGCAACGGUGCACAGUUAGGGGGAACACUUUCUUGAUAUUAUUAUGAGGGAUCAUCUUAUUUACUACCGUUGUUCUAAGCAAAUAAGAUGCAAAAACAUGAUAAACAUCACAUGCAAUCAAAUAGUGACAUGAUAUGGCCAAUAUCAUUUUGCUCCUUUUGAUCUCCAUCUUCGGGGCGCCAUGAUCAUCAUUGUCACCGGCAUGACACCAUGAUCUCCAUCAUCGUGUCUUCAUGAAGUCGUUACGCCAAUGAUUACUUCUACUACUAUGGCUAACAGUUUAGCAACAAAGUAAAGUAAUUACAUGGCGCUAUUCAAUGACACACAGGUCAUACAAUAAAUAAAGACAGCUCCUAUGGCUCCUGCCGGUUGUCAUACUCAUCGACAUGCAAGUCGUGAUUCCUAUUACAAGAACAUGAUCAAUCUCAUACAUCACAUAUAUUUCAUUCAUCACAUCCUUUUGGCCAUAUCACAUCACAAGGCAUAUGCUGCAAAAACAAGUUAGACGUCCUCUAAUUGUUGUUGCAUGUUUUUACGUGGCUGCUAUAGGUUUCUAGCAAGAACGUUUCUUACCUACGCCAAAACCACAACGUGAUAUGUCAAUUUCUAUUUACCCUUCAUAAGGACCCUUUUCAUCGAAUCCUAUCCGACUAAACUGGGAGAGACAGACACUCGCUAGCCACCUUAUGCAACUAGUGCAUGUCAGUCGGUGGAACCUGUCUCACGUAAGCGUACGUGUAAGGUCGGUCCGGGCCGCUUCAUCCCACGAUGCCGCCGAAACAAGAUAAGACUAGUAUUGACAAGUAAAUUGACAAAAUCGACGCCCACAACAAUCUUGUGUUCUACUCGUGCAUAGAAACUACGCAUAGACCUAGCUCAUGAUGCCACUGUUGGAGAAGGUUGCAGAAAAUAAAAAAUUUCUACGCUUCACCAAGAUCAAUAUAUGGAGUCAUCUAGCAACGAGAGAGAGGAGUGCAUCUACAUACCCUUGUAGAUCGCGAGCGGAAGCGUUCAAGAGAACGGGGUUGAUGGAGUCGUACUCGUCGUGAUCCAAAUCACCGAUGAUCCUAGCGCCGAACGGACAGCACCUCCGCGUUCAACACACGUACGGUUGGGAGAGACGUCUCCUCCUUCUUGAUCCAGCAAGGGGGAAGGAGAGGUUGAUGGAGAUCCAGCAGCACGACGGCGUGGUGGUGGAAGUAGCGGGGAUCUCGGCAGGGCUUCGCCAAGCUCAGUGAGAGGGAGAGGUGUUACGGGGGGAGAGGGAGGCGCCAGGGGCUUGGGUGCGCAGCCCUCCUUUCCCCCUCUCUAUAUAGGGGCCCUGGGGUGGGGGGGCACCGGCCCCCUAGAGAUCCAAUCUCNNNNNNNNNNNNNNNNNNNNNNNNNNNNNNNNNNNNNNNNNNNNNNNNNNNNNNNNNNNNNNNNNNNNNNNNNNNNNNNNNNNNNNNNNNNNNNNNNNNNNNNNNNNNNNNNNNNNNNNNNNNNNNNNNNNNNNNNNNNNNNNNNNNNNNNNNNNNNNNNNNNNNNNNNNNNNNNNNNNNNNNNNNNNNNNNNNNNNNNNNNNNNNNNNNNNNNNNNNNNNNNNNNNNNNNNNNNNNNNNNNNNNNNNNNNNNNNNNNNNNNNNNNNNNNNNNNNNNNNNNNNNNNNNNNNNNNNNNNNNNNNNNNNNNNNNNNNNNNNNNNNNNNNNNNNNNNNNNNNNNNNNNNNNNNNNNNNNNNNNNNNNNNNNNNNNNNNNNNNNNNNNNNGGGCUGGUUACCUUCCCACUUCAGCCCAUGGGCCCCUCCGGGAUAGGUGGCCCCACCCGGUGGACCCCUGGGACCCUUCCGGUGGUCCCGGUACAAUACCGGUGACCCCCGAAACUUUCCCGGUGGCCGAAACUGGACUUCCUAUAUACAAAUCUUUACCUCCGGACCAUUCCGGAACUCCUCGUGAUGUCCGGGAUCUCAUCCUGGACUCCGAACAACUUUCGGGUUACCGCAUACUAAUAUCUCUACAACCCUAGCGUCACCAAACCUUAAGUGUGUAGACCCUACGGGUUCAGGAAUCACGCAGACAUGACCGAGACAGCUCUCCGGCCAAUAACCAAUAGCGGAAUCUGGAUACCCAUGUUGGCUCCCACAUGUUCCACGAUGAUCCCAUUGAAUGAACCACAAUGUCGAGGAUUCAAGUAAUCCCGUAUACAAUUCCCUUUGUCAAUCGGUAUGUUACUUGCCCGAGAUUCGAUCGUCGGUAUCCCAAUACCUCGUUCAAUCUCGUUACCGGCAAGUCACUUUACUCGUACCGUAAUGCAUGAUCCCGUGGCCAAUCACUUGGUCACAUUGAGCUCAUUAUGAUGAUGCAUUACCGAGUGGGCCCAGAGAUACUCUCCGUCAUACGGAGUGACAAAUCCCAGUCUCGAUUCGUGUCAACCCAACAGACACUUUCGGACAUACCUGUAGUAUACCUUUAUAGCCACCCAGUUACAUUGUGACGUUUGGUACACCCAAAGCACUCUUACGGUAUCCGGGAGUUACACGAUCUCAUGGUCUAAGGAAAUGAUACUUGACAUUAGAAAAGCUCUAGCAAACGAACUACACGAUCUUGUGCUAUGCUCAGGAUUGGGUCUUGUCCAUCACAUCAUUCUCCCAAUGAUGUGAUCCCGUUAUCAAUGACAUCGAAUGUCCAUGGUCAGGAAACUGUAACCAUUCAUUGAUAAACGAGCUAGUCAACUAGAGGCUCACUAGGGACAUGUUGUGGUCUAUGUAUUCACACAUGUAUUACAAUUUCCAGAUAACACAAUUAUAGCAUGAACAAUAGACAAUUAUCAUGAACAAGGAAAUAUAAUAAUGACCAUUUUAUUAUUGCCUCUAGGGUAUAUUUCCAACACCCCGCUCACGAGCGGCUCGAGGAGGCAGUUGCGCUCGAGGAGGCCGGCUGCUGGAACGAGGCCAAGCAGCAGCGGCUGGUACAGAGCAGCAACGGCCACCCCAGGGCAGUGUCCACUCCAGGGCGUAUCCCGACCGGACACGGGACGAGCAGGCCCGGCCGGAUCCGCGACGAGUGGCGGACGAGUGGCAAGAAGGAGCCCCUGCCGCGGACGGGACGAGCAGGUCCCGGCCGGAUCCACGUCGAGGGGCAAGGAGGAGCCCUGGCCGGGCGCGAGACGAGCAUGGCCCGGCCGGAUCCGCGAUGAGGUGCGGCUGAGCCUGACGGGGAGGCCGGGCACAUGACUAGCAGGCCCCGGCGGAUCCGCGGCGAGAAGGACCGGGGGCGGCCAGAAUCGGAUAGAGAGCAGCGUCAGCCGGACGGCAACGGGACGGAGCAAAUUGGAGGAGGAGAGCUAGCACGGAGUUGCAGCGUGCGGGAGAGGGAGGAACCUAAUUAACACCUGAUACCAUGUUGGAUAAACAAUAACUGGCAUUGCUGAGGGCCAUGGGCCAGUACAUAUACAGAUGUGGUAAAGUGCAGAAAAGCCCCUUAUACAAUGGGGAUGUACACAAGUAACUAUACACAUCUAACACCGAGUAUACUACUGAUGCUCCCAUCCGAACUAUAUCUUUAAAAUAAUAUAAUAAUUGUAAAAGAACAUAUCUUUUGUGAUAUGAAGUAUUGUACUUGUAUAAAAAAUUAGCCAAAUAAUACUUCCAUGAUAUUCUGGGCGAAGAAAACAAAGCUAAUCUUUUCCUAAUAAUAAGAAUUGAGUUUAUAAAGGCACGAGCCCAGCCCAACUAAGCCAGCGACCACAGCCCACAAAACCAAAGGGUUAAAGCCCUGGGCAAGGCCAAAAAAUUACUCUUGUGCAGAAUAGUCCCGCCUUGCUCCCUUACAUUAAAUACUCCUAAUUUAUAUACGCUUUUUAGUUUUCUCAGCGUCAAGGAGCUGGAAUUAAGGAGUGAAGGGUGUGACAACUAAGCGUGCAAGGAAAAAGAAAGUCUCUGACUUGAGAAUAAGGAUGGCUCUCAUGGACCGUCUAAUCAAAGGCUUAGGAAGGAUAAAUGAUGACGCCUGGUUGGCUGGUUUCUUGUUCAAAUUAAAACAAGCAGGCAUGUACAGAGCACACAUUUGUCAAGUUCCUAAACUUUUUAGAGAUUCUAAUAUAGAUACAUACGGAGAGGGAGUAGAGGGAGUAGUGCAGGCAUGUAAUAAUUAGUGCUCAGGAGUGACGAAUCAAAAACAUGCUGAAACCAAAACUGAAAGCUAACCAUUUUCAUCUCACUAAGUGGAAAUGCUUUAUUUUUGCCUUGAUGAAAGGGGAGUACUAGGCGCCGGUGCGCCGGCCCAAUAGUUGGGACGGUUGAGCCUCAGCCGCCCGAUGCAGCGAGCCGCUGCCAUUCGAUCUGCGUGCGACCACAUCAUCAUUACCGUUGCGUCGUUAGCACGCGAUUGCGUAACUCCAUGUGGGUCUAGAAGAUAAUGUAUCCAAUUAAGGUAUUAUACAUGCUGCACUGGACAACCAUAGAAUCGCCUUCCAGUUAAGGUUCCAUCAAAUGCCACACACUUAAUUGGCCUCAUGUGGUGCAUCAUGCAGGUGGGUUCAGAAAGCUCGAGCUGGCCACAGAAAAGAGGCUCCACGGUGGUGUCAGGGGUCUCCUGCAUGAACGCAUCAACAAAAUCACCUUAGCUCAUCAACAAGACAUAGAUCGAAAAUUAAUUCCCCAAUCCAACAAGAACCCUAACCCUAGUUUUGAAGCAUGCAUAAACCUAGCUCAAAUAGCAACCAUAAGCCUGCCUACUAAAUAACAGUAACCAAAGCUUACCCUAGCUCACCAAGAUGAACUAGCUCCUAGAUGAACCCUAACCCUAGCUCAGCAGACCAAAAAUCUUACCCAAAGAGCCAUUUCCAUGCUUGCGAUGUCGCACUCACCCUCUGAGCUUGUAUCCCCGUCAUUCCAGGAAGGCAUGGUGGCGGUGGAGCUUUCACAACGCAAGUCGCCGCCGGCGUCGAAGAGCAGAGAGGAGAGUGAGAGUGAGAGCAGAGAUGAGUGCGGGCAGGGGAGGAGAGUGAGAGGGAGGGAGACAGUGACUUAAUAAUCACCAGGGCAGCGAGCGGGUACAGCCCGACUGCACCGGUCCGAGUAAUGGGUGUUAACGGCCUCGCUGUCAGCCAUGGCGCGACAUGCCUGGCAAGCGGGUCCGGACCGUCAGAAAACGGUUUAAAACGCUAGCAACUGGCAAUUUGGGUUUUUUGAGACAAACGACAAGAAAAGUGGUAGGUAUCAGCCACAAAUAAAAAAGUGGUGAUUUUUUUGGAACCCUAACACGAAAAAUGAUAGUUUUAUGCUAUUCACUCGCGGAAUGGUGAAUGUGAGUGGAGUGUGCGAUGCGACGACGACGACUGAUGAUUCUCUGUACUGUCGGUUGUGCUGUGUCCCAAAAACAUCCAGGAUUUUUUUUAAAAAAUUUACCACUCGCGACAGAUAUUUUGGGAUGGAGGGAGUACUAGUUUUGGCUGCCCGAGGCAACGACUGCCAUGGACGGCGGCCUUGCGCUUGCCCUGCGCGCCGAUGCGGAGGAGACGUGAGGGAGAGCAUGGGGAGGAACGAGGAGGCGGCAGAGAAGGGUUCGUCAUCGCCGUGGCAACACUCUCCGAUCGAAGUNNNNNNNNNNNNNNNNNNNNNNNNNNNNNNNNNNNNNNNNNNNNNNNNNNNNNNNNNNNNNNNNNNNNNNNNNNNNNNNNNNNNNNNNNNNNNNNNNNNNNNNNNNNNNNNNNNNNNNNNNNNNNNNNNNNNNNNNNNNNNNNNNNNNNNNNNNNNNNNNNNNNNNNNNNNNNNNNNNNNNNNNNNNNNNNNNNNNNNNNNNNNNNNNNNNNNNNNNNNNNNNNNNNNNNNNNNNNNNNNNNNNNNNNNNNNNNNNNNNNNNNNNNNNNNNNNNNNNNNNNNNNNNNNNNNNNNNNNNNNNNNNNNNNNNNNNNNNNNNNNNNNNNNNNNNNNNNNNNNNNNNNNNNNNNNNNNNNNNNNNNNNNNNNNNNNNNNNNNNNNNNNNNNNNNNNNNNNNNNNNNNNNNNUAGGGAACCUGAACAGAGACAGUGCGUGCAUUUUGUAUUGCAACGACUGUCUCUUUUAUGAGAGCGUGCAUGUUUGUGUAGUCCAAGUCGUUUGGGUCAAGCCCAAAAAGUUCAAGAAAAACAUUUGUUCAAAAUAUGUUCUUUUUCAGAGAAAUGUUCAAAAUUCAUAAAAAAGAUAACUCUUCUUUAAAAAGUUUUUCAAAUUUAUGCAAACAUUAACUUUUAUUGAAAAAGAAAAUUUUAACGUUUAACCUUAUCUUCAACGUUUAUUGAAAUUGGAUAUAAAAAAUGGUGCACAAUGACACAUGAAGCAGGUUGUGCAAAAAAACAUUUUUCAAAAAACAAAACAUUUUCAGAAAUAUAGUGUGCAGAAAAAAUGCUAUUACCCCUAAAAAUGAUUCUUUGCAAGAAAAACAUCUGUUCAAAAAGUGAUAUUUUUUAAAGAAAUGUUCAAAUUUCAUAAAAAUGUUAACUAUUCUUUAAAAAGUAUCCUAAUUUUAUGUAAACAUUACCUUCUAUUUUUUUUUUAAAAAAAAAUUUAACGUUUAACAUUUUCAUUAACUUUUAUUACAAUUAGAUAUAAAAUGGUGCAUAAUGGCACAGGAAGCAGGUUGUGCCUUUUUUUGCCCGGUGCAACGCACGGACAUGUGUACCAAUAGUACUAUUCAAGUUACUUUGUCAUCACUAAUUUAUUCAUCUUUUGCCCUAAGUCAAUGUGAAACAGUCCAGGAAGCUUUUUAUACUAAUCCAAUACUUGAUUAUAUUUCAUUUUUUACUUUUUUUACUUUUUUACGGUUACUAAAUUACUCGUAUUUGGUACAUAUAGGGUGCACUCGCACCAAGUUCCCUUUGAGAAUUUCCAAAGUUUCUUAACAUGUCUGUUAAUUAUUGGUCAAAAUGACUAGUGACUAUUGCUCAACAGAUGGAAUUGGAUGUUGAAUGAAUAACAAACUCAUAUAUAGCUCGCAUCAAGUUCCCUUUGAGAAUUUUCAAAGUUUCUUGACAUGUUGGAAAAAGAAAUUGGGCCAGUCGCUUUUUUGAGCCGUCCGAUGCAAAAUCACUCGCUGAAAACCCUUUCUUCAACCGUGCUUCUCUGGCGAAUGCCCACCCCACGUAAGAGACGACUUCCUUCUUCAUCUCCGACGCUUUCUUCUUCAUUCUCGAAUUCAACCAACCCAAAUUCGAAUUUCAGUGACUCACAUUUAGCUAUUGUGUAUAAUUCGUUAGUUGGUUUUAUCGGUCGAUGCAUUUGUCGCGAUGAUGAUAUAAUAAGCGAGAAAAAAAUUGCUUAGGUACACGAUUUUUUUGGGCAAGAAACGACCAAUUCGGAAGGCAAUUCACAAGACACUCUAUUCUCUUCGCUUUCAACCGACUCACAAAAACACAGAAGGAAGAUUAUUCCCGAAGCCGUAACAGCUUCCGGCCACACGACACACGCGUCACAGAGCCUCACCGCAACUCAUCAACACACUCCAUCCGACAGGCACUUCAGCAAGCUUCAUUUCAGCUUCAAGAGUUCAAACAUCCUCGUCCAUGCUGUCCUCGUCCCCGUCCUCCAUCACCCUCAUCUUCUUCACGGCCUUGGCCGCCUCGCCGCCGCCGCCGCCGAGGGCGCCGUUGGGCACCUGGAUGAGGAUGUCGGACCUCUGCCCCGUCUCGGCGUUCACCAGCCCGCCGCUGCGGUCCACCCGGUAGGCCAGCUCGUCCUUGUUGGCGGCGUCGAUGUACACCGUGCAGUUCUCGUCGAUCUCCUCCUGGAUCAGCAUCUUGGACAGCUGCGUCACCACCCGCUUCUCGAUCCACCUCCUGAUCGGCCGAGCGCCAUACACCUGCAACAACAAACAGAGUCAGCGUCCGAGUCCAAAGAAGGUGAAAAAAAAUCAGAAAUUUAGUAGUAGGAUGCAGUCACGUACUGGAUCGUAGGCCAGCGACAGGAUGACGUCCAGCGCGGCGUCGGUGACGGCCAGGGCGACGCCGCGCUCGGCGAGCCGGACGGCCACGUCCUUCAUCUGCAGGCGAGCGACCUUCCUCAGCUGCUCGUGGGACAGCGGGUCGAAGACGACGAUCUCGUCCAGCCGGUUCAGCAGCUCCGGCCUGAAGUGCCUCCUCACCUGCGCACACAACCACACACGAAGUUCAGCAUCACAUUGCAGAUCAGAGGUACAUCGGUGCUUCUGUAGUGGAGAUUGAGCUGAUCCACACAUACAUACCUCCUGCAUGACGAGGUCGCGCGCGACCUUCAUGGAGUUCUUGCCGACCAUCCCGGCGAGGAGGUGCUCGGCGCCGAGGUUGGAGGUCAUGAUGAUCACGGUGUUCCGGAAGUCCACCGUCCUGCCUUGCCCGUCGGUCAGCCGGCCGUCGUCCAGCACCUGGAGGAGCGUGUUGAACACCGCCACGUGCGCCUUCUCCACCUCGUCGAACAGGAUCACGCUGUACGGCCGCCUCCUCACCUGCUCCGUCAGCUGCCCGCCCUCCUCGUGCCCGACAUAGCUGCAUUCACAAGAACAAUUUGUAAUCCCAAAUCAGAACCCAAAUUCAGUCUUUGUUUACGGCUAAAAGAAUGCAGCAAUGAACAAAUUUUAGUGGAAAUCAUCAGUGGCUCAGUGUGCUUACCCAGGUGGCGCUCCGAUGAGGCGAGCGACGGAGUGCUGCUCCAUGUACUCGGACAUGUCGAUGCGGACGAGCAGGUUCUCGUCGUCGAACAGCUGCUCGGCGAGGGCCUUGGCGAGCUCGGUCUUGCCUACGCCGGUCGGGCCCAGGAAGAGGAACGACCCGGUGGGCUGCUGCGGCCGUCCAAGCCCCGCCCUGGACCUCAGCACCGCCUCGGCGACGGCGUUCACGGCCUCCGUCUGCCCGACCACCCUCGUGUGCAGCCUGUCCGCCAUGCCCACCAGCCGCUCCUUGUCGUUCUGCCCGAGCCGGGUCACCGGGAUGCCGGUCCACCGGCUCACCACCUCCGCGAUCUGCUCGGGGCCGACGGUCUCGGUGAGCAUCAGGUUCUCGCCGGUCUCGCCCUCCAGCUUGGCGAUGGCGGCGUCGAUCUCCUGGAGGGCGCCGUACUUGAGGUCGGCGACGCGUGCCAGGUCCAUGCGCCGCUCCGCCUCCUGCAGCGUGAACUGCAGCUCCUCGCGCCGCUGCUUCAGCUUCCGGAUCUCGUCGAUCCGCUCCUUCUCCUUGCGGUACUUCAUGGUCAGCGGCUGCAGCUUGUCCCUCAGGUCGUCCAGCUCCUUCCUCACCUCCACCAGCCGGGCCUUGCUGGCCUUGUCCUUCUCCUUCUCCAGCGCGUGGAGCUCCACCUCCAGCUGAAUCCGCUUCCUCUCCAGGUUGUCGAUCUCCUCCGGCUGGCUGUCCAGCUGCACCCUCACGUUCGCGCACGCCUCGUCCACCAGGUCGAUGGCCUUGUCCGGCAGGUGCCGGCCCAUGAUGUACCUCGCCGAGAGCUGCGCCGCGACGACGAUGGCGCGGUCCUGGAUGCGCACGCCGUGGUGCCCCUCGUACUUCUCCUUGAGCCCUCGCAGGAUGCUGAUGGUGUCGGCGACGCUCGGCUCGGCCACGUACACCUGCUGGAACCGCCGCUCGAACGCGGCGUCCUUCUCGACGUACUUGCGGUACUCCUCCAGCGUGGUGGCGCCGAUGCACCGGAGCUGGCCACGCGCGAGCAUCGGCUUGAACAGGUUGGCCGCGUCCAUGGACCCCUCCGUCCUGCCGGCACCGAGGACGAGGUGUAUCUCGUCGAUGAAGAGGAUGACCUUGCCGUCGGCCUCCUCCACCUCCUUGAGCACGGCCUUGAGCCGCUCCUCGAACUCGCCGCGGUACUUGGCGCCGGCGACGAGGGCGCCCAUGUCGAGCGCGACGAGGCGGACGUCGAGCAGGUUGCUGGGCACGUCCCCGCGCACGACGCGCUGCGCGAGGCCCUCCACGACGGCCGUCUUGCCCACGCCGGGCUCGCCGAUGAGGACGGGGUUGUUCUUGGUGCGGCGCGAGAGGAUGCGCACGACGCGGCGGAUCUCCUCGUCGCGGCCGAUGACGGGGUCGAGCUUGCCGGCCACCUCGACGAGGUCGCGGCCGUACGUCUUGAGCGCCUGGAAGUUGGUGUCGCCGGAGGCGGACUCGACCUUGCGCGCGUUGUCCCCGCCGCGGAGCUUCUCGAGCUCGGCGCGCACCCGCGAGGCGGACACGCCGGCCUCCUUGAGGCAGUCGGCGAUCUGCGCGUCCUCGAGGAGGCCCAUGAGCAGCUGGUCGACGGCGAGGUGCGAGUCCCCGCGCUUCUUCUGCGCCGACUGCGCGCGGCGGAUGGCCUUGAUGAGCGCCGUGGAGGCCGGCACGGAGUCCGGCGGCGGCGACUGCGACGGCAGCUUCUUGAGCGCGGCGGAGAGCACGCGCUCGAACGAGUCCCCCGCGGACGCGUUCCCGCCGGACGCCCCCGCCACCGCCUGCCGCAGGAUGCCCGACCUGUCCGCCGCCAGCGCCGCCGCCAGGUGCAGCGGCGUGAUCUGCGCGUGGCCGGCCUCCGACGCCGCCUCGUGCGCCGCCACCAGCGCCUCGUUGGUCUUGUGCGUGAAGUUGUCCGGGUUCAUGGCCGCCGCUGCUUGCGCUCACAACCUACAAUGGAUCAGACAGACUUUGGGUUGGAAGAUUGAUUGGGAAUUUGGGAUCACCAAGUGUUUGUGGGAUUGCUCUGCUUCUGGAGUUCUGGAUUCUGAUGGUGUUGGGGGCCGGAGAGCGGCGGGCAUAAGAAGGAGGGAGCGGAGAGUUCGCCGGGGGUCUAGAAGGUAGUGGAAGCCGCCGGAAACGGAAGCGGCGAGAUGGCACUGGAGUGUUCGUCUGACGCUGUGGGGCCGCGCGCUCUCCUGGCCGUUGGAUUGGCAGGGGCGGCGCCUCCGAUGCGCGACGCUUGUGCACGCAGUGGAUGCGGUUGCUCGGUGUCGGCUUUCUCGGGCCCGGUAUCUAGGCGGUAGUGUCUGACCUGUGGGCUAGGUGAGUCCACGGCUGGGUCCCGCGCACCAUUUCUGGACUUUUUUUCCGUUCCAUCCCACAAGUUCAUUGCGGAUUCGGUCCAGUCACGAGGUUUUCUCCUGACUCCUGGUGUACCUGGGGCAAUGACACGUCCGCGCUGCGAACGCCAGGUGUCAAAAUGCUCGGGGUUGCUCGGUCCAAGUGUCAAUGCCCAGGGCACACGCACGCUGUGUAGCGGAGUUCAACCAGUAGCUGUUCGGAUUAGACCUCUUCCAAUGCAAAGACUAGCCACGGUGGGAGUAACUUCGGUAGUAACAUCGAAUUCAACUCAGCAAAUUUGUUUAUAUGACAGUGAGUUAAUGUGGAGAGACGUAAUACUAGUAACUUAGCUAGUUACUGUAACAUCACAUGUCCCAAUGCAAUAUUACCACACUUAUGUUACCACACUUAUGUUACUACCCACUAUUGAGGUAGUAACAUAGUCUAGGAAUAUGUGUAUGUUACUACUUCCUCCGUCUAGGUGUGUAAGUCAUCUUACGAAAAAUCAAAUAAUCCCAAAACACUUGGGCGCGAUGCAUUAAAUUCUACAUCGCUUCUUGUUUCUUGACAUAUCAACCAAUAAGAGAUGUGGGGUGUGCAUGCUUUUAAUGACUUGAGACUACUAAAAACGACAUGCAGUGGUUAGUUCAUUGCAUGCAAUGUUAUUAAUUAGCAAAUAAACAUUAAGUUCUCUCGUUUUCCCCUCCUCCUUGGUCACGGUGCACAACCUAAGAUGACUUAAUCACCUAGACGGAGGGAGUACUGUAUGUUACUAUCCAUUGUGGCUAGUCUUAGAUGAGGUGCUAAGUGCAUUAAAUACUUUAACAACUCAAGUUCCAAUGGAUAGGUGCUUAACUUGUUGCUAAGCACACUUUAUUUAAUGAGUUAGCACCUAAAAUUUUUCAUGCAUUAACCAAAUUGUUUAAUUUAAGUGGUUUGCCUAGGUUCUCGCGCUUGGCAUUGGUUUUUUCUAGGGUCAUCAAAGUACUCUCUCCCCUCCUUAAAUGUUGUGACAUGUCACUUUUUUGCUUAUGUGGCAUGCUUAGCAUCUGUCCACGAUGGAGCACUGGGAAGGGCCUACGCUUGUGUGUUUCGGCCAUAUUUAAAUCAUAAUUUAAACUAGUAAAAUAAAAAUAUAUGUAGCAAAAAUAUUGUUAUUAAAAACAACAUUUAAAUAUGACUAGUAAUUGACCAAAAAAACAUGACUAGUAAUUUUUUUGACAUGCACUAAUAUUCUGCUAAUCAAAUACGUGGUUAAACUUUAACUCACUGCGAUGGGUCAAUCCUAUCCUUCAAAUCCAACACAUUAGUUUACGGGCUGAUGGGGGCCAGUCCACAGGCAAUGAUGUGGAAGCCGACCAUCCAAAGCUUUCUGUAUACAUUUUAAAUCAAAGUUGAAUAGACUAGACAAAUUAUAUCAAACCACGCCUUCUAGCAUAGUUUGGACAUAAUUUACGUAAGACAGGUGAUAUUUUGACUGUUUAACUAAAAACUAGAAAAAAAACUAGGAGGCUAACUUGUAGUGGACGGCGACCUCGUACGCUUGGCUGACCUGCACCGCCAUUGCCGUCCGUGUCAUCGUCCCUUUAGUACUGGUAGGGCGCGUGGCCGCCAAGGCAGCCUUGCCUGGCGCUCGCGGGGGAGUCGGUCUGCUUCAUUCUGCGUCAUGCAUAGGGUCGUCGCGGUCGAUGCCGCCCCUGCCUGCGGUGCCCACGCGGCGGCCUUGCCCAUGCUGGCAUUCGCGAAGAUAUUGCUUAGCGACCAUUCCUCACCAAUCUUGGCGAGCUCCUCGUCGAAGUGGCGGCAACGCCACGCGGGCGUCUCCGCGUUAGUGACAGACUGGUCGAGAGCCUUGGCCGCCACCGAGUUGGGACCGUUGCGGGCCCAGGCCGGCGCCUCGUCCGACUUGGCGAACUUGGAGCGGCGGGCCGCAUUGCGCCGCUCCUGUCGCGCCGCCUAGCUCAUCGUCCUGUCCUCAAUGAAGACGAUGGCCCGCGAUGACGAGGAGCCGCCGCCACCACCGAGGUAGUGGAGGAUGAGUCUAUGUUCCUUCGGGAUCAUGGGUGAGGGAGUCCUGAACUAAGGGGUCCUCGGACAGCCGGACUAUAUCUUUGGCCGGACUGUUGGACUAUGAAGAUACAAGAUAGAAGACUUCGUCCCGUGUCCAGAUGGGACUCUCCUUGGCGUGGAAGGCAAGCUUGACGAUUCGGAUAUGAAGAUUCCUUUCUCCAUAAACCGACUUUGUACAACCCUAGCUCCCCCAGUGUCUAUAUAAACUGGAGGGUUUAGACUUCUAGAGUUUAGUCACAAUUAUCAUAAUCCCAUAGGCUAGACUUCUAGGGUUUAGCCAUUACGAUCUCGUGGUAGAUCAACUCUUGUAAUACUCAUAUUCAUCAAGAUAAAUCAAGUAGGAAGUAGGGUAUUACCUCCAUAGAGAGGGCCCGAACCUGGGUAAACAUCGUGUCCCCCGCCUCCUGUUACCAUUAGCCUUAGACGCACAGUUCGGGACCCCCUACCCGAGAUCCGCCGGUUUUGACACCGACAUUGGUGCUUUCAUUGAGAGUUUCUCUGUGUCGUCGAAGAUAGGUUUGAUGGCUCCAUCAACCAUCUACUACAAUGCAGUCCAGGAGGAGACCUUCCUUCCCGGAUAGACCUUCUUAUUCGGCGGCUUCGCAUUGCGGGCCAACUCGCUUGGCCGUCUAGAGCAGAUUGAUAGCUACGCCCCUGGCCAUCAGGUCAGAUUUGGAAGCCUGAAUUUUGUGGCCGAUAUCCGGGAGACUUGAUCUUCGACGGAUUCGAGCCCAUGACGGCUGUCCUCGACCACCACGAUGAACAUGACCUAGAUCUAUCAUCUAGCCGCAGGAGCUAGCGCCUGUGACCGCCCUGGCCCUAGAGCCGGAGCGGACUGCGUCGUCCAAAGAUGGGAAGCUCAACCCCACCGCAGAGGCCGCAAAUUCAGCGGCGCUCGAGCCGCACACAGACCCAACAUCAGGUUGGGCUUGUGUUACCGGAACCUCAGACUCGUCUCCGGCCAUGGGUCCCGGACCGUGUGCACCCGCGUCCAUCGAUCCUGAUUGGGCGCCAAUCAUGGAGUUCAGCUCCGCAGACAUCUUCCAGCACUUGCCUUUUGGCGACAUAUUAAACUCAUUGAGGUCCCCCUCCUUGUCAGGAGACCCUCGGCCAAGCUAUGUCCAGCUCGAGUAAGAAGCGGACAACGAAGAACUACGUUCCCCACCCACCACCCACUUCAUUGCCACCAUCGAGGACUUAACUGACACGCUCGAUUACGGCUCCGAAGACAUCGACAGUAUGGACGACGAUGCUGGAGAAGAGCAGGCACAAAAACCACCACCUUUAGGGCAGUGGACAGCUACAUCGUCAUACGAUAUAUACAUGGUGGACACACCAAAGAAGAAUGAGGCCGACGGUAACAACAGCAUGCCCGUCGAUGAACCUCCCAAGCACCGGCGUCCCAAGCACCGACCUUGAUCCGGGACAAAGAAAAACAACAACAUUGUUGCAGACGGCGACAAUAAUCUGAACCAAGCCGAUGACCCCGCAGACCCAGCGCUGGAGCAGGGCACGCGAGAGUAGGGCUGGGCAUAUAACCCGAAAACCGAUGUACCGAACCGAAUUAACCGGCACCGAAGCCGAAUUCACCGAAACCGAGAACUUCGGUAGUAUGUUCGGUUUGCAUUUGUUGAAAACCAAAAUUAGUCCGGGGAGUUCGGGUAAUAUCCCUUGAUUACCCGAAUGGACCGAAAACCGAGUAAUCAUAAAGGUCAGACCUGCGCGCCUGUUCCUUACCUGUUUCUUACUCAAGUGCUCUAUCGCAAGAACAUGGACAGUCUAUUUUCUACAUUGUCGCUAUAAGUGCACGAGUCCCACAGUCUUGUCGGGAGGUGGUAAACCUGACCGACUGAGCCACCAUCGCUAUAAAUUUUGUGUAAAAGAGAAGUAGUACUCCCUCGGGUAGGUACUUCACCUAGUGAGCCCCACCACUAAUUUUACAGAGUUGCUCGGGAGAAGCAAUCGGAUGGAGUAGCCAAGGAGGCACUGUACAUCAGAAUAAAGUAUACCAGCUCCUGCUAAUGGUACGUGCACUGUAGAUCCCGACUAGAGGCAGCGAUUCCAGCUAUUAUUAAAUAUAUCUCGGUGCUGUUCGGUCGAAUCGAUGACCGAACCGAAAUUUCGGUGCAAAUAAACUUCGGUCAGCUAGUUUUCCAUUGACCGAUUGGUCAGUAUUUUGGUAGAACCGGAAUUUUCAAUACACCGAGAAACCGACCUGAUCGGUUCGGGGGAACCGAAUGCCCAGCCGUACGCGAGAGGACGGCGAACACACCCCGAAGCCUCACUCUGAAGAGGAGAUCAUUAGUCCUGGCCAUGGGAAGCCCGGCCCGGCCGGCCCCGCCCGAAAAAGCCCGACCCGGCCAGCCCGGCCCGACCCGGCCCGGCCCGACGCUGCCCCCGGGCCGGGCUCGGGCCUAGUUUUUGAGCCCGAAGGUCGGGCCGGGCCGGGCCUGGGCCCGUCAUUUUUGCAAAUUUCUGAAGGUUGGGCCGGCCCGGCCCGAAGCCCGACGGGCUUUUAUGUGUUCGGGUCGGGCUCGGCCCCAGAAACACAUGCCCGAUGGCUGGGCCGGGCCGGGCCUGGGCCUGGGUUUUUUGUGUCGGGCUUAGCUAGGCCCAGCCCGAAGCCUGGCCCGGCCCGAGGUUUGGCCAGGUAUAAGCCUGGGCGACGACGAAUUCAUCAUCCCAGAAGAACCAUUAGAACAAAGAACGCCUCCAUCAAAGGCUUAUCUCCACUACAAGGAGCCUGAAAAAGCAUAAGCAGGCACAUGAAACACUCAAUGACAGAUGGAACGAAGUGCUAGACACCGAGGAAAAAUACGGCGGUAAUAGCUAAACAAAGAGCUAUCCCAAACGUAAGCUGCUGCCCGGAUUCGACGACGAGGCUAUCGUGCCUAUCUCGCUGAAAAACAAUACGACUGACUGGCCGGACCGACCACCUCGCAGUCGCGACAGAGCGACUAGCAAUGCUGUACAUAAUCCCGCGCCCCCUCCCCGCAAAGGAAGGAAGGCUGCGGCCCAGGACAAAAAACACGAUCUACAUGAGGACCUGGACAAAAAAGCUGGCAAAACUAGGUCCAUCUAUGGAUCCAAGGAACGUGCUCCUACACGGGAUCAUGAUCAUCAAAUAAAAUACGCCGGCCACUUACCAGCUUGGAACCAAUAUCAGACAAUGCAACCAUUGGACCAAAUCCACGACACAGCCAGAUACAGGGGUGCCGCACACCCCCUAUGCUUCACCGAUGAGGUACUGGAACAUGAUUUUCCAGAAGGGUUCAAACCUGUAAACAUCGAGGCAUAUGAUAGAACGACGGACCCCGCGGUUUGGAUAGAAGACUUUAUUCUUCACAUCCACAUGGCUCGCGGAGAUGACCUCCACGCCAUUAAAUAUUUACCCCUCAAGCUAAAAGGACCAGCUCGGCACUGGUUGAAAAGCCUCCCCGAAAAUUCCAUCGGAAGAUGGGAAGAACUUGAGGAUGCCUUCUGGGCCAAUUUCCAAGGGACCUAUGUCCGGCCUCUGGACGUUGAUGAUCUAAGCCACAUAAUCCAACAACCCGGAGAAUCAGCUCGUAAGCUUUGGAACAGGUUUCUCACUAAGAAGAACCAAAUUGUCGACUUUCCGGACGCCGAAGCUUUAGCGGCCUUCGAACAUAGUGUCUGGAAUGAAUGGAUGGCCAGACACCUCGGCCAGGAAAAGCCAAGGACAAUGGCCGCCUUAACUACACUCAUGACCUGCUUUUGCGCGGGCGAAGAUAGCUGGUUAGCACGUAGCAGCACCAGUGAUACCAGCACAUCCAAAGUCAGGGAUGGCAACGGAAAACCACAACGCAACAAAAACAAACGGCGGAACAAUGAAGAAAGCCCGGACAAUAUAGCGGUAAACGCCGGAUUCAGGGGAUCAAGACCAGGUCAACGGAAGAAGCCAUUUAAAGGCAACAAGGACAGUCCAUCUAACCUGGACAAAAUCCUAGACAGGCCCUGUCGGAUUCACGGCACUCCCGAUAAACCAGCUAAUCAUACCAACAGAGAAUGUUGGGUCUUCAAGCAGGCCGGCAAACUCAACGUUGAACACAAAGGGAAGGGACCUCAGAGCGAAGACAAGGAUGAACCUCGCCAGCCGAACACGGGGUGACAAAAGAAAUUCCCACCGGAGAUCAAAACAGUCACUACAAAAAAAAUACACUACCGUGAUGAUACGUGUUUGUCAUAGUAGGUCGCGUUUUCUGUCAUGCAUGUACAUCCAUGACGAUUUUAUGACAGAAUCAAGAUAGUCAUACUUGUGCUGUAAUAGAAGUGUCACAGAAGUGCUUUCAUCAAGGGUGACCGACACGUGGCAUCCACCGUAAUGGAACGCCAUUAAGCUAUCAGGUCCCAUUUUGGACCCGAUAACCCGUUAACAGCCCGGACCAAUGGGGAUUUUCCAUGUGUAAAAUCAUCAUUGGCUGGAGGAAACACGUGUCAGCUCCCCGUUGGCACAGGUGUCACUCAUCCAAUGGCCGAGAUGCGCCUAUGUAAUGUUGACACGUGGACCAGCCCAAAAGUGGCCCAUAAAGUUUAAAUGUGCCGGCCCAACUAAAGGGCCACAAGAUUCUGCGGUCCAUAAUGGGCCGGCCCAGCAAAAGGCCCACGAGAUUUUGCGGGCCAUAAUGGAGUGGUCCAGCUAAAGGCCCACAAGUUUUUGCCGGCCAUAAUGGGCCGGCCCAGCUAAAGGCCUGCGAGGUUUUGCGGGCCAUAACGGGCCAGCCCAGCUAAAGGCCCCCAAGAAUUUGCGGACCAUAAUGGGUCGGCCCAGCUAAAGGCCCACGAGAUUCCGCCGCCCAUAAUGGAUCGGCCCAGCUGAAGGCCCAAAAGAUUUUGAUGACACUAGUAGGCCGGCCCAUUGACAGGCUGCCAUGUUUUGGGCCAAAUGCCGGCCCAUAUUUGAUCCGGUCCAUUAACAGCCUGCCACGUUCCGGACCUAAUAGAGGCCCAUAUGAGAUCUGGCCCGUUAAAAGCCUCCCACGUUUUGGGCCAAAUUACAGCCCAGAUCAGGUCCGGCCCUUUGAGAGGCUUUGGGCUAAAUUAUGGCCCAUAUCAGAUUCGACCCGUCAACUGGACGCUAUGCUUUUGGGCCCACUUGAUAAAGGGCCAUUUAGUAAUUCGGCCUGAUAUUAGUUUCGGCCUGUUAAAGGCCCGUUUAACAUUUCAGCCCUAUAUAUAUUUUGGCCUGUUAAAAGCCCGUCAUAUAGUUGGGCCUAACUACGGCCCCGUUUGCAUCCGGCCUGCUCAUAGCUGAUAAUCUGAUUAGGGCAAACAAGGACCAAGACAAUUUUGGCCUGUUAUAAGCCCAUGAUUUGAUUGGCACAGUCAUGGGCCGGGGUCUAUUAUGGCCUGCUGCCGUCCCGUGAGCUGUUCGGCAUGUUUCAGGCCUAACCUACUUUUCGGCCUCCUAAAAGCCCAUUGAGUUUUCCUGGGAAAAUAGGGCCAACGGUUUACUCGGCCUAUUAAAGGCCCGAAUCUACUAGUGGACCAAUUUACAUUUAGGCCUGUUAACGGACCAAGAUGACGGGGCCCAUGAUGCGGAUCAUACAUAGUGAUUUGCAUGACAACCCGAUUAUGUACCGCAAUUUUACGGUUUGGCUGGUUUACUGCGAAGACAGGAUAUAUAUACAGUAAAAUAACUGCAUCAUCGUGAAUAAGAAAAAACCCUAGACUAUACAAUAAAGAACUUACGGCAUAUUACAUCCACUAGGCAUCAAAGUUCGCCACUAUGAUAAUAAAGCACAAGCAGACAACAGAUUACAUACACUGAGCAUCAAAGAUCGCCACCAGUGCAAUUAAACACGCCAACAAAAUAAUAUACAAAACUGACAACACUUCAAUAGAGUUCAAGAAAGGUUAGCCCUGCUCGAAAGCUGCAGCGCAAGCAGCUGAGCAAGCUGAUGAGACUGUAUUUGUUUGACACUUAUUUCCUCCUCACCCUGAAAGAUAAACAAGCAGACAGAUGACAUGUUUUGCACAAUAAGUAUCAAUGUUGACAAUUCAUCACAUUUCUUACUGACGAAUAAAGUAACAUAGUUUAAAAUAGUAUUAACACAAUAUGGUAUUGUUCAGGUCAAGACAUGGCAGGAAAUGACAUUGUGAAGGAGUUGGCAGCUUCACGACACCACUGGAUUAUAGAUCAAGAACUCAUAAGUAUCAAUGGUAAGUCUGCUAUCAAUUUACCCAUUUCAGAUUGGAAAAAUAAGAUCACUUGCUCUGUAUAGUUUAAUUUACAUGGCAUGAAGAAGGAACUUGGUUGUACAACUGAAAACUUAAAUUGAGAAGGACAAACUUUUGUUUAUGAACUACAUAAUAAACUUUAAACAUGCAAUUUGAUGCAAACACCAAAAAUAAACAGCUGUUGCAGUCAUGCCUAACCAAAUAUACACAACAAAGUUUGAAGGCUUGAGAAGGAUAAACUUACAUUAUUGGUGAAGGCAGGCUCUAUAAAGCCCUUAUCCAUUCUGAUGGGGGGGGGCAAUUCAAGAAGUUUACCACAUAAUCUUCUUCAUAAGCAUUGCCUUUAUUCUACAUUUUUUAAGAGUAAAUAUAUAUGUGACAAUAUAAGAAAAAAAUAGAGAAUAUUUAAGAUAAGAUGAAGAGUGAUGCUACAUAACCAAGUAGCUAUAAAUGUAAGUACAUCAAUACAGGCAAAAGGUACAGCCAAGGGCAAUGCAGAGCUAAACUUCUUCAGUACCAUCGGUGUUAUCCAACCAUAUGGUAAGAGUAAAUAUAGAUCUGCUGUGUAGAAAAUGGAGGGCAAAGGAAAAUAAGCUGCAGACUGAUGGUACAUGAACAACUACCUCUCAAUAUAAGUACACUGACAAAGGACAGCAGGUACUUACAAGAACAAUGUAGAGCUAAAAAAAUUCAUUGGCAUUGGAUAUAUUCUACACUAAUGUAACCAUUCAUACAGAUCAGAUAAUUUGGUGCGAACAAUUGAUAAGCAAGCUAUCAUGUAUACUGCUGUCACAUAAUGAACCAGGUAUGUAUGCAAGUACAGUGAUACAGGACAACAGGUACUAACAAGAGCAAAGUAGCGGGCAACAUAUUUGCGAUAUCCUGUCGUUCUUUUCAAACCAGAAUUCUUUUUCGAGCAGAUUUCCUGCAAAAAAGAUCCGUGAGGCACAUGCGGAAAGGUAAAAGUUCAAAUUGUCAUGCAAUAUCAUAGACAGUACCUCAUCCUCGGAACAAGACCAGUGCAUAACAAGGUUUUUCCAUUCAGUGUCUUCUAAAUUUAGCACAGGAGACUUCACCGGAAAUUCGUUUAUAGACUUGCCAUCAAAGUGUGAUUUCCUCAGGUAACACCAAUACUGCUGCAAUGCUUCCUUGAAAAGUGCAAGCAAGCUUUGCUCGUCAUGACCAUCUAGAUUGACCCUCGCCUACUUACAACAAUGCAAUGUAAAUCAUUGAUGUGUUCAAUCAGCAGAAAACAGGAAAAUAAUCACCAUGAAUAAUAGCACUUACACGUAAGUGGGACAAGAAGAUGUGAAAAUGGUGUUUGUCUUCACUAUAAUCUUCCCAUGAUGGGAAUAUAUGCAGGUAGUCCCUAACAACAUUGAAAGCAUUGUCUUUUAAACUGGGAAUAACUGGAAUGGGGUUCCAAUCUACAGGAAUUGGCCGUCUCUGCAGUUGGGAUAGGUCUUCGGCCGGUGGACUUGCUGUACUUUUUGCUGGAGUGAGAUUUUUCUGUGGUACGGCUGGUGCUAUGGCAACUGAAAUCGGCAUACAUUUUGCUGGAGUGUAGGUCCUGUGUGGUGGGGCUAGUGGUGUGGCCAGUGAAGUAUGGGUAUAGUCUGCUGGAGUCGGUCCUACAUUUUGUGUCACUGGUUAUACAUCCAAUAUAAGUGGGGUGUUGUCUGAUUUCUCCGGCACAACCAUGUUUUUCAAGGACUUUGCUGGUGUUCCUUCAGGUUCGGCAAUCACCCUCUUCCUUUUUGAUGUCUGAUGCACAAGAACAACAUUUGAGUGGAAAAAUAUGGUAUGAUGACAGAUGGAAUAUGUAUUGAUAAUGGAUGGGCAUGGCAUCUCAACAUAUAUGAUGAGUAAACUAAGCAGAUGGUGGUGCAACAAAGUAGAAGAAAUGCAAGACAACAUAUGCAAGAUACGCGCAAUCAAUAAAACCUUGCCAAAUUAUAACAAGCACCUUGAUGGGUGAACAUGAAAGGCCAUCUGCCUUUGACUCCUCGAGGUUAGAAUAGUCAUUAGGAUCAUAUUCUGAACAAGAAUCUACAGGUGUGGAGCGUAUGAGUUUCAUUGCAUCCAGAAUGGCACUCAAUGCCUUGGUGCCAAUUUUGUAAGUCAUUGCAGUGUUCCACAAUAUUCUUCUGAUGUGCGGAUUCUGAUAUUCACUGUUAUUACGUAUAAUAUAUGAGAACCAUGAAAACAUAAAUAGUUGUGAGAUUAUCUUUGUAAUGCAGAUGAUAUUCUAAUAUAGGGGCGCCCCUGUAAACACUUGUGUGCUAUCACUGGAUUCUGAUGAGAGAGCUCAUGUGUGCUGUAAUAUGGUGCAUGCAUUUAUAAUCUGGCACAAGUACACAAAAAAAUAGGCUCCAGAAGUAAGGAUAGUUGGAAGAUGAUAGGUUCAUAAUAUACUGUAUAGAGAGUUUAUUGCCAAACCAUGAUAACAAGAGCACACAACAACUAGGCGGAUCAUAGUGUACAUAACAGGGGUACACCAUAACCACGAUAUAUAAAUCAGGAAAGUGGAACUGGCUUGAAAAUACGGUGUUGUAUUGCCGCUAGUAAUUGAAAGCCUAUCGAUCACGUACAUGCCAGCUCUAUCAUCUGUUGACUGCAGAUGUCCCUGUGCCCCUUCCUGAUAAGGAACAUACUAUACGUACUAAAUACAGAAUAAACAAAGAGGAACAUGUUAAAGAACAGAAGAGGAAGCAUAUUCUUGAGGUUCCGCUUCAUUGCAUACAAUGUUGGUUGCCCACUCAUGAUGAAUCACAUCACCCAAAGAAAUGCAAUUCCAUGCUGUCUCUCUAUAUGUGGCAAUUUUGAACAAGAGUCAUUAGGAUCAUAUUCUGAACAAGAGUCAACAGGUGGGGAGCAUAUGAGUUUCAUUGCAUCCAAAAUGGCACUCAAUUCCUUGGUGCCAAUUUUGUAAGUCAUUGCAGUGUUUAGCUUCAAGAGUGGACUGCUGCUAGUGCAACACAAAGCAGCUACACAGAUCAUAAUGUAGAUAUAACAGGAAAACCUUAAGCAUCAAAGUAAAAUCAGCAAAGUAGAACUUGCUGGAAUAUAUGUGCUAGUAUUGCCGGUACGUCUAGAAUGGCUUCGGAUACCAGCUCUCUUCAAGUGAAGGUGCGGUACUGUUAAUAUCAGUGUAACUCUCAAAGGUGACACAGCUCCCCGCAUUUCCUUGCUAUUCUUAUAGGAUUCAAGUGGGCUGGCCACUACAAAUCCUAUUUCUAUGUUUACAAAAUCCUACGAAUCAAAGAGGCUCAAAGUGUCCAUCACAACCAACCGUAUAGACCUCUACACUGCAAAUGUCCCCGCUCAUCUUCAGUACAAGGAACAUACUGUACUACUAUCAUACUCCCUCCAUUCCAAAAUAUAAGUCUUGGUAGAGAUUUCCACUAUGGAUCACAUACAGAUGUAUCCAGAUACAUUCUAGAGUGUAGAUUCACUCAUUUUGCUCCAUAUCUAGUCCAUGGUGGAAUCUAUACAAAGACUUGUAUUUAGGAACGGAGAGAGUACAUAUUAAAGAAGAACGGAAGAGGAACAUGGUAAAGAAGAGCAAGCAGAUUUUGGAUAAUAAAAUGUUGGUUGCGCAGUGCCCACACAUGAUGAACCAUAGCGCAUUAAGAAUGCAACUCCAAGCUGUCUGUCGACCAUUUCAGGCGGUUGGAUGAAGAUCCUACGUCUCCUAACCUUUUUUCUUCCUUGUCUCUGAUUCUUCCCAUACAGAACACCGCACGGGCCGCCGGCCGGACCACCGGCCCCCACCGCCUGUGUUCCUCCGCCACCGCCACCCCCACCCCGCCCCCACCCCACCCACGUCAAGUUUUCUUUGUUCGGCAAGGCCCCACAACCACCCGAGCCCCUUCGUUUGCACCGGAGAACUCCAGCACGCUUUGAAAAAUCGGCUGACCCAAUUUUGCAAUUUAGUCUACUGUGAUUUAACUAGUGUGGAAUAUAAAAGGGGAAAAUCAUAAGCAUUGGGAGUAUAGUGUUGAGCAUGCCAUGGCGGAUCUGAAGGUGCAAACCGAACAAAGGCAACUUCGCAACCAAGACAAGAAAUCAGAGUAAAGCAGUGGCGAUCUAUUUUCUUGCUGCGAUAAAUAAGUUGAGCAUAUACGAAAGAGUACCGCCUCUGGUGCGGCGCCGUGUAUGCGUCUGCUGAGAAUUUGACAGUGCUGCGGUAGCGAUGGCUGUCGGCAGCAUGGAAGCAGAUCUAGGAGGGUAGACGGUGGCGCGGGGCUAGGUGGACGGGACGGUCGUGGGAGUGGCGCCGGCAAGGUGGACGAUGGCGGGGAUGAAGCGAGAGGACGGGAUGCAAGGAUUCCGGUCCGAAGCCGUGGAUGAGAGAGGUCGAUCUCUUGUAAUGGACGACGACGUCGGGGUAUCAACUCCGGCAUGGUGGAGGAGGACGGCGGUGGAUGGGGUGGCGGACAGAGGAGGCUGGGGUGGAGAGGGUGUUUUGGCGCCCACGGAGUACGAAUGGGGAAAAGGGAGGUAGAGAGGAAGGGGGAACCAUGUAUUUAGGGCGCGCUUGUCUCAAAUGCGUGGAAAUUUACAAACUUAGCCCCCGUUUCAAAUUUCCUACAUCACAACAAUAUUAGUCGGUUAGGGAUAGGACGGUAAUCUCGCAUACACCAAAUAUUUGCCGACGAGAGUUUGUUUUUGGCACCCACCGUUUAUGAAUAUGAAUCGGGGAGGGAGUCGAUUUCGGCCGAGGACACACUGUGUUUUGGCGCCCACCGUGUAUGAAUCCGGGUGAGAGGCGGUUACGUCACAUUUGGGUGAAAUUACAAACCUACCCCUAUCGAAACCUAUAGAAAUCCAGCAGAUAGGCUUAGCGUGGCAGGGAUAGGCAGUAGUAAUUUCCAUCUCAUAGAUUUUGGUUUCGGGCGGUUACUACGACUUUCCCCGCUUCGUUCAAAUUUUGCAGAGCGCACGUUAACCAUGCCAACUCAAUUCGAAUCCCAUUUGUAUUCUAUUUUUUCGGGCGGGAUCCAUUUUCAAUUGGAAUUAAAUUCUAUACACAUCAUUUUUUUAUAUAUACUUUCAAAAGCACAACACCAUUUAUACAUAAAUAUGGUUUACAAAUGGCAUGAUCUUAGAUUCAUAAGGUUGUAUCCAUCAAUUUGGAUUUUCAAAUAUUUGAAACCACUUUAUGUUGAAAUCCAAUGUAUGCAUUCCUCGCUAACUGUCUCCAAUUAAUGUGUGUUUCAUGUGUUUUUUUUACUUCUCAAACAUGUAUAAUGUGUUUCACACACGCAACAUAUAGUGUAAUCCCGUUUAGACAUUAAUUGCAUAUAAACCAUGCAUUGUUUGUAAUUAAAGAAUCUAUGGAUCACCAAUAUUGGUAAACUAUAUAACAUUACACGUGUGCCCAAAUUCAAAUGAAUAUGCAUGUUUGAUACACCAAUUUGCACUAUGAUACUAUCGAUGUCGUGAUCUCCAGUUUAAAUAUUUGAAUCCCCUUUAAUCCAUAUAUUCGUCUCAUAUAGCUAUCACUCAUGCUUAUAUAGGACUAUCUCUCUGGACCUAUACACGUUCAUCGUCUCUCAGGUAUCUCGCGUGCUACCUGUAUGUCGACAAUGAUCUUUUAUCUUCGUAACACACUGCCGGUACUCCCUCCCUCGACCUUCAUCACUCUAUCUCUCUCUAAGUAUAUCUCUCUCCCUGCUAUGUGUCUCUAACUAUGAUUCUCCAUGUGGAAUCUCUUUCAAUCACACAACACAAAACUUUGUAUCCCGGGGUCUCAUUUCUCUCUACUAUUCCCAUGUGUGCCACUCGCACACCCCUCAUACAGAGAUGUCUUUUGCUCCUUAGAUAUGAGAACCUACAACUCUUCCUCUUAAAUAUCUCUUUCUCACACACAAACACAAACUCUGUCUCCUAGGGUCUCAUAUUUCUCCACUGUUCUCUUGUAUGUCGCUCACACACACUCUCUCCCUAGAGAUAUCUUGCGUUCCCUCAUAUGUCUCUCUAGCUAUCAUUCUCGUUGUGAAAUAUCUUUCUCUCUCGUAGACACAAAACUCUGUCUCUCGGGAUCUCAUUUCUCUCUGAUAUCUGUUUGUAUGUGACUCACAUGCACCCUCUCUCUAUCUCUCUCACACCCACACACAUAACUCAGCCUUCUGAUGCACUCGACUCCUAUCUCUAACGCACACUAGCUAGCAUCUUUAUCUUUCUAGUUAUCUGUUUCUCCAUCAACCUUCUUUCUCGCCCUCACUCUUGCUUCCUAUCACGCACACUACAUAUGUUUCUCUCUACAUGCAGUCAAGUGCCCUCUUUUUAUCUUUCUCUCACACACACAUAUAUAACUUCACCCUCUGAACCACCCGGCGGUCAUCUCCAACACUCAAACUAGCGGAUGUCCCUCUAGCUAGCAUCUCCAUCUCUGUAUCUAUUUGUAGUUUCUCCAUCAACAUUUCUUUCUCGCACGGAGUCUUGCUUCCUAUCACCCACACUAUAUAUGUCUCUCCAUACAUAUGAAUUUAUAGGUUGAUCUCUUUUGCACAAUCGUUGUGCCUCACUCCCUCUGCUCACCAUAGAUGCAUGCUCCAGCCCACGCCACUAUCUCUUAAAGACAAAAACACAUGCUCAAUUGUCGGGCCUUCUUCCUUGCAUUCUCACAUGCAUGCAUAUUGUCAUACCGAUCCGUCUCUCCCAUGUCGUUGAUCUUACGACUUAUGUUUUCUUUCUUUUAUCUCAAUCUUGCGCGCGCGCACACACACACAUCCCAUGUAUACAUGUAUACCUUUCACACAUGCAUGUUCAAUGUCUCUAUGUCUCCAUACGUAGUUAAUUACCCUCAACCCUAACGCCACAUCGAAUUGUUCUCCUCUUGUGUGCACAUAACUUCCGCCUGGAUGGAUAAAACACACACUCACACUUAACAAUCUCCUUCUAGCUACCCCCUCCCACUCUUCCCCUAUAUCCCCGAAACAAAUAAGACUGUCCCUUUGUUUAAUUCCCGCCUACAUGCACCAUCGGUAUAUAGUAGUCUUCCUCGGUGUCUCUCAAACAAACACGUUCUCUCGAUGUCGACUCCUCUCACGCACACACACCUUCUCUUCCCUCUCUACGGGUGUCGGGGGGAUGAACCCCGGGCAGGCAACGGAACCCGGAUCCUCUUCAAAAAUAGUGGGGCCCAUAGCGCCCCUCGAACCGGCAUGCGCCUGGCCGGGUCGCUCGACCCGGCAAGGCCCGCAACCCGGCCAAACUCUCCGACCCGGCAAGGUACAUCGACCCAGCCUCAGCAAUUGGCGCAAGGCAACCGAACCUGGCACGACCAAGGCUUCCCCAACAAGCCGACCCCCCGUGGCGUGAGCACGAAAUCCAACCACGGGUCAAGCUCCCAUCCCAUUCAGGCCGUACAAUGGGAUGAGACCUCAAUCACCGAUGCCCAAGACAACAGUGCUUCCACCCAUGCCUAUGGUCAGUCGGAGCAUGGCAACAAUGCCCCUUACCUACCCGCUGACCGGGGCUCGCGUGGCAAUAGUGCACCCGCCCUCACCGUGACGAUAGCAAGCGGCAACCUGAUGGAGAGCACUGUACGCGACUUCGGCCACACCCCGAUGAUCGACAAGAUGACGCACAGUCCCCCUAGGCACGCAGGGCCCGUACCUAGGGGAACCCGGCGAACCACAAGCCCUCAGCAGGACCCAGUCCGGUAUCCCGGACACCGGCAAUACGGACCCACCGACUCGGUGUAUUACCGUUGUAGCCCUGGGCGGGUUGAUCUAUAAAACCCCCUAAGAACCCGUGCCUACAGGGCAUGAGCAGCAUAAUGUACAAGGUAGCAUGUGAGAAACAGAUACAAGGGACAAGCAAGCAAGCCUAGGACUAGCCACCAAACCGCAACCCCGGAGAGAAGGAGCAGCCCAAGCCUUGUCCAGCUUCCUUCCUCUUCCAAACAGCUCCAGGAGCAACAUUGUACUAUUGAUCAUCCAACUACACUCGGCAGGACUAGGGGUAUUAUCUCUCCGGAGAGCCCCGAAACUGGGUAUGUCCGGCGUCCCGCGCCCGCUCAUGCCAACCUCGCCUUUGGAGCCCACCAGCGCCCUCGAGCCUCCUCCUCUCUUUAGCCAUCCCUUGGCAUCUGCCGUACGCCCACCAUGACAGUUGGCGCCCACCGUGGGGCAGCUCGGGGAGCUGGCAGGAGCAUGCUUUAGACGGGGCCCUUCUCCUACACCAACGAGUCCGUCGCGCUGGCGGACGAUGUUGUCAGCGCGCUUGCCGCCUCCUUCGCUGCGCUGCACAUCUCCGAUGCGUUCGUGGUCGAUGAGUACCCCAACAAGGUGCUCAGCUACUCUGACUCUCCCCUCUCCCUCGGCGGUGGCAUUGCUGCCGGGGCGAUGGACGUCCAUGUGGAGGUUUUCGUCACCAGCGAGGGCGCCUCCUCCUCGUCGAGCAAGAUGAGGAAGGCCGCGGAAUCCAGGGCCGCUGCGGAACGGACCGAGCCGUCCUAUCCGCUGCGCGCCGCGAUGCAGAGCCUCCACAUCCCCAUCAGCACCGACAUCGACGCCACCAACACCACCGAGGCCCAAUCUCAGCUCGAGGAAAGGCGCCAGCAGAUGCUGGACCUGUCUGAGACGCUCGCCGCCACCAAGCGUCGCCUGGAGGCCGCUUAGAUGGAGCACGACGCCGCCCACGGGUUAGCGCUUGGCGUGGCCGAGCCAAGCCGGGUCAUCGAUGUGCAUACCCGGGGAGGAGCGAUCGGCCGGGCCCUCGGCGCCGUCCGAACCGUCUAUGAGACCCUAGUGAAGAACAUGCUCAUUGCGGAGGCAGCCACGGUCGGCCUGGACCAGCUCGCGGGUGAGGAGCUGAAAGAGCGCAUCGGGCGGAUGCACGAGCUCCUCCACGCUGCCAACACCCAGUAGGAUCGCCUCAACCAGCUCGCCAAGCCGGCGGGAUCCGGCUCCGCCCGCCUUGGCGGACACGAUGAACUUCUGCACACGGCUUCCUCGCCGCCCGGCGAGGCGCACUUCGGCCAAGCCCGGACUCGGCGCAACCCGGCUGCCACAGCAGCCGACGUCCUGGGCAAUGAACCCGCCGCGGAGACCCAGCAUGGACUCGGCCAGCAUGGCCGGCGUCCGGCUCCAACCGACCUGGCCCCUCGGGGCCUGGCCACCAGUCGACUCGGCCCGUGCGCCAUCGACGACGCCGACGCUCGCCACCGCCUCGAUCAGCUCGCUCGCUCCCUGGAGGUGGAGGAGAGCGGCGCUAUCGGGCCGGCGUGCUUCGGCCCACGCAUCCGGGGGGAGCCCUUCCCCAAAGGGUUCAUGCUCCCCCGUGACACCUCCAAGUACAACGGGACCGUGAAGCCAGAAGAUUGGCUCACAGACUAUACCACGACCAUUGGCAUCACCGGUGCCAAUCGCCGUCUCGCUGUGCGCUACGCACCGCUCAUGCUCCAGGGGUCGGCCCGCACAUGGUUGAACAGUCUGCCGAUGGGCAGCAUCAACGCAUGGGUCGACUUCGAGGAGGCCUUUGUACGCAACUUCACGGGGACCUGCAAGUGACCCGGUCGUCCUAGCCAGCUCGCCAUGUGCGUGCUGGGGCCGACGGAGACCGGUCGCGAGUACCUCGCACGCUGGACCGAGCUCCGAAACAGCUGCGAGGGUGUCCAUGAAGUCCAGGCAAUCCAGUACUUCGUCAGCGGGUGCUGAGACGGCACCCUCCUCAAGCAGAAGCUCUUACGCUUCGAGCCGGCCACCAUGGCCGCACUCAUGGUGACGGCGGACAAGUACGCCAACGCCGACUCUACCAUGAAGGUCCAGGUGGCGUUGGAUGAAGCCGGCAAGGCGAAGCCGGUUCCUCCCCCGAAGUCGGCUGGCGAAAGCAGUCGAUAGCAGCAUCACCAGAACAACAAGCGCAAGGCCGACCAGCCGGUGCAGCGUCACGACAACCGGCUUGUCGCGGCCACCGAGCCGACGGACCCGACGGCGAAGCGCCGGCAGACCGGCAAGAUGGUGUGGCAACCCGCCAUGAGUUUCGAAGAAAUGCUCGACGCCCCAUGCAAGCACCACAGCGGCGCAAGACCCUCCACGCACACGCUUCGGCAGUGCGCCAUCACCAAGCGCAUCAUGAGGGGAGACGUCCCACCCCCUCCGGCUCCGGCUCCGGCUCUAGGCGCGGGACAGCCGCCUCCGCCUCCACCACCACCUCCCGCUGGCGGUGCGAUGCGCAAAGACGCCUACCCGGACCAGAACGCGGCCUACGUCGUCUUCACCAGGCUUGGCGAUGACAAGCACAGCGAGCACCUCCUUCGGCAAGAGGUGAACACCAUCGUCCAGGCCCAGCCGGAGUUCAUGCACUGGUCGGAUCGCCCGAUCACCUGGACUCGGGAGGAUCACCCGGCAGUCAUGCUGAGUUCGGGUGGUUACGCCCUCAUCCUCAACCCCACCAUCAUCACGCGGUGCACAUGCAAGUUCUCCCGAGUCCUCAUUGACGGCGGCAACAGCAUCAACAUCCUCUACCGCGACAUGAUGACCAAGCUCGGCCUUAAGGCCGAGGACCUGGAGCCGACCCGAACAAUCUUCCACGGCAUCGUGCCCGACCUCUCCCGCUAUCCCAUUGGCCGGGUCCGUCUCGAUGUCCUGUUCGGCGACAGCAGCCACUUUCGACGCGAACCGAUCUGGUUCAAGGUGGUGAACCUGUCCAGCGCGUAUCACGCAUUGCUGGGCCGGCCCGCGCUUGCCAAGUUCAUGGCGGUUCCCCACCGGCGACUACCACAAGUCCCUGGAGUGCACCCGAGACGGCGCCAAGUUGGUUGAGUCGCUGGUAAUUGCCGAGGAGCGGCGCCAGCUCGACCGGAUCGUCGCCCUGGCAGGCGAGGCCUCCGCUGCGUCGAUCCCGACCCCGGACCUGGCCGACGAGGCCGCCUUCAAGCCCUCCAAGGAUACCAAGAAAGUGAAGCUCAACCCGGAAGACCCCAGCUGCAGCAAGUAUGUUGUCGUAGGCGCUCGCCUCGACAGCAAAUAGGAAGGCGAGCUCAUCGACUUCCUUCGUGAGAAUCGGGAUAUCUUCGCAUGGACCCCCAAGGACAUGCCGGGUAUCUCGAGGAAGUACGCCGAGCACAAACUUCACGUCCGCAAGGACGCCAAGCCUAUCCAUCAACCCCUACAAUGAUUUUCCGAAGAGAAGAGAAGAACCAUUGGUGAAAAGGUUGCCAAGCUUUUGGUGGCCGGCUUCAUAAUGGAAGUGUUUCACCGCGAGUGGCUGGCUGAUAACCCACAAGUAUAGGGGAUCGCAACAGUUUUCGAGGGUAGAGUAUUCAACCCAAAUUUGUUGAUUCGACACAAGGGGAGCCAAAGAAUAUUCUCAAGUAUUAGCAGCUGAGUUGUCAAUUCAACCACACCUGGAAACUUAGUAUCUGCAGCAAAGUGUUUAGUAGCAAAGUAAUAUGAUAGUGGUGGUAACAGUAACGAAAGUAAAGACAACAAAAGUAAUGAUUUUGGUAUUUUGUAGUGAUUGUAACAGUAACAACGAAAAGUAAAUAAGCGAGAACCAGUAUAUGGAAAACUCGUAGGAACCGGAUCAAUGAUGGAUAAUUAUGUCGGAUGUGGUUCAUCAUGUAACAGUCAUAACAUAGGGUGACACCGAACUAGCUCCAGUUCAUCAAUGUAAUGUAGGCAUGUAUUCUGAAUAUAGUCAUACGUGCUUAUGGAAAAGAACUUGCAUGACAUCUUUUGUCCUACCCUCCCGUGGCAGCGGGGUCCUAUUGGAAACUAAGGGAUAUUAAGGCCUCCUUUUAAUAGAGAACCGAAUCAAAGCAUUAGCACAUAGUGAAUACAUGAACUCCUCAAACUAUGGUCAUCACCAGGAGUGGUUCCGAUUAUUGUCACUUCGGGGUUGCCGGAUCAUAACACAUAGUAAGUGACUAUAGACUUGCAAGAUAGGAUCAAGAACUCACAUAUAUUCAUGAAAACAUAAUAGGUUCAUAUCUGAAAUCAUGGCACUCGGGCCCUAGUGACAAGCAUUAAGCAUAGCAAAGUCAUAGCAACAUCAAUCUCAGAACAUAGUGGAUAAUAGGGAUCAAACCCUAACAAAACUAACUCGAUUACAUGAUAAAUCUCACCCAACCCAUCACCGUCCACCAAGCCUACAAUGGAAUUACUCACGCACGGCGGUGAGCAUCAUGAAAUUGGUGAUGGAGGAUGGUUGAUGAUGACAAAAGCGACGAAUCCCCCUCUCCGGAGCCCCGAACGGACUCCAGACCAGCCCUCCCGAGAGAGAUUAGGGCUUGGCGGCGGCUCCGUAUCGUAAAACGCGAUGAUUUCUUCUCUCUCAUUUUUUCUCCCCGAAGGCCAAUAUAUGAAGUUGGAGUUGGCGUCGGAGGGCCACUAGGGGUGCCACGUGGUAGGGGGGCGUGCCCAGGGGGGGGGGCACCCCCACCCUCGUUAACAGGUUGUGGGCCCCCUGGUCUUCAUCUUUUGCGAGGAUUUUUCUUUAUUUUUUCUAAGGCGUUCCAUGGAGUUUUAGGACAUUCCGAUAAUCUUUAUUUUCUGCACAAAAACAACACCAUGGCAGUUCUGCUGAAAACAGCGUCAGUUCGGGUUAGUUCCAUUCAAAUCAUACAAGUUAGAGUCCAAAACAAGGGCAAAAGUGUUUGGAAAAGUAGAUACGACGGAGACGUAUCAACUCCCCCAAGCUUAAACCCUUACUUGUCCUCAAGCAAUUCAGUUGACAAACUGAAAGAGAAAAAGAAAAACUUUUACAAACUCUGUUUGCUCUUGUUGUUGUAAACAUGAAAAGCCAGCACUCAAGUUUCAGCAAAUAUUAUGAAGUAACCAUUCUCACAAUAACAUAAAGGUCUCACAAUUACUCAUAUCAAUAGCAAAAUCAGCUAGCGAGCUAUAAUAACAAAACUCGGAUGACAACACUUUCUCAAAAUAAUUAUGACAUGAUAUAACAGAAUGGUAUCUCUCUAGCCCUUUUUGAGACCGCAAAACAUAAAUGCAGAGCACCUUUAAAGAUCAAGGACUGACUAAACAUUGUAAUUCAUGGUAAAAGAGAUCCAGUCAGGUCAUACCCGAAAUAAACCAAUAAUAAUGAAUGCAAAUGACAGUGUGCUGUCCAGCGGGUGCUUUUUAAUAAGAAGGGUGAUGACUCAACAUAAAAGUAAAUAGAUAGGCCCUUCGCAGAGGGAAGCAGGGAUUUGUAGAGGUGCCAGAGCUCGGUUUUAAAAUAGAGAUUGAAUAACAUUUUGAGCGGCAUACUUUUGCUGUCAACACAACAACUAUGAGAUGACGAUAUCUUCCAUGCUAAACAAAUUAUAGGCGGUUCCCAAACAGAAUGGUAAAGUUUAUAGUCCCCUUCCUCCACAAGCAUCAACCCAUGGCUUGCUCAAAACAACGAAUGCCUCCAACAUUCAACGGGUCCCAAGGGGAGUUUUGUUUGCAAUUAUUUUGAUUUAGUUUGCAUAAAGCAUGGGACUGGGCAUCCCGGUGACCAGCCAUUUUUCUCGUGAAUGAGGAGCGGAGUCCACUCCUCUUGAGAAUAACCGCCUAACAUGGAAGAUAAGGGCAGCCCUAGUUGAAACAUGAGCUACUCGAGUGUACAAAACAGAAUUUUAUUUGAAGGUUUGCAGUUUGGCACAUACAAAUUUACUUGGAAUGGCAGGUAAAUACUGCAUAUAGGAAGGUAUAGUGGACUCAUAUGGAACAACUUUGGGGUUUACGGAGUUUGGAUGCACAAGCAGUAUUCCCGCUUAGUACAGGUGAAGGCUAGCAAGAGACUGUGAAGCGACCAACUGGGAGAGCGACAACAGCCGUAAACAUGCAUCAAAAUUAAUUUACACUGAAUACAAGCAUGAGUAGGAUAUAAUCCACCAUGAACAUAAAUAUCAUGAAGGCUAUGUUGAUUUAAUUCAACUACAUGCGUGAACAUGUGCCAAGUCUAGUCACUCAAUUCAUUUAAAGGAGGAUACCAUCCCAUCAUACCACAUCAUAAUCAUUCUAAUAGCAUGUUGGCACGCAAGGUAAACCAUUAUAACUCAUAGCUAAUCAAGCAUGGCACAAGCAACUAUAAUCUCUAAAUGUCAUUGCAAAUAUGUUUACUUCAUAAUAGCUAACUCAGGAAUGAUGAAUCAUCAUAUUUACAAAAACAAGAGAGGUCGAGUUCAUACCAGCUUUUCUCAUCCCAAUAAGUCCAUCAUAUAUCAUCAUUAUUGCCUUUCACUUGCACGACCGAAUGAUGUGAAUAAUAGUAAGAGUGCACGUGCAUUGGACUAAGCUGGAAUCUGCAAGCAUUCAACUCAAGAGAGAAGACAAGUAAUAUGGGCUCUAAGUUAAAUAAUCAUUCAUGCAUAUAUGAGCCACUAAGCAUUUUCAAUAUGGUCUUCUCGACCCCCAAAGAAAGGAAAAAAAACUAUUUACACGGGAAAGCUCCCAACAAACAAAACAAGAACGGGAAAUAUUUUUGGGUUUUCCGUUUUAAUUACUAUAGUAAAGAAAUAAAGUACUACUAUUUUUUUGUCUUUCUUAAGGUUUAUUAAACACAUAAGAAGAAAGCAGGAAAAAGAAAAUAAGCUAGCAUGGAUAUUACAGUGAAAGAGUAUGAACACCGACAUCUAGCAAUGAGUGUGUGUAAACAUGAAUGUAAUGUCGGUGGGAAAUACGUACUCCCCCAAGCUUAGGUUUUAGCCUAAGUUGGUCUAUUGCCAGGGAUGGCCUGGCGAAUACCCAUAAGUGAAGUUGUGGUCAUACUGUGACGCAGCGGCUAUCGCCUCCUGAGCUACAGUGUAGCGUCUAGCUGCCUCCGCUCUCCUCUCGUAUUCAUCUGCCUCCUCUCUGGUAAUAACAUAUCUUCCUUUUGUCUGAAAAUCAAAGAAGGCAGGAGCAGGAAGAGCAAUAUGGACUACGUGACGUUUGUUAAAGAUUAGUUGAUACUGGAGAGGUGGCUCUGUCCUCUCAACAAACCGGUGAGAAACCAUAGAAUCAAAAUCUAAAUAAGAAGGAGGUAACGCCAUAUCACCCUCAUGAAUGUCUAUCUCAAGAAAAUUAGCUAAGCGGGUUGCAUAAAUUCCUCCAAAGAAAUCCCUGUUAUGUCUAUUCUGAUGCAACCUACGAGCUAUGAUGGCUCCCAUAUGAUAAGAUUGGUCUCCUAACACAUCACUUCUGAGAAUGCUGAGAUCAGGAGCACACAAGUGACAUACUUCAUCCUUAGCAUUAAUACAUCUACCUAUAAAGAGAGCAAAAUAAUGUAUAGCGGGAAAAUGAAUGCUCCCUAAAGUGGCUUGUGUUAUGUUUCUAGAUUCCCCCACAGUUAUUUUAGCAAGAAAGUCUCUAUAUUCAGAUUUAGGGGGAUCCCUGACAUUACCCCAUGAUGGAAGCUUGCAAGCAGAGGUGAAAUCCUCUAAGUCCAUGGUAUAAGAUUUAUCAUAAAGGUCAAACAUGACUGAAGGAGAAUUACGCGAAGAUGAAAACUCAAACCUCCUCACAAAUGAACUCGUGAGAUCAUGAUACUGGGGGCAUUUGUCAGCUACAAAGUCCUCAAGACCGGCGUUGCACAAAUAUGCGCUAAAUUCUUCCUUGAUUCCUACUUGAUUCAUAAAAUUUUCCGAAGGCCAUUCACAAGGCCUCACAGGAGCAUCUCUUGGUGGUUCCUCGUCUGCAUCACGUAUUGCAAGCCUGGGACCUUGCCUCCUUGAAGGGCCACCUUGGAACAUCCUCCUAAACAUAUUGCUUCCUCUGAGAAAUUUCUGAAUUUUUUUAGUAACUUCAAAAAAAGUGAACCAACUUCAAUAAAAUUGAUAGUAACAACUCCUGAAAGUGCCUAGAGCCUAUAUAAAGCAUUGGUACUAAUUGGAACCAUAUAAAUUUGACAUGCAAGCUCAAGAACAGGGUCACCUAUGCAGCACAAAUUUACAAUGGAUAGAGCACUAGAACAAAAACUAAUUGGACCAAUGGAGGAGUCACAUACCAAGGAACAAUCUCCCCAAGCAGUUUUGCGAGAGGUGCUUUGAGCAAGGAGAUCGAAAAUCACAGCUACGGGGGCUGGAACUCGUGCUUGAGUUGUUUUUUCAUGUUUGUGUGAGACAGAGGAAGAAGAUGUGUGCAGGAAUAAGUGGAGGAGGACCACCAUGGGCCCACGAGGCAGGGGGGGCGCGCCCAGGGGGGUAGGGCGCGCCCUCCACCCUCGUGGCCAGGUGGCAGCUCCCCCCGCGGUGAUUUUUGCACAGUAAAUUCUUAAAUAUUCCCGAAAAAAUCAUAUUAAAUUGGCAUGGCAUUCUGAGGACUUUUAUUUUCGGGAUAUUUUUAUAUUGAGCGGAUAAGUCAGGAGACAGACAGAAAAAUACUAUUUUACUUUAUUUCUACUAAAUAACAGAAAAUAUAAAGAGGGUACAGAAGGUUGUGCUUGUAGUUUCAUCCAUCUCGUGAUCAUCAAAAUGAAUCCACUAACAAGGUUGACCAAGUCUUGUUAACAACUCAUUCCGAGUAAUCACGGAACCGGAGAAAUUUCAAAUGACACUAAGUUACCUCAAUGGGGAUAUGAAAAUCCCCAACAAUAAGUAUAUCAUACUUUUUCUUGACAGUAGGGAGAGGAAAUUCGAAACCUCCAAAUAUAAUCGAUGGAACUUUUCCAAUAGUGUUGAUACUAUAAACUUGAGGUUGUUUCCUCGGAAAAUGUACCGUGUGUUCAUUGACAUUGACAUGAAAAGUGACAUUGCCUUUGUUGCAAUCAAUAAUAGCCCCUGCAGUAUUAAGGAAAGGUCUUCCAAGAAUAAUAGACACACUAUCAUCCUCAGGAAUAUCAAGAAUAACAAAGUCCGUUAAAAUAGUAAUGUUUGCAACCACAGCAGGCACAUCCUCACAAAUACCGACAAGUAUAGCAGUUGAUUUAUCAGCCAUUUGCAAAGAUAUUUUAGUAGGUGUCAACUUAUUCAAGUCAAGACUGCGAUAUAAAGAGAGAGGCAUAACACUAACACCGGCUCCAGGAUCACACAAAGCAAUUUUAACAUAAUUUCUCUUAAUGGAGCAUGGUAUAGUAGGUACUCCAGGAUCUCCAAGUUUCUUUGGUACUCCACCCUUAAAAGUAUAAUUAGCAAGCAUGGUGGAAAUUUCAGCUUCAGGUAUCUUUCUUUUAUUAGUAAUAAUAUCCUUCAUAUACUUAGAAUAAGGAUUUGUUUUGAGCACAUCAGUUAAUCGCAUACGCAAAAAGAUAGGUCUAAUCAUUUCAGCAAAGCACUCAAAAUCCUCAUCAUCCUUUUUCUUGGAAGGUUUCGGGGGGAAAGGCAUGGGUUUUUGAACCCAUGGUUCCCUUUCUUUACCAUGUUUCCUAGCAACAAAGUCUCUUUUAUCAUAGCGCUGAUUCCUUGAUUGUGGGUUAUCAAGAUCAACAGCAGGUUCAACUUCUACAUCAUUAUCAUUACUAGGUUGAGCAUCAACAUGAACAUUAUCAUUAACAUUAUCACUAGGUUCAUGUUCAUCACCUGAUUGUGUUUCAGCAUCAGAAAUAGAAAUAUCAUUUGGAUUCUCAGGUGACUCAGCGAUAGGUUCACUAGAAGUUUGCAAAGUCCUAUCAUUUUUCUUUUUCUUCUUUUUAGAAGAACUAGGUACAUCAAUAUCAUUUCUCUGAGAAUCUUGCUCGAUUCUCUUAGGGUGGCCUUCAGGAUACAAAGGUUCCUGAGUCAUUCUACCUGUUCUAGUAGCCACUCUAAUAGUAUAAUCAUUUUUCUUACUAUUCAUUUCAUCAAGUGCUUCUUUUUGAGCUUUAAGUACUUGUUCUACUUGAGUUGUAACCAUAGAAGCAUGUUUGCUAACAAGUUUAAGUUCACCUCUAAUAUCAGCCAUAUAAUCACUCAAGCGUUUAAUCAUAUAGGCAUCUUGUUUUAAUUGUCUACCAAAAUAAGCAUUAAAGUCAUCUUGCUUAAACAUAAAGUUAUCAAACUCAUCCAAGCACUGACUAGCAAUUUUAGUAGGAGGGACUUCAACUUUAUCAUAUCUAUAGAGAGAAUUUACCUUUACUACCUGUGUCGGGAUAUCAGGAGGUUCUUUAGUAAAUAAGUAAUUGAGAUCAUAUACUUCUUCAACAGGUGGUAAAUUAAGACCGUGUAUUUCUUCAAUAGGAGGUAAAUUCUUAACAUCUUCGGCUUUAAUACCUUUUUCUUUCAUAGAUUUCUUUGCCUCUUGCAUAUCUUCAGGACUGAGAAAUAGAACACCUCUCUUCUUCGGAGUUGGUUUAGGAAUAGGCUCAGUAAUUGGCUCAGGAAUUGGCUCAGGAGGUAGCUCGGGAGGUAGCUCGGGAGGUGCCCAAUUAUUUUCAUUAGCCAACAUAUUAUUCAAUAUAAUUUCAGCGUCAUCCGGUGUUCUUUCCCUAAAAAGAGAACCAGCACAACUAUCCAGGUAAUCUCUGGAAGCAUCAGUUAGUCCAUUAUAAAAGAUAUCAAAUAUUUCACGUUUCUUAAGAGGAUGAUCAGGCAAAAUAUUAAGUAACUUGAGAAGCCUCCCCAAGCUUGUGGGAGACGCUCUUCUUAAAUUUGCACAAAAUUGUAUAUUUCCCUCAAAGCAGCUUGUUUCUUAUGAGCAGGGAAAUAUUUAGCAGAGAAGUAAUAAAUCAUAUCCUGGGGACUUUGCACACAACCAUGAUCAAGAGAAUUAUACCAUAUCUUAGCAUCACCCUUUAACGAGAACGGAAAUAUUUUGAGUAAAUAAAGAUAGCACGAUCUCUCAUUAUUAGUAAACAGGGCAGCUAUAUCAUUCAACUUAGUAAGAUGUGCCACAACAGUUUCAGAUUCAUAGCCAUAAAAAGGAUCGGAUUCAACCAAAGUAAUUAUAUCUGGAUCAACAGAAAAAUCAUAAUAAUCCUUAUCGGGAACACAAAUAGGUGAAGUGGCAAAAGCAGGGUCGGGUCUCAUUCUAUCUCUAAGAGAUUCUUUCCCCAUUUAAUUAGCAACCUCUUAAGUUCAUAUCUAUCCUGGCAAGCAAAAAUAGCGGCAGAAGAUUCUGCAUCAAAAAGAUAACCUUCAGGGAUAGGAGGCAUAUUUUCAUCAUCACUCUCAUCAUUGUAUUCAGGUGCAAUAAUUUCUCUUUCUUUAGACCUAGCAAUUUGCUCAUCAAGAAAUUCACCAAGGGGCACAGUAAUAUCAAGCAUAGAAGUGGCAUCAUCAAUAACAUGCGACAUAUCAGAAUUCAUAGCGGUAGCAGGUUUAGGCGUCGGAAGCUUACUUAUAACAGAAGGAGAAUCUAGUGCAGAGCUAGAUCGUAGUUCCUUACCUCCCCUCGUAGUUGAGGGCAAAAUCUUGGUCUUAGCGUCUUUCAAGUUCUUCAUCGUGUCCAGCAGUUAUAAAUCCCAAGUGACUCAAAGAAUAGAGCUAUGGUCCCCGGCAACGGCGCCAGAAAAUAGUCUUGAUAACCCACAAGUAUAGGGGAUCGCAACAAUUUUCGAGGGUAGAGUAUUCAACCCAAAUUUGUUGAUUCGACACAAGGGGAGCCAAAGAAUAUUCUCAAGUAUUAGCAGCUGAGUUGUCAAUUCAACCACACCUGGAAACUUAGUAUCUGCAGCAAAGUGUUUAGUAGCAAAGUAAUAUGAUAGUGGUGGUAACGGUAACGAAAGUAAAGACAGCAAAAGUAAUGUUUUUGGUAUUUUGUAGUGAUUGUAACAGUAACAAUGGAAAAGUAAAUAAGCGAGAACCAGUAUAUGGAAAACUCGUAGGCAUCGGAUCAAUGAUGGAUAAUUAUGCCGGAUGUGGUUCAUCAUGUAACAGUCAUAACAUAGGGUGACACAGAACUAGCUCCAGUUCAUCAAUGUAAUGUAGGCAUGCAUUCCGAAUAUAGUCAUACGUGCUUAUGGGAAAGAACUUGCAUGACAUCUUUUGUCCUACCCUCCCGUGGCAGCGGGGUCCUAUUGGAAACUAAGGGAUAUUAAGGCCUCCUUUUAAUAGAGAACCGGAACAAAGCAUUAGCACAUAGUGAAUACAUGAACUCCUCAAACUAUGGUCAUCACAGCGAGUGGUUCUGAUUAUUGUCACUUCGGGGUUGCCGGAUCAUAACACAUAGUAGGUGACUAUAGACUUGCAAGAUAGGAUCACGAACUCACAUAUAUUCAUGAAAACAUAAUAGGUUCAGAUCUGAAAUCAUGGCACUCGGGCCCUAGUGACAAGCAUUAAGCAUAGCAAAGUCAUAGCAACAUCAAUCUCAGAACAUAGUGGAUAUUAGGGAUUAAACCCUAACAAAACUAACUCGAUUACAUGAUAAAUCUCAUCCAACCCAUCACCGUCCAGCAAGCCUACGAUGGAAUUACUCACGCACGGCGGUGAGCAUCAUGAAAUUGGUGAUGGAGGAUGGUUGAUGAUGACGACAUCGACGAAUCCCCCUCUCCAGAGCCCCGAACGGACUCCAGAUCAGCCCUCCCUAGAGAGAUUAGGGCUUGGCGGCGGCUCUGUAUCGUAAAAUGCGAUGAUUUCUUCUCUCUCAUUUUUUUCUCCCCGAAGGCCAAUAUAUGGAGUUGGAGUUGGCGUUGGAGGGUCACCAGGGGGCCCACGAGGUAGGGGGCGUGCCCAGGGGGGGGGGGGGGCGCCCCCCACCCUCGUGAGCAGGGUGUGGGCCCCCUGGUCUUCAUCUUUUGCGAGGAUUUUUCUUUAUUUUUUCUAAGGCGUUCCGUGGAGUUUCAGGACAUUCCGAGAAUCUUUAUUUUCUGCACAAAAACAACACCAUGGCAGUUCUAUGAAAACAGCGUCAGUUCGGGUUAGUUCCAUUCAAAUCAUACAAGUUAGAGUCCAAAACAAGGGCAAAAGUGUUUGGAAAAGUAGAUACGACGGAGACGUAUCACUGGCCAAUCCAGUCCUUGUCCUGAAGAAAAACAAGACCUGUCGCAUGUGUAUCGACUACACCAACCUCAACAAGGCCUGUCCCAAGGAUCCGUUCGCUCUCCCGCGGAUCGACCAAGUCAUCGUGACCGCCAGUUGUGAGCUCCUGUCCUUCCUGGACGCUUACUCCGGCUACCACCAGAUCAAGCUAGACCCGGCCGAUGCCCUGAAGACGUCCUUCAUCACGCCCUUUGGGUGUAUUGCUACAUCAGCAUGUCGUUCGGCUUGAAGAACGCCGGCGCCACCUUCCAACGCUGCAUGCAGAAAUGCCUGCUGCCGCAACUCGGCCGCAACAUCCACGUACGUGGACGACAUCGUGGUGAAGACCAAGCAACACCUCACGCUCCUCGACGAUUUGAAGGAAACAUUUUCCAACCUCCGCGAAUACAAGGUCAAGCUUAACCCGGAAAAAUGCGUCUUCGGCGUCCCGACCGGAAAUCUACUCGGCUUCCUCGUCUCGGAACGCGGCAUUGAGGCUAACCCGGAGAAGAUCAAGGCCAUUGAGUGCAUGCGCAAGACGGCUCGGCUGCGCAACGUCCAGAAGUUCACCGGGUGCCUGGCCUCAGUCAGCCGGUUUCUAAGCCGACUGGGCGAGAGGGCGCUGCCCCUGUACCAGCUGAUGAAGAAGACAAGCCCAUUCGAAUGGAACGAUAAGGCAGACGAGGCCUUCCAAGACCUCAAGCGCAUGCUCUCCACCGCACCAGUCUUGGCCGUGCUGACCGACAAGGAGCCACUAUUACUCUACAUAGCCGCGACCUCGCGGGCGGUCAACAUGAUGCUGGUGGUCGAGCGACCAGAGAAGGGCAAGAUCCAAGCCGUCCAGCGUCCAGUUUACUACCUGAGUGAGGUGCUCUCCAUCUCCAAGCAGAACUACCCGCACUACCGGAAGAUGUGUUAUGGCGUGUACCUCACCGCCAAGAAGCUAAAGCAGUACUUCCAAGAGCAUGUCAUCACCGUCGUCAGCACGACACCUAUCGGAGAAAUCAUCGGGUGCCGGGACGCCUCUGGCCGGGUCGCCAAGUGGGCGAUCCAGCUAGCCGGCCACACCAUCCUCUACGAGUCCCGUGAUACGUCCAUUUUGCAUCAUGCUUUUAUAUCAAUAUUUAUUGCAUUAUGGGCUGUUACUACACAUUAUAUCUCAAUACUUAUGGCUAUUCUCUCUUAUUUUACAAGGUUUACCAUGAAGAGGGGGAAUGCCGGCAGCUGGAAUUCUGGCUGGAAAAGGAGCAAACAUUGGGAACCUAUUCUGCACAGCUCCAAAAGUCCUGAAACUCCACGAAGCAACCUUUUGGAAUUAUUAAGAAUUUCUGAGCGAAAGAAAUAGGCCAGGGGGCCCACACCCUGUCCAGGAGACAACCCCCCCACUAUAGGGCGCACCCCCUAUCUCCUGGGCUCCCUGGUGGGCCUCCGGCGUCCAUCUUCUGCUAUAUCAUCACUUUUACCCUGGAAAAGAUCGUGGGCAAGCUUACGGGACGAAACUCCGCUGCCAUGAGGCGGAACCUUGGCAGAAUCAAUCUAGGGCUCUGGCGGAGCUGUUCUGCCGGGGACACUUCCCUCCGGGAGGGGGAAAUCAUCACCAACAUCAUCACCAACGAUCCUCUCAUCGGGAGGGGGUCAAUCUCCAUCAACAUCUUCACCAGCACCAUCUCCUCUCAAAACCCUAGUUCAUCUCUUGUAUCCAAUCUUGUAUCAAAACCACAAAUUGGUACUUGUGGGUUGCUAAUAGUGUUGGUUACUCCUUGUAGUUGAUGCUAAUUGGUUUACUUGGUGGAAGAUCAUAUGUUCAGAUCCUUUAUGCAUAUUAUUACUCCUCUGAUUAUGAACAUGAAUAUGCUUUGUGAGUAGUUACGUUCGUUCCUAAGGACAUGGGUGAAGUCUUGGUAUUAGUAGUCAUGUGAAUUUGGUCUUCGUUCGAUAGUUUGAUGAGAUGUAUGUUGUCUUUUCCUCUAGUGGUGUUAUGUGAACGUCGACUACAUGACACUUCACCAUUAUUUGGGCCUAGAGGAAGGCAUGGGGAAGUAAUAAGUAGAUGAUGGGUUGCUAGAGUGACAGAAGCUUAAACCCUAGUCUAUGCGUUGCCUUGUUACGGGCUGUUAUGGAUCCAUAUGUCUAAUGCUGUGGUUAGGUUUACCUUAAUACUUCUUUUGUAGCUGCGGAUGCUUGAAAUAGGGGUUAAUCAUAAGUGGGAUGCUUGUCCAAGUUAGGGCAGUACCCUAGUUCCGGUCCACCCACAUAUCAAAUUAUCAAAGUACCGAACGCGAAUCAUAUGAACGUGAUGAAAACUAGCUUGACGAUAAUUCCCAAUGUGUCCUCGGGAGCUCCUUCAUUAUUAUUAGAAAUUGUCUAGGCUUAUCCUUUGAUACAUAAAGGAUUGGGCCACCUUGCUGCACUUUAUUUACUUUAUUUACUUGUUGCUCGUUACUAUUUAUCUUACCACAAAACUAUCUAUUACCUACAAUUUCAGUGCUUGCAGAGAAAACCUUACUGAAAACCGCUUAUCAUUUCCUUCUGCUCCUCGUUGGGUUCGACACUCUUACUUAUCGUAAGGACUACGAUAGAUCCCCUACACUUGUGGGUCAUCACCCCGCACCACGGUCAAGUCUCAAGCCCUGGCCGACUUCCUCGUCGACUGGACCGAGACCUAGUACUUGCCGCCGCCUCCCGACUCGAUGCAUUGGCGCAUGCACUUCGACGGGUCCAAGAUGCGACUUGGCUUGGGGGCCGGCAUCGUACUAUCAUCCUCGAAGGGCGACCGGCUCCGCUACGUGCUCCAGAUCCACUUCGCCGCCUCCAACCAUGUCGCCGAAUAUGAAGCCCUUGUGCACGGCCUCCGGCUUGCCAAGGAACUCGGCAUCCGACACAUUCUGUGCUAUGGCAACUUGGACCUGGUGGUGCAGCAGUGCUCCAGUGAAUGGGACGCCCACGACUCCAACAUGGGAAGCUAUCGCUUCCUCGUCCAGAAGCUGUCCGGAUCCUUCGAGGGCUGCGAGUUCCUCAAUGUCCCGCAUGCGGAGAACGAAGCAGCCGACAUGCUCGCCAUGAUUGCCUCGUCACGACAAGCCAUCCCGUCUGGCGUCUCCCUCGAGCACUUGUGCAAGCCGUCCGUCAAGCCAUCGUCGGACUCCGAAUCCAUUCAUGUUCCAGACAACCCGGCCGCACCUUAAGCCGACCCGGGGAUUGCUGAACCCGGCCCGAGGACUGCUAAACCCAGCCCGGGGGCUGCUCAGCUCAACCCGGCCACCAUCGACCCGGACCCGGCUGUCGCCAUCCCCGACCCGGGGCUGCUCAACCCGACUCGGGGGCUACCGACUCAGAACCCACCCUGGUGGCCGUCUUCGCCAUGGUUACAACUCCAUCUAGGGCCCUCCCAAUAUCAGAAUUUCUGGAGAACGGGGUUCUCCCCAUGGACGAGGCCGAAGCUCGGCAGAUGCAGCACCGGGUGUCUGCCUACAACAUCAUCAACAACAAGCUCAUCAAGCGCAGCUCCACUGGCGUUUUCCAGCGCUGAGUCGAGCAGGAAUAAGGCAUCGACAUCCUCCUCGACAUCCACCAGGGUGAGUGUGGGCACCACGCUGCAUCACGAUCCCUGGUGGCCAAGGCGUUCCGCCAUGGUUUCUACUGGCCCACGGCCCUCGAAGACGCUGAGUCGCUCGUUCUCAAGUGUGAGGGGUGCCAGUGCUUCAGCAAACGCAGCCACCAACCAGCGUCAGCACUCCGCACCAUACCGAUUGCCUAGCCCUUCAUGAUCUGGGGACUCGACAUGGUGGGACCCUUCAAAACCGCUCGAGGCGGCAUGACGCACCUGCUGGUGGCAGUGGACAAAUUCACCAAGUGAAUUGAGGCAAGACCAAUCAAGAAUCUGGAUGGGCAAACAGCCGUCCGGUUCAUCAAGGAUAUAGCGGUGCGCUGCAGCAUGCCGAACAACAUCAUCACCGACAAUGGAACCAACUUCGCCAAGGGCGCGCUCAAGCAAUACUGUUCUGUCUCCGACAUCCGCCUCGACAUGGCCUCUGUUGCGCAUCUGUAGUCCAACGGGCAGGUCGAGCGGGCCAACGGACUCAUCCUGUCCGGCAUCAAGCCGCGACUCGUCGAGCCACUCAUCCGCUCACCCGGCAGCUGGCUCGACAAGUUGCCGACCGUUCUCUGGAGUCUACGCACCACGCCGAAUCGGUCGACCGGGUUCACCCUGUUCUUCCUCAUCUACGGAGCCAAAGCCAUCAUCCCGACCGAUGUCGAGUUUGAGUCGCCGCGAGUCGUGAUGUACACCGAAGCCGAAUCUAGAGAAGCCCGCGAAGAUGGCGUCGACCUGCUCGAAGAAGCACGCCUUCUGGCGCUCAGCCGCUCAACCAUCUACCAGCAAGGCCUGAGGCACUACCACAGCAAGAAGAUCAAGCCCCUCGCAUUCCGCGAGGGCGACCUCGUCCUCCGACUCAUCCAAGAGCAGGCAGGCCAGCACAAGCUGUCCCAUCCAUGGGAGGGCCCAGUCAUCGUGAGCAGGGCCUUGCGCGAUUGCAACGCCUACUACCUCAUCGACGCAGGCAAGUCAAAGAAGCGCAAGAAGGACACCACUGGUGAAGAAACGACCCGGCCGCGAAACGCAGAACUCCUCCACCCGUUUUACAGUUAGCCGCACGAGUGUAUGUAUUGUUGCCUUUUGUAAAUGUAUGAAACUAUGGGGUCCCCGAACAAGACUCGGGGUCUGCCUUUUGUCGACCAAUUUAUCGUGUCCCUAUUUUUCUGCAUCACUAUACCACUGAACCCGGCCACCGGAUCGACUCGCUCAACCCGGAGGCUCGGGGGCUGGCCGGCUCGGUCGCCAUCCCGCCGCCUUACUUGGUGAUUCCUGAGAAAGUUAGGAUGCCGCGGUCCCCCACUUCGCCCUAAAGCCCCAGAUCCAGCUUUGGCUGUCGGCUGGCAAGCACAAUGGGCCAAAGCUCCUUUACGCUUCAUACACUAAGUCAAAGGCUGCCGGGUCGAUCAACCCAGCCCGCCAUUCAUCAAAUGAACAGCCGCACAACCGACUGCUCGCCAGCCGGCUUUGCCGGAGUGCCGCCAGCCGGCCCAGUGGGUAUUUCGCUCACGCUCAACAUUUCGAAGGACCCAAGCCCUACGUGCUCCUUUCAAAGAAUCGAACUCCUUGUCACGGACCAGAGCCUCGGCCGUCUGACUCGCGCGGGGGGAGGGGGGGGGGUUUGAGAAAGGAAAAGCGCAUGAAAUCAGUCCGAAAAAUGGAAGGCAAAAAACAAAGGCACUCACGACAUUUACACACAAAUAUUUAAAAGGCCCACGGCCCGAGUUCAUUACACCCUAAAAAAAACCCAGUGGGUGGGUGGACCUACUACUUAACAAAUUUUGCAAAGUAUCUCAGGCAUCUCCAGCGCCGCGUCACGAAGUCGAUGGCCCUCCCCCGACGGCCUCCGGGUCCGGUGUGUUGGCGGUGUCCUCCUCGGCAUCCGCGUCACCGUAGACGCCUAUCUCCUCCGAGCUCCCCUCCGGAUCAUGGAGAAGCAAGCCGUAGUCGUCGCCAUCCACGGCCCUGUGUCUUCCGUCCGCUCCAGAUGGAACUCGUCAUGGAAGGCGAACUCAGUAAUGUAGCUAGCCCGGGAGGCGAUCCGGCCGGCCUGCUCCUGCAGCAACUGCUCCGAGACGGCCCGCUGGCCCAUCAGCGCAUCCAGCUGAAGAUCCGGAUGCCAAGACAGCGCAAACUGGAGUGCCAUCUCGGCACCGGCACAAGCGGCGGAGACACACCAUCUCGGCACCGGCACGAGCGGCGGAGACACGCCACUCGCCAAGCCGGUUCGGGCCCGUCUCCAACCAGCAUGCCAGGCGCGUGAAGCUGCUCGGCACGACGGCACCCGGUCAAAGGGCCGUCGUCAUCGCGGUGCCGGCCCGGGAUAGCCGCUCCAUCUGCGUUCCCAGGACUCGCAGGCGGGCCGCAGCAGCGGCGAUGAUCUCCGGGAAGGUCCAGGCCGUCCGCGGAUCCAUCCCGGACCCAACGGCACUGGUUGGGUCGCGCUGAUAGCGGACGACUUCCUUCGCCAGACGCUGCGUCUGCGGGAAGGCCCCUGCCACAAAGGAAGAAGCAAGUUAGAAGAAAAACAACAAGGAAGAAAGGUCGGGUCCCGACCCAGCAAACUACAAGAAACAACACUUACUAGAGAAGGACUCUUCCAGGUGCUGCACCUCAAGCAACGUACCAUGCCGCUCCCGCUCCAUGGCGCGGUCGCGCUCCUCGAGCGCCUUCUCCAGAUUGGCCGCCUUGGCAAGGGCCGCCUUCAGCUCGGCAUCCUUGUCUUCGGCCGCCUUCUCGGCCGCCUCGCGGCGACGGGCUUCGUCCUGAUGGGCCCCCUCAGCCGUGGUGACCUGCCCCCGCAGGCGAUCCACCUCGGCCUGGAGCCGGCCCUUGCCAUCGGCCAGCUGGCCGUGCUACUGGUCUGCCUCGACCAGGGUCUGCUGCAUCUCCACCACCUUGACAGCCUCCGCCUUAAGGAGCUCCACCUCGGCCUCAAGGCGGCUCUUGUGACCCGCCAGCUGCUCAUGUAGCCAGUUGGCCUCGUCAAGAGACCGCCGGGCCGCGGCCGCCUCCGCCCUUGCCUGCGCCGUCUCAACGCCAAGACGGCCGGUGUCGGCAACGAGCCGGUUGUAAUGAUGACCGGCCCGGAGCAGACGAGUCCGCCAGGACAGCACCUCGGCUGCGAAAAAGAAGGAUUCAACAGAAGAAAAAAGCAAGACUUCAGAUUUGGCACAACUGUUACACAGUUGGCCCGAAUCUUGGGGCUACACCCAGUGGGUGCGCUAGCGCGCCCCCACUAAAAAAGAGCACAAGAGUACCUGCGGCGAUGCGGAGCUCCUCCUCCUUGGCGACGAGCUGCUCCACGAGCUCCCGGUGCUUGCUCAAGAGACGAUUGUAGGAGGCAACCCGGAAGGCGUCAAGAUGCUGAAAAAAGCAGAAGUCAGAAAAAGGCUGACGCUCUAAAGAUUCGACCCAACUACUAUGCAGUUGGCCCGAACCUUGGGGGCUACACCCAGUGGGUGUGCUGGCGCGCCCCCACAAAGAAGAAAUUACAAGGAAAAAAGAAGACUUACCAGAACGGCGCGCUCCAGGUCGUGCGUCCGCUCCACCUCGGCCUGGGCGAAGGCCUCAAGCCGCUCCGUCCGGCCUCACAGGCGGCGGCUGACGGCGUCCAGCGCUGCCUCCUCCUGGGUUUGAGCCCCAAAGACGACGGCGCCCCCACUCUGUGCCGGCUGCGGCGCGGCAGCUCGGCGCCAACCCUGCCGGGGCACCAAGGCGUGCCCUCUGCUGGCCGCUUGCGACGCGGUCAGUACCUCCUCCGACGCCCCUCCCGGCACCGACGACGACCCGGAUGCCGGGACGCCUUGCGUCGCCACCACCGACCCAGCUGCCGGGGUGGCCUCCGGCACCGCCGCCCGCGGUGCCUCCUCCACAACCGGCGGCGCCUCCGGCACCGCCGCCCGCAGCGCCUCUUCCAAGAUGACGCUGCCUCCACCACCAUCAGCCCCCGCGUGCUCGACCACGUCGGCCCGCGGUGGGGUAUCGCCCCCCACCUCCACGACCUCCUGGUCGAGGAUCACCACCUCAGCCCGGCCUCCACGACCGCGCUCCCUCACCGACGAUGGCUCAAAGACCGUCGCCGCGACCACCGUGCCCUCCGACAUCUUGCGCCAGGCCGGCUCCGGGCCGGCACGCGCCCAUGCCACCACCGUGUCGGUCCAAGCCUAGACCGACGCCGCCUCCAGCUCCGCCUCGGCCCGGUUCCUGUACCGCCAGGCCAAGGCUUCAGCGUCGUUCGGGUCCAGGCUGAGGUCCGAGUCAGCCCGUCCCUCCACCUCGGCCUGGUCGGCGAGGUCGAACCGGCUCCUGCGGAACGCGGCCCCUUCGACGGCCGCGGCUUUCGCCGCCGCCCUCACCAGCGCGAUUGGCAACCUGAAGAAGAAGACAAAAUGAGCAGAAAAGAAACAAGACUAGCUCAAAAAUUCCGGGCGCAAAAGAAAAAUGAAGCUUACCUCAUCAAGACCGGGACCAGGGUUGGCCUCCCGUGCCCGCCGCCGCGCUUCUUCUUGGCCGGCCUCCCGGUUCCCGCCGGGUCCGCCAUGCGCUUCGGGGCCCGGGGUCACGGCGCGACGCUGUAUUUCCCAUGCGGGCGGCUCGGCGCCGCCCCAUGCGAGGACCCGGCUCCGCCCGCGUUGCCGCCUCCCCCGCCCAACGCUACUACACCAACAGCCGGCGUCAACAUUGCCCGCGCCGUGCCAUGAUCGGCAAUUCAAGACACAUGAAGAGAGGAAAAAAGCAGAACUUAUCCAGGCGACGCCAGCGCCGACAUCGGACUCGGCCACCUCCUCCUCGCCAGGGGCCGCGGGCUCCUCUUGCACCACCGGCGCCACCUGCGAUGGAGCCCGGGCGUAAGGAUGCCGGAUCGUGUUCAGAAGUAUCACCCACGUCGCAUCGGGACGAAUGAGAAGGUGCGCCACAGCAAAGUAAGAAGACCAAACACUCACCUGUGGUGCCGGGUUCGACUGGCUGUACGGCGCCUUGCCGAACCGCUAGUCCUCUCCAAGGUUGGCCUUGGAGAUGUCGUUCACGCCGCGCGUGACCUGCUCCGUAGACAGCCGCAUCGACCCCAUGCGGUUGGGGUCCUGAAGGCCGAUCAUAUCACCGAUGAGGCAGGAGCGCCUCUGAAGCGGAAGGACACGGUGCGUGAUGAAUGCGGCAAGGAGGUCGGUGCUGGUGAGCCCCUCCCGCGUCCUCAUCACCGUCACCUGCUCGCAGAGGUUGACAAUCUCCUGCGACGGGCGCCGGAGCGAGUAGCCCCAGUUCGUCUUCGCCCGCAGCGGCGCGAUGGUGAAGAGCGGAAGGUUGAUAUGGUCCGCACUAAGGUUGCAGACGUAGAAGAAGGAGUUCUGCCACUUCUUGGCAGAAUCCUCCAGCAGGAUCUUGGGGAAAUCCGCCCCCGACCGCUUCAAGAUGACGGCGGCGCCGCAGUCGGCGAACUCCCCGGCUGAUGCGCCCUGCUGCUUCAAGGAGAAGAAGCGCACCCAGAGGUCGGUCGUGGUCUCGGCCCCCAGGUACCCCUCGCACAGGGUCACGAAGCUGGAGAGCUGGACGAUGGCGCCGGCACCGAGAUGAUGCGGCUGAAGCCCGAAGAACUCCAAGAACGCGCGAAAGAAGGUGCUCGCCGGUAGCCCAAAACCAUGCUCGAAAUGCGUGAGGAAGACCACGCGCUCCUGCCCCUCGGGCCGGGGCCUCUGCUCGUCGCGCGGCAGGCGGACGCCAACGCCCGUCUCCCGCGGCAGGCGCCGCAACGCAUGAAGCUGGGUGAUGUCCUCGGUGGUGACGUUUGAGCCCAUCCAGGAGCCUGACGGCAGCGCCAUGGACGGAAGAAGGAGGAAGAAGAUGGAUGACGGAGGAAGUUCUGCUUGGAGCAGCGGGCGCCGCAGUGUGUCUAUUGCAAAGAGCGGAGCGAGAGCGAAGGGACAGGAGGGCACGAGCGAGAAUAAUGUCCGCCGCCCCCUGCCCCCUGAUUUAGAACCCUCGGUUCAAACGUGGGGGAGUGGGAUCGUCUGCACGCGUCCGUUCCACUAUCCCGCGAUAAGUGUGCACGUACAUGUGCAGUAAUUGCCUGGGGAAGUGCAACCGGCCCCCGGACGCCGCAAUAAAUCCGCGCGCGUGGGCCAAGGGCGCGCGGCGGCGGGCCCCAGCCCGUCGCCCGGUCCCUCACACGCGUGUCCUAUCAGGCCAUCCGGUUUCCGGCCACCACGUGGCGCCCGCGCAAAGCCCGAGGGAUUGCCCCAAGAUUCGACGGACUCCUUGGUUCCUGCCACGGCCGGGAUGCCGGGAUCCGGUUUCCGAGUAAAAUGGCACACAGUGGGUGUUGCCGGACCUGGUGCUCGUAGAAUCCGCCUUGCUUAAGGGGGAAACUGCGAAGGCCCACUCAUCCGAAGACGGCGGACCUUCACAGCUUCGGGGACUACUGUCGGGGGGAUGAACCCCGGGCAGGCAACAUAACCCGGAUCCUCUUCAAAAAUAGUGGGGCCCGUAGCGCUCCUAAAACCGGCACGCGCCCGACCGGGUCGCUCGACCCAGCAAGGCCCACAACCCGGCCAAACUCUCCGACCCGACAAGGUACGUCGACCCAGCCUCAGCAACUGGCGCAAGGCAGCCGAACCCGGCAUGACCAAGGCUUUCCCAACAAGCCGACCCCACCCGUGGCGUGCGCCACAAUCCAACCAUGGGUCAGGCUCCCGUCCCAUCCAGACCGUAUGAUGGGACGAGACCUCAAUCACCGAUGACCAAGACAACAAUGCUUCCACCCAUGCCUAUGGUCAGCCGGAGUGUGGCAACAGUGCCCCUUACCUCCUUGUAUAUGUUUCUCACAUGCUACCUUGUACAUUAUGCUGCUCAUGCCCUGUAGGAGCGGGUUCUUGGGGGAUUUUAUAGAUCAACCCGCCCAGGGCUACAACAGUAAUACGCCGAGUCGGUGGGUCCAUAUUGUUGGUGUCCGGGAUAUCGGGCUGGGUCCCGCUGAGGGCUUGUGGUUCGCCGGGUUCCCCUAGGUGCGGGCCCCGCGUGCCUAGGGGGACGGUGCACCAUCUUGUCGAUCGUCAGGGCGUGGCCGAGUCGAGUCGCGUACAGUGCUCUCCGUCAGGUUGCCGCUUGCUGUCGUCAGCGGUGAGGGCGGGUGCACUGUUGCCACAUUAGCCCUGUUCAGCGGGGGACAAGCAAGCAAGCCUAGGACUAGCCACCACCCGCAACCCCGGAGAGAAGGAGCAGCCCAAGCCUUGGCCAGCUUCCUUCCUCUUCCAUACAGCUCUAGGAGCAACAUUGUACUAUCGAUCAUCCAACUACACUCAGCAGGACUAGGGGUAUUAUCUCUCUAGAGAGCCCCGAACCUGGGUAUGUCCGACGUCCCGCGCCCGCUCAUGCCAACCUCGCCUCUAGAGCCCACCAGCGCCCUCGAGCCUCCUCCUCUCUUUAGCCAUCCCUUGGCAUCUGUCGUGCGCCCACCACGACAACGGGCAUUUUCUCUCUCGCACCCCAUCGUUGGUGGCCUCUACCAUACACAUCAACUCUCUAUGAUGAAGCCAUGCACACUUAAAUUACAUCCGCCACCAAGGACCCCGCGACACACACACACACACAAACACACACACACAGGCACACACGCACACCCCCCACACACUAAGACUCCAUCUCUCUCUCUCUCUCUCACACACACACAAACANNNNNNNNNNNNNNNNNNNNNNNNNNNNNNNNNNNNNNNNNNNNNNNNNNNNNNNNNNNNNNNNNNNNNNNNNNNNNNNNNNNNNNNNNNNNNNNNNNNNNNNNNNNNNNNNNNNNNNNNNNNNNNNNNNNNNNNNNNNNNNNNNNNNNNNNNNNNNNNNNNNNNNNNNNNNNNNNNNNNNNNNNNNNNNNNNNNNNNNNNNNNNNNCACACACACACACUCUAAGACUCCAUGUCUCUCUAUCUCUCACACACACACACACUAAGACUCCAUCUCUUUCUCACUCUCUCUCACACACACCCCUACACACACACUAAGACUCCAUCUCACACACACAUGCUCUAGGCGGAGCAUUUGUUCCUACCACCCUUCAUCCAACCUUACCCGUAUGAUAAACAAUCACCUUAAUUUACUUGUAUAACAUGGACAAAUUCCACUUUACUUUAGUAGUCAGCAAACUUAUUAUCUGUACCCUUAUAAAAAAAUGAGUUGGCGAUGAUGGUGUGCCUGCCAUCUUGUAAUAUAGACCGUCUGAUCUAUAUCUGUCGGAUAGAAAGCAAACUAUGAUAAUUUUACAAAAGAUACCCGCACCUCUCUCCACAUCCUUAUCUCCCACAACCUCAUUGCUUAGUAAUUAAAAAAGGAAGUCUCUGGAACAAUCUAGCAUGGUGGCUGCUAUGCACAACUCCACUCCUCCUCACCUUAUGUCUCAUCUUUCAUUUUUUCGAUGACAUUCUGGAGAUACCAGUUUUCCGAUAAAAUCUCGAGAUAUCAUUAGUUUUUACACAUGAUAUUACUCCUACAUGGGUCAAUCACAAAAGGUGUUUUGUAAAAAAAUGCACAUUGAUGUUCCGUGCAAUGCACCAGCAUCUUGCUUGUAAUUAUAUAACGCAAAUCAUGAGGAGGAAGUGACAUUUUUUUACACAACCACGUUAACAUGGCCCCGUAAAUCACUAGCUAAAGUAAAUACCAUUAUACUUAUAUCCCGAUGCAAAAGGUUGAGUACAUGUCCGCAGAGUAGAGUUGCACACAUGCACUCUGUCUCUCAGAAUCUCUCUCACACACACACACCAGUUACGUGACGCCUGAGGGAGUCCUGGAUUAGGGGGUCCUCGGACAACCGGACUAUAUGCUUAUGCCGAACUGUUGGACUAUGAAGAUACAAGAUUGAAGACUUCGUCCCGUGUCCGGGAGGGACUCUCCUUUGCAUGGAAGGCAAGCUUGGCAAUUCGGAUGUGUAGAUCUCCUUCUUUGUAACCGACUCUGUGUAACCCUACCCCCCUCCGGUGUCUAUGUAAACCGGAGGGUUUAGUCCGUAGGACAACAACAAUCAUAAUCAUAGGCUAGCUUCUAGGGUUUAGCCUCUAUGAUCUCGUGGUAGAUCAACUCUUGUAACACUCAUAUCAUCAAUAUCAAUCAAGCAGGAAGUAGGGUAUUACCUCCAUAGAGAGGGCCCGAACCUGGGUAAACAUUAUGUCCCCCGCCUCAUGUUACCAUUAGCCUUAGACGCAUAGUUCGGGACCCCCUACCUGAGAUCCGCCGGUUUUGACACCGACAUUGGUGCUUUCAUUGAGAGUUCCACUGUGUCGUCACGGUAGGGCUUGAUGGCUUCUUCGGUCAUCUACAACGAUGCGAUCCAGGGUGAGGUUUUCCUCCCUAGACAGAUUUUCGUAUUCGGUGGCUUCGCACUGUGGGCCAAUUCGCUUGGCCAUCUGGAGCAGAUCGAUAGCUACACCCCUGGCCAUCAGGUCAGGUUUGGAAGCCUGAACUACACUGCUGACAUCCACGGGGACUUGAUCUUUGACGGAUUCGAGCCCAUGACAGGUACGCCGUACGGUCAUGAUGAGCAUGACCUAGAUCUGCCAUCGGAUUGAGUCCAGGAAAUCGCACCUGCAGCUGCUCUGGCUCUAAAUUCGGAGCAGAUCGUGCCAUCCGAGGACGGGUGGAUAGACCCCGCCAUGGAGGCCGCAUACUCAUCGGCGAUAGAGCCGAACACAGAUUUCGCCUCCAGCGAGGCCUGUGCCAUCGGACCCUCGGACUUGACUCCUACCACAGGCUCCGAACCGCGCACGUCCGUGCCCAUCAAAUUUGACCGGGCAACGAUCAUGGGGUUCACCUCCGCGGAUAUUUUUCAGCACUCGCCCUUGGACGAUGUGCUAACCUCGUUAAAGUCUCUCUCCUUAUCAGGAGAUUCCUGGCCGAACUAUGUCCGGCUUGAGUGGGAAGCGGACAACGAGGAAAUACGUUACCCACCCACCACCCGCUUAGUAGCCGCUGUCGACAACUUAACUGACAUGCUUGACUUCGACUCCAAAGACAUCGACGGUAUGGACGACGAUGCCGAAGAAGAACAGGAACCACCGCCCACAGGGCGCUGGACAACCACCUUAUCAUAUGAUAUAUAUAUGGUGGACACACCCAAGGAAAGCAAUGACGAUGAGGCAAUGGAGGAUAAUCCCCUUGAGAAGCAACCCAAGCGCCAACGUCAACGGCGCCGCUCUAAGCCCUGCAAUAGCAAGAAUCGUGAUACCGGCACAAGAGACGAUAUCACUCCGGAUGAUGCCGUAGACUAAAACAAUUCUGCCCAGCCGAGCACUGAGCAAGCUGGACAGCAGGAUGGGCAAGCUAGCCCUGAAGAACAAGCAAUUGAUGGAGACUCAGAGGAUGACAAUUACAUGCCUCCCUUCGAAGACGAGGAGAUCCUUGGCGACGAAGAGUUUAUUGUGCCUGAGGAUCCCGUCGAGCAGGAGCACUUCAAGCGCCGGCUUAUAGCCACUGCAAAAAGCCUGAAGAAAAAACAGCAGCAGCUUCAAGCUGAUCAAGAUCUGCUAACUGACAGAUGGACUGAGGUCCUGGCAGCCGAGGAAUAUGGACUCGAGCGCCCAACCAAAAGUUACCCGAAGCGCAGGUUGUUACCUCAAUUCGAGGAGGAGGCACUAGAGACCACACUACCAGCACAGGAUGAGGCUAACCGGCCACCUCGUGGCUGAGACAAAGCGGUGUAUCAGCCUAAACACUAGCCCGCACCCCAUUGCCAAACAAAUAAAAACAUGAAGGCCUGGGGCUACACGCAUGACCUGCGAGAUGAAUUGGAAAACAAAGCAGGACAGUCGAGAUCGAUCUACGGAUCAAGGGGGCGUUCCCCAACGCGUGAUGAUGACCUCCACGCCGGAUAUACUAAAUACAAAUCCGGCCGGGCCAAAUACAACAUACCGGACUCACUCGAGCUGCGUCGUGAUGUAGCCCGGCAUAGAGGCGCCGCACACCCCCUAUGCUUCAUUGAUGAAGUUAUGGAACAUGAAUUCCCAAAAGGGUUUAUGCCCGUUAAUAUCGAGCCCUACGAUGGUAACAGACCCCGCGGUAUGGAUAGAAGAUUUCCUUCUCCACAUCCACAUGGCCCGCGGUGAUGAUCUGCAUGCCAUCAAGUACCUCCCAUUGAAACUCAAGGGACCGACUCGGCAUUGGCUGAAUAGUUUGCCGCAAACUCUAUUGGAAGUUGGGAGAACCUGGAAUACGCAUUCCUGGAUAACUUGCAGGGCACUUAUGUGCGGCCACCGGAUGCUGAUGACUUAAGCCAUAUAACCCAACAACCCGGAGAGUCAGCCAGAAAAUUCUAGACCCGGUUCCUAACUAAAAAGAACAAAAUUGUCGACUGUCCAGAUGCCGAAGCCUUAGCGGCCUUUAAGCAUAACAUCCGUGACGAGUGGCUUGCCCGACACCUCGGCCAGGAGAAGCCGAAGUCCAUGGCAGCCCUCACGACACUCAUGACCCGCUUUUGUGCGGGCGAGGACAGCUGGCUGGCUCGUAGCAACAGCACAUCAGGAAAUCCUGGCACCUCAGAUGCCAGAGAUAGCAAUGGCAAUCCCUGACGCAACAGGCACAAGCGUCGCAGUAAUGGCGACAACGCCGAAGACACGGCCGUCAAUGCCAGAUUCAGUGGCUCUAAGUCCGGUCAGUGGAAAAGGCCAUUCAAAAGAAACAACCCGGGUACGUCUAGUCUGGACCACAUACUCGAUCAUUCAUGUCAAAUUCACGGCACCCCCGAUAAACCAGCCAAUCACACCAACGGAGAAUGCUGGGUGUUUAAGCAGGCCUGCAAGUUGAAUGAAAACAAGGAAAAGGGGCUGCAUAGUGAUGACGGCGAGGAACCCCAGCUACCGAACACAGGAGGACAGAAGAAAUUUCCUGCCCAAGUAAAAAUGGUAAAUAUGAUAUACGCAACCCAUAUUCCCAAGAGGGAGCGGAAGCAUGCACUAUGGGACGUCUACGUGAUGGAGCCAGUCGCCCCAAAGUUCAACCCAUGGUCUUCUUGUCCGAUCACCUUCAAUCGCAGGGACCACCCGACCAGUAUCCGUCAUGGUGGUUCAGCCGCGUUGGUCCUUGACCCCAUCAUCAAUGAAUUCCACCUUACACAUGUCCUUAUGGAUGGUGGCAGCAGCCUGAACCUGCUCUAUCAGGAUACAGUGUGCAAAAUGGGCAUCGAUCCCUCAAGGAUCAAACCCACCAAAACCACCUUUAAAGGUGUCAUACCAGGUGUAGAGGCCUGUUGUACAGGCUCAAGCACGCUGGAAGUGGUCUUUGGAUCCCGGAUAACUUCUUAAGCGAAGAGUUAAUCUUCGACAUCGUCCCCUUUCGUAGUGGCUAUCACACACUACUUGGACGAACCGCAUUCACUCGAUUCAACGCGGUGCCACACUAUGCUUAUCUCAAGCUCAAGAUGCCAAGACCUCGUGGUGUUAUAACAGUCAAUGGAAAUAUAGAGCACUCCCUUUGUACGGAGGAGCACACCGCGACCCUCUCAGCAGAAGUACAGAGCAGCCUUCUUAGGCAGACCUCCAAUUCGGCAAUAAAGCCCCGGACAUCGCCAAGCGAGUCCGGCGUACUCUGCAAUAGGUGUCUCCGGCACGACCAGAGCUUGCCUAGAAAUUCGGCCUCCGCACUAGUCCCAGUCAACUGGUGAAACUUGCGCCGCGCGUACAUAAUUACGCACUUAAAAUACCAUGGGCACAGGCGGAGGCACGACAAUAAUGCGGUCCACAAUGCGGCUCAACCGCCCCAGGAUCCGUAUACCUUCACCCCUUUUUCUUUAUUUUAGGUCCCUAUUUUCCGGAGGCGCUUCUGAUACCUGAUUAUCGGACCCAGCAUGGGACAGAGACACCAAGGAGGCAAGGAGCUUUGACGUACAAGGGAAUCCCUAGGCGGUCUCUGAUAAUGACCGCUAUACCUGUUUUACAUACCCAUACGCAGCUCACUCUUGGUUAGGACAUGUCAAAUAGUCCUAUUUUUCUUAUCGCACUACUUGUAUACGUACGCCCUGAUGUGUUAUUCAAACAACAAUGGAAAAUAAUGUACAACAUCAGCUUAUUAUUACAUUUCUUUAUCUUUUUCCUUGACUGUUUAUGUAUUAUAUAUCGCACACGUACAUGUUGGUACGAUUCAGUUCGCCAGGGGCUUCAGUGUACCCCAUAACACGUCAAGAAAAGUCUGAACACUUUCGAUAGUGCGGCACCCCGAACUUAUAGCAUUAUAUGCAUCAACUCCGAAUCAUGUCUUGGGUCAAUAGUUGGUUUGCCCGGCUCCCAUGUUUUGCCGCCUUACGUUCUGCUAUAUCGGCUAACGUGGCACAGGGAGAACUACUGCGAUUGUGUCCCAGUUCUUCCGGACGAGCACCUCAGUAGAGAAAGCCGAAAACUGACUGUCAUGAUGCGCUGAGAGCCGGUCGCUGCUCGAGAGGUCUCAAAUCCUUAAAUAUUUUUUCCGCUUCGGGCGAGGAGUCGGCCUUUGUCCGAUUUAGGCGUGUAUAGCGCCCCAAGUUUGGCCUUCCGAAUACCAGGGGCUACGCCGAAAUUUCAAAUUAUAGAACUUCUAUGGCUAAGUGAGGGUGAUAAAGUUGUAUAAUCCAAUUGCUUUGUUCGUUGUGCUAAAUACCUCCUUAAAGGACCAAAAAUUUGGAUAAAGAGUGUUUAGAUUUAUCCCAAACACCCUAGUGCUAGUUACAUGGGGGCAGAAGCCGACGACUGGCCAACUCUCAGAUUUAAUAAGCGGCCGCAGAGAAGGUAAAAUUUUAAAUCAACAAGCGUUAUAUUGCGCAAAAAGAACUUGUUUUCAUAUUACAGGAUCAAAUGAGUAUAUUCACUCAAAUAUUACAUCCUUAGCACACUGCUCCGCCACAAGGCGGGAGCCCUUCAGGACACUGUCAUAAUACUUUUCGAGAUGGCGGUGUUCCUUGCCCUCCGGUGGCCCCUCCGUCAUCAGCUUCUCGGCAUCCAUCUUCGCCUAGUGCACUUUCACGCGGGCGAAGGCCAUGCAUGCACCUUCAAUGCAAACUGACCGCUUUAUGACUUCAAGCCACGGGCAGGCAUUUAUAAGCCGCUUUACAAUGCCGAAGUAGCUACUCGGCACAGGCUUGGCAGGCCACAUUCGGACUAUAAGACCCUUCAUGGCCAGUUCGGUCGCUUUGUGUAGUUCGACCAGUUCCUUCAGCUGGUUGCUCAAGGGCAUCGGAUGUUCGGUCCCAAUGUACUGAGACCAGAACAACUUCUCCAUCGAGCUCUCUUCUUUAGCUCGGUAGAACUCUACGGCAUCAGAUAUGCUGCGCGGCAGAUCUGCAAACGCUCCUGGAGAGCUCCAAAUUCGGGUAAGUAAAAGAAAGGUCUCCUUCACAUGCUUGCUUUGCAUAAUGAAUGCCUUACCCGCCGCUAUCUUCUUGGCCGCCUGAAUCUCCUGGAGGGCAUUUUGGGCUUCGGCCUUGGCGUCUCGCGCGCUCUGGAGGGCCUUAGCAAGAUCGGACUCUUGCGUCUUAGAGUCACGCUCCAAGGACUCGUAUUUUUGGACGAAAUCAUGGAGCUCUUGCUGGACCUCGCUGACCCGAGCCCGCUGCUUCUCAUGCUCGGAUCGUUCCUUGGCCGCUUUGUCUUCAGCCUUGGCCAUCGCCGUCUUAAGGGCCGCCACUUCGGUCGUGGCCCCUAAUAAAGUUCGUGACGCCUCCAUUAGGAUAAAUCACUCUUCCUUUUAAAAUAGGCAGAUGGGGUAUUGUGUACCUUUGUUCUCCUCGAGCUGCCUCUUCACGAGGCCGGGCUCUCCUUCGGCUUGCUCCAGGUCCCGCUUCAGUCCGAAGACCUCCGCAAUACGAGCGGCAGCAGCAAGCAGCGACGCCUGCUUAUUCACAUAGACAUUUUUGUUAGACUCCUGCGGGUAUUAUUUGAUCCUCUGUUCGGCCUUUCUUUCCGAACACCAAACAGAGCAUCAGAGGCUAUUGUGUAUAUUGAGAUAUUUUCUUAUAAUUUGGUUACUUACCUCAAAGCCUGUUAGGAGGCUGGCGCAGGCUUCGGUCAAUCCACUUUUGGCAGACCAAACCUUCUCAAUCACCGCACUCAUAAGAGUACAUUGCUUGUCGUCAAUGGAAGCGCCACAAAGCGCUUCUAGCAAGUUACCCGAUGCCUCUGGAUGGGCAAAGGUCAUUGAGGGAGUCUUGGAUAAGGGGGUAUCCGGACAGCCGGACUAUAUACUUUGGCUGGACUGUUGGACUAUGAAGAUACAAGAUUGAAGACUUUGUCCCGUGUCCGGAUGGGACUCUCCUUUGCGUGGAAGGCAAGCUUGGUGAUUCAGAUGAUAGAUCUCCUUCUCUAUAACCGACUCUGUGUAACCCUAGCCCCCUCCGGUGUCUAUAUAAACCGGAGGGUUUAGUCCAUAGGACAAACAACAAUCAUACCAUAGGCUAGCUUCUAGGGUUUAGCCUCUACGAUCUCUUGGUAGAUCAACUCUUGUAAUACUCAUAUCAUCAAGAUCAAUCAAGAAGGAAGUAGGGUAUUACCUCCAUCGAGAGGGCCCGAACCUGGGUAAAACAUUGUGUCCCCUGCCUCCUGUUACCAUUAGCCUUAGACGCACAGUUCGGGACCCACUACCCGAGAUCCACCGGUUUUGACACCGACAAUCAUCGGCACAGGUGGCUCGCCCUCCUUAGCGAGGGGCUGCCUGCCUGGGUUCGGAACCACCUGGGGUUCCGGAGCCAUAUUUGGCUGGGGGCCAAACUCGCUGCGGCCCCUGUCGGUGUCAAAACCGACGGAUCUCGGGUAGGGGGUCCCGAUCUGUGCGUCUUAGGCUGAUGGUAAUAGGAAGCAAGGGCACAAUGUUUACCCAGGUUCGGGCCCUCUCGAUGGAGGUAAAACCCUACUUCCUACUUUAUUAAUAUUGAAGAUAUGAGUAGUACAAGAGUAGAUGUACCACGAGAUGGUAGAGGCUAAACCCUAAGAGCUAGCAUAUGAUGGUAUGAUUGUAAUUGUGAUCGACCUUCUAAGGACCAUCCUCUCUGGUUUAUAUAGACACUGGAGAGGGCUAGGGUUUACAUGGAGUCGGUUACAAGGAAGGAAAUAUAAUAUCCGGAUCGCCAAGCUUGUCUUCCACGCAAAGGAGAGUCCCAUCCGGACACGGGCCAAAGUCUUGAGUCUUGUAUCUUCACGCUUCAAUAGUCCGGAUGAUGUAUACAGUCCGGCUGUCUGGAUACCCCCUAAUCCAGGACUCCCUAAGUAGCCCCUGAACCAGGCUUCAAUGACGAUGAGUCCGGCGCGCAAUCUUGUCUUCGGCAUUGCAAGGCAGGUUCCUCCUUUCGAAUACUCCAAGGUUAUUAUCGAACACGUAGACCAUGUCCGGAUCUGCAAAAUGAUCUUUACAUACCAUCGUAGAGAGAAUGAUACUUCAACUGACAACUUUUUAGACGACGUGAUAUGCCAUUACAGUCAGGUCAUCAUUCGAACAGUUUUUCCACAACCAGCCACAACGCGUAUUGCGAGGCGGUUUCCUUGGCACGUCUUGUUUGAAGCAAAGAUCGUGUCCCCUUAUUACGGGAUUCUCAUCAAUACGGGUAUGGGUAAUCCAACCGCACCGCUAAUUGCGGCGAGUGGGAGGUAAGCGGGUUCCUCUAGGCAACCGAGGAGGCGUAAAAAGCUUUUACCAUCUCUUAUAAAGAGAUAAGGCCUCUUCCUCUUUACCCAUGCCUUCUCCUUCCGCUAACUCAUUCCCCUCCGCUCGAGCCCUAAUGCCCAAGCACUCUUCUUUUUCAUUGAAGAGAGGUUUUCCAAAGAUGUCCGAAUCCGGAACAGGAGGCAAAUGGAUGGCCUCUACCGUCCGGGAGAAGGAUAUCAAGAAGCUCCGGGAAGCCGGGUAUCUGGCCAAGAAGAUUGGCCACCGUCUUCCACCGGCGGGACAUGUUGUCCCCACUCUGGAGCCUUUCGAGAGGGUCGUGUUCCUUCCCCAUUUUGUCCGCGGGCUCGGGUUUCCUCUCCACCCAUUCGUUCAUGGAGUCAUGUAUUACUAUGGGAUUGAUUUUCACGAUCUUUCCCCCAACUCUUUUCUCAAUAUCUCGACGUUCAUCAUCGUAUGUGAGGCCUUUCUCCAGAUUCCGCCUCACUUCGUCCUAUGGUUGAAGAUUUUCAAUGUGAAGCCCAAGGUGGUGAGUGGAGAACACGCCGAGUGCGGCGGCGCCAUGGUGAGCAAGAUGACCAAGGUUGUUUGGCCGAAGGGCACUUUCAACGACUCCGUCAAGGAGUGGCAGCAGUAGUGGUUUUAUAUCACCGAACCACGCGGCAAAAAGUGGGAUGCACUUCCUGAGUUUAGAUCCGGAGCCCCACUGCGGCUCAUGUCCUGGCCCAAGAAGGGCCCGAACUGGAACUCGCCCAAUGAGCUGUCACUGCUCCAGACGCGCGUUUAGAGCGUGGUUGACAAGGACGUCAAACUUGUCGACAUAGUCCACGUGAUGCUAGCUCGCCUGGUUCUCCCUUGCCAACGUCGAGCCUGCGCUUUGUGGGAGUUCGACCCAACCGAGCACCAAACCCUUCGGGAGCUCUAUGACUCCUCUUACAAGGAUAUCUGGAAGGUGCUCUUCAAGUUCGGCAAAUCAUGGUCGGACUCCCCCGAGGACCGGGGGUAUCAAUUAUCCCAUUCUGCAAGCCCGGUAAGUUACAACCACGCCCUGUCCAUCCAUGCUUCAGUUGGCAUGUCAUGAGGGAGACAUUUUAAUUGUGACCUCAGGGAUGGAUUAAGAAGGUGGAGCAGAUGCAUUGUCCGGCCCCGCUGCCGGAGGAACCGACCGGACCUCUUCUUACAAAGAUGCUGGUCCCUGCGCCUCAUGAGGCGCCACAGAAGGAGGAUUCCAAGAAGGUCAAGAAGACCCGGAGUGGCCUCCAUCGCCGCGAGGCUAAGGACGCCAAACCCAAAGACUCCAGCGGUGCUCCCUCUUUCGAAGACAAAGAGGAGGAAGGAGAGGAGGACGAGCCUCACUCUGCAGGUGGGAAGGAGCGUGCGUCUUCCCCAUCCCUGGAGGCCGGAUCUCCCAAGAGGGGGAGGGGGUCCCAUCCAGAGGCAUCCACCCCGGCUGCCGAUAACAGCCCGGAGUGGGAUCCCAGAGCCCAGCCCGUGGAAAAAUCAUAAGUAACCGAAUCCCGAAUGCUCCUAUGCAUUCAGGGUCAUCUGAGUAUAGUAGUUUUAACUGUCGCCACAUCUCGUACAACCCAACGAGAUCUCCUGCCGGACAGUCCUCAUCGGAGGAUUCGUGGAGUUCGGAUACUAUGGCGAGUGAGACGCCUCCGACGGCUCUUUUUCCGGAGUCCAGGCGCGACACCGAGGUGUCAUCUUGAAGAGACCGAGAGCCGGAUAAGGUCCUGGAGG
rnacentral:lncRNA from 1 species